rnacentral:lncRNA from 1 species
AAUAAAAUCAAACUUUUAAAGUUCAGAAGCCCAUUACACUUUUCUUUUGCAAUUAAAUUCAGGUAUCCAUCUCAAUAUGCAUUAAUGUUUGGUUAAAGUUUCUGUGUUUUUUACCUUAAAAAACAAAAAGACGAAAAGGAGAAUCAAAAGGUGGGCUCUUUAAUAUUUGAAAUUGCAGGGACAUAUAAAAAAGAUAACUUUGCAGGAAAAUACAUGUAGCUAUUUCUACUAUCAGAAAAAUCGAAGUAAAACAAGACGAAGAGUAACUCCUUGGAUUUGACAUCCACCUCAACUCCAAGUCGUUCCUUGACGAACUGAGACACUUGGGCGAAAUCUAAAUUGAGUGCCACCAACCCACUCUUUCCUCUCUUUCCGAACAGCAUGUCCGGCUUCACCACCAGCUUCGUAGACGACAGCCAUGGCUCCUUGUUCAACAACUCGUUCACAUCCGUUGAUUGCGUCACCUUUAAAACAAUCAUCAUUACCAAAUUAGACAUACCCAUAUCUUGGAAGAGUAUAACAAUUCAAAUUCUAAAAAUGUUCAUGAACAGUAUCAAUAGAUCUAAAGAAGCAUGUAGGUGAAAUUCUGCAGGGACUCCCUCAACUAUAAGUCAUUUUGAAUAAAUCUUUUUUUUUUUUUCUAUUGACACUCCUUAGCUUUUGAUUGUUUUGAUUUGAGUUAUUUUCCUAAAUUGAAUUUGGUAUUGUUUAAAGAUUAACAGCUCUUCAACCAUCACCUCUUACCGUUUAAUCGGAUCUGCAGCUCCAUGAGCUAAAAAAGUGCUCAAAAUAGUGAAAUUUAGUAGAAUCACCAUUAAAUCCAAUAAAAAUUUAGAUUAAUUAUCACAAAAAUAACUUCAAUCAAAAGCUUGCGAUCUGUCGAAUUUAUUAAAAAAAAAGAUUUAGUUGAAGAGUAUAUUUCAAAAUGACCUACCGUUGAGGGGCUUCUUCAUAUAUUUUUAACAAAAUAAUAAUAAUAAUAAUAAUAAUACGAACAACAUUCCACAAACUACCUCAGAUUCAUAUUCCAUUUGAAAAUAACACCAUACUAAUUAAAAACAUCAUCUUUCGCCCAAAAAAACACCUCCUCUAAAAAAAAAAAAUCCAUUUUCCUGUGAAUCAAACCUAGAAACUACGGAAAUUCCCCUGAUCCGAGCUUCAAAUGAUGAGAUGUUCUACUAGGAAGCAUCAGAAGCAUUGAUUGAGAUCGAGAAUGGGAAGGAAAAUGCUAGGGUUUGGAUGGGAACCUGAGCCGAGGUGAUUUGUAGGUCGAUCCCGGCGAUCCGCUUCAGAUGCUCCUUCAAGAGCCGCUUCGAAUCGUACUCCCGGAUCUUCUUCCUCGCCAUUGCUCGAGAUCUCGAGAUCUCAAAAUCUCUCUCUCUCUCUCUCACUCUCUCUCUCUCUUCGCGAGAUCUCACUCCGAGCCUCGUACUGAGGCAUUUAUAGGCUUAUAGCACCGGGUUUAUUCGCCGAUUGAAGUUUAUUCCUGGACCCGGUUCACCACGUCAUCCGUAGACACUAACGUACUCAUCUCCCAGAAUCGAGGAACUGUUGCCUGCACCCGGUGUAUCCGUACACAUAAUGCACCAACGUCUUAUACUCACAAGGGUAAAAACUAGAGAUGUCAACGGGUCGGAUUCGGGACGGAUUUUUAAAAAUCCAAACCCGAACCCGACUCCAAACCCGAGACCCGAACCUGAACCCGAACCCGACGGAUUUUAAAAAUUCAUAUCCAAAUCCGAACCUGACCAAAAAUCCGAAACCCGAACUCAAAAUAAUUAUUUCUUUUUUCAAUAUUUCAAAAUAUAUUAUAUUAAAUCUAAAUUUUUGGAAUACAAAUUCAAAUAUAACAUUAAAUUUUUAUUUAUAUAUUAUAUAUAAUACAAAAUAAAUUCGGGUUCGGGUCGGGUUCGGGUUCGGAUCGAGUACAAUCAAAAUCCAUAUCCGAAUUCAUAUCCGUCGGGUUUCUAUUUUUGAUAUCCAUAUCCACAUCCAUUGGAUAUAUUCGUUUCAUUUGGGUUCGGAUUCGAAUAAAAUUUCGGAUAUCCAUACCCAUUUACAUCCCUAGUAAAAACUUCAACUUACCCCAUUUUGAUUUUAAUGCACUUUUAUUUUAUCACCUUAUAAUUCAAAAAGAGAGAGAGAGAGAGAGAAUAUGGUAGUCCGAUACUCACUUCAUUUAUUAUUUUUAAAAGUAAAUUAAUUUAAAAAUAUGAAAUAAUUAGAUUUCGAAUUUGAGACCUCGGGUAUCAACAAUUAAGCCCUUUACCAUUGUGUGCUAGAGAAGAUCAAUUAUAGUUUAAAAAGUUAUACUUAAUUAUCAUCUGGUUUGGCACACUUUCACUUUCUCGUAAUGUGAUUCAAAAAGUUACACUUAAUAUUAUUAUAUAAUUUUAUUUUUAUUUCACUAAGGAUAUCACUCCACAGUUUCAAAAAUUUUAUUUUGCUAUUCGAUUUGACCGCAAGUUUUUUUCACAAAAUAAAAAUAAAAUUAAAAGAUAGUUAAUUCAACUUUUUGAAUCAUUAGAUGACAAAUAAAUAUGCUAAGCCACAAAAAAGCAAAUUAAAGUUUACUAAAAUCAAAAUUCAAUCUAAUAGAUACGACCCACACACCGUCUAAAGAUUUUACAUACAAAAGUAAUAAGAUUUUAAAAUCUGUUACUAAGAUAUCAAUUAGUCUAAAUAAUCAAAGGCGGAAAAGAAACUAUAAUUUGAUUUAUAAGAAAUUUUUUUUAAAAUUUUUUUUUUCUAAUUUUCAAUGUGCAUGCAUUCUAAAUGUCAUAUAAUAUAUACAAUCAGUUAGAUUUUGAUUUUGAAAUCAUUAUUAUGGAAUUUAGAAUACAGAAUAUAUAAUGCACAACUCUUUUAGAAAACAAAAAAUUGCUUACUUUUGGUUUUUAAGUAGAUUUCAAACAUCGGCUUUCAAAAAUGGAAUAAAAGAUAGGCUAAAUUACAGAAAACUCCUCCGUCAAAAUUCGAUUUUUCAGUUUCCCCCGUCAUUUAAAAACCUACACUUUACCCACUUAUAAAAUAAAAAAUGUUCACAGAAAGAUACGGUGUGAACUGUGAUGAUAAAAUGACUAUUUUGCCCCUCACCAUGUUCACAGGAGAGAAGGCCAAGAAUAUUUUUGGCAUAAAAAAAUAUAUAAUAAUAUUUUACAAAUGGAACCCUAACGGAUUACUAACGGCUGGGUGUGAAGUGAAUAUUUUUUAUUUUACAAGGGGGUAAAGUGUAGGUGUUUAAAUGACAGGAGGAAAGUGAAAAAUCGUAUUUUGACAGAAAGAUUUUAUAUAAUUUAGCCAAAAAGAUAUCGUCAAUUCAAAAUCUAAUUCACCAAAAUGCAUUCCAUAAUAUUCAAAAGUUAUACACUUGAGAACUUACAAAGUUUGGAAGCCCGUCUAUUUUUUUAAUUUUUUUUACAAAUCAAAUACUUCUUAUCUUAAUACCAAGUUUUUAAAGUUAACGGAUUUUUAUAUUUUGGUACAUCCAUCAGGCCGUAUGAAUCACAUCACUUAGAAAUAGUUAAAAAUAGUUAAAAAAUACAUCUCAUAUAUUGCCCUCUAAAAACAGAAUAAAAAAGGUCGCAAAUUCAAAGUCUAAUUUAGUGAGAUAUAUUAUAUAAAGUCGUAUACCCGAAAACUCAUAAAAUUUGGACUUUGACUUUUAGCUUUUUAUAUUAUAAAUUAAAUAAUUCCUGUCUUAGUAAAAAUCUAAUUUAGUGAGAUAUAUAUUAUAUAAAGUCCUAUUACUCAGAAACUCAUAAAAUUUGGACAUUGAUUUCAUGUUUUUUUUCCCCGUAAAUCAAAUAAUUCCUGUCUUAGUAAUAAUAGGUUUGCAAAAUUUUGGGAUUUUUGAUUUUUGGGCACCUCAAAUUCUGUGGAUUAUCAUCAGAUCCUAAUUUGGGGGCAAUUUAAAAAAAAAAAAGAAAAAAGACAGUGGUGCAUGAAAUGUACGGACACACCCGGUGCAGGCAAUAAUUUCUCGGAGAGACGUGGCUUAUUUUGAGUGGGGGAUGGAGCUGUUUCGUGUUCGAGACAUGUUUACGGAUGGCGCGUAGUGUUAGUUACGCUUUCACGUUGUGGCGCAAAGCACAAGCAUGCGCCACCCCCACCUACUACCAAAAAUCCACCAAUAGAUUCGCUCAUUCGAGGACUAUAUAUAUAUAUUUUUUGACUUUUUUACAAACUAACCUUCUAAACUUUUAUAAUUUACGAAACAAUCCUAUCAAAUUUAUACUCAUCAACCUUUUUUAAGGCGCGUAAGGUUUUUUCCAAAACGCGGUAAAUCGUUUACUACACUUUGAAAAUCUCCAAGAUCUUUUAAAAACGGUGAAUCGUUCAUCACAUUCAUUAAGACGGUUAACAGAUUAACAGCUUUUGUAAAAAACUUAAGAAGGCAGUGAAUCGUUCACUGUCUUUAAGAGAAAAUUCCACCGCGGUUCUUACAUGGUAAAAAGAGGGUUAGUUUUUCAAAUAUAAUUUUUGCAGGAUUAUUUUACGAAUACUAAAAUUUUUAAAAAUUAUUUUGUAAAAAAGCCCUAUAUAUAUAAAACAAAGAAAUAUUUUUAGAAAAAAAGCGAUACAUAUAAUUAACGGGUCGGAUCCACAAAUGCUUGGAGUGGAAGUAAUUUUUGCCGUAUAAAUAUUAUUUUUUUGACGAAGUAAAUUUAAACUACACCAAUAAAUAAAUCAGUGGGGUCCAACCGUUUUCGGGCGAAAAUAAUUUUAAAAACGUGGUAAAGCAUAUCAUGUCUCAAAAAUUAGGAGUUAUUCACUUAUUUGGUUGUGUAUACCCUUACAAGUGAACUACGGAUGUAAUUGCAUGCAUAUUUAAAAUUACAGCAAUAAUUUUUGUAAAAAAUAUACUCACCUCCAUAAUCAACUUUUAAACAAAAAAAUAUUUUGUAUUUUGUAUUUUGUAUUUUGUUUAUUGUUACUUCUCGGUAUAUAUCUAAAUAAACUGUUCUUAUAGUUGCAAUAUUUUAUACAUCACAUUCAAUCAAUCUAAAUGCAUACCAACUCUAAUGUUAUAUUACCGACCGUCCCUAGAGCAAGUGACAAAGGACUUAGUGGUUGGCACCCGAGACCCAAAUUCGAAUCCUAAUUGAUUCACAUUUCUGGCUAAGUUCAUUUCUGAAUGAAAUAAACGAAGCGGGUAGCAUGCUACCUAUCUCUCUCUCUCCCUCUCAAAAAAAAAAAAACUCUAAUGUUAUAUUGUCAAUUGCAUGCAUCUCAAACUUCCAAUGAACCCUAAAAUAAUAACCCUAGAAACCAUUAGCACUAAUUUUUAGACAAGAUCCAUACGAAAAUAAAAAUUACAGUAACAAUCAGAACACAAAAACUAGUCGAAACUAAAUGUCUCCUAGAUGUAUGAACAAGAAGAUUCUCACAUAAAAAAAAAAAAAAAAAUUUCAGAGCAAAAGAAACAAUGAAGCUUCAGGAAAGGAUUAAGAGCGACAAAACCCAUUAAUCCAACUUAUACAGAGAGUUCCAUUAGCUUUUAGUGUCUGCGGUGUGUUCUGCAUGACAACCUUGGUGCAUAAAAUGUAAAAUCAACAACAUCUGAAAAAUCCAAAGCCAACAAAGUACAAACUGACUACGAAACGAAGAACCCGUCCUUCUCGAAAUCAUCAUUUCCGGCCAGGCUUUGGAUCCCCUCCCAGCCAAAACAGGACUGAUGGGAAAAUUUCUCGAAUCUGAAACCAAACUCUAUUCUGCUUCCGAUUUCUCACUAGCACAUAUACUAGAGAUAAUUCGCACUUGUAACAGUGCGACGCAAUAUGAUCGAUUAAUGCAUAAAGAACCACUCUCAAUUUUCAUUGUCAACGGCAGGACCCCCACCCCGCCUGACAAAGUGACCGCCGCCGCGUCGUGAGUGGCUCUGACCACCCCGACCUCUGUACCUCGAUCCAAAAUGAGGGUUCCCCUCGACUGCUUCGUCAAAAUUAGGGUUGGGGUUUGGUCGGGAGGACUCAGCAGGUUUAGAGUACGAUCCAACCGGCUGAUACUCAAAAUGCGCAUUGCUCUUUCGCUUGUCUCCAUUUGUGCUGAAAUUUGCUUCUCUCCCUCUAUAGAUCACCUCUUGCCCUCUACUGAAGCGGCUGUUGCGGCGUUGUGCUGGAUUAAAUUGAUGUUCAGAUUGGGCAGCUUCAUAUGUUGGAGCUUUGGUGGAUGCAUCUUGUUGUACUUUAUGUAUCUGCUCUUCUGAAGGAUUUUCAACUUUAGCCUCACUUCUUAUGUCAUUAACAUCACCCUUUGGAGCUAGGUUGCUUUCAUUCUCACUGUGACGCAUACUACUCUCGCCAGAGUGUUCCUUGUUACGCCUGUUUUUCUCCUGGUGGCUCUGAGGAUAGGCUUGAGAUUUCGGUUUCCAGUGAGAUUUUGCAUGCUCGGAGGAAGAAUACUUGUUCUCUGAUUUCGAAUUCAAAUUCAAAUCAGAGGCUGGUGUUCGAGUUUGGGUGUUAUCACCGGUUCCACUUUCCAUCGCAUGGUUACCGGAUUCGGUAUAAUUGCUUCCUCCAGCCUUGUUAACCUUUAUCUGCUGCCACCUCUGUUUAGAUCCUACUCCCUGAUCCUUAACUGCAGGAGGUUCAGUCGGCAAUAAAUUAGUAUCAGUAGUACUCCAACCAUCCGAUUUGAGCUGUCUUGCUUCUUGGCCAUCUGAUUCAUGCAACUGAUGCUGAUCAGAACUCUUGUGAACAUGUUGCACAGAGUCGGAAUCGACCAGAUUAUCGUCGGAAUUUGAUAGGCGAGCAGUUUCAGCUGGAUUUCUCUGCCUCCAAGAAGCAUGCUUUCUACCACGCUUAUUAACAGGCUUAUUAUUCUCCUCCCCAGUUUUGGUAUCCAAAUUUGAAUCUGCUUUUGCAGCUACUGAAACAUCCGCUGCAAUGCCCUUCUCAACAUUUUUAGCAUCAGAACUAAGUUUCUGAGAGUUCUCCUGCUGCAACAGUUCUUUAGCCACAGGCUUGGGAACAUACCUUUCCAUCUCAGCCCUUUUAGUUUUCACACUAGCGUGCAUAUCAUCGCCAACCUUUUCGUUUGAUUGAAUGCUAGUUAUAUUCGUAUUAAUCUGCUUACUUUCCUCAGACUGCUCGUUAGUCUCUGGAUGCUUAUUAACAGGUGCCCAGAUAACAGCCUCGCUCCCAUGAAUUUUGUCUACAGGCCUAGCACCUUGCUGGUUUCUUGUGGUCCUCCUAAAGGCUUGAGAUUUCGAGUGGUUGCUCUGAUUUACCAUUUUAGUUUCAGCAAUCAAUUCUUGGGAAGGUAUUUUGUUGCUUUCAAAGGAAACUUUUUCAGUCUUCUCAUCUGUAGGUGGUGCCAAAGAUGGUAAUGAAGAGCUUGCGAUAGCAUCAUCCAACUUGUUUUUACUCCUCAAAUUUCUGUUACCUCUCUUCUUCUGCUGCAUAGGGAGAUCCUCACUAUUGGGCACAUUGUCGAUUGCGGGUGUCUGAACUUUGGAGUCGAUGAGAUUCUUAGUGUUAUCCAUAAUAUUAGAAAUAAUCGGCUUUUCAACCUGAUUCUUCUCUUCAAAGGCAUUCGGCCUUUUCCUAUAAGCCAUCUGCUUAUGCCUAGGAGCUCUGCUGUCGUGAGAAACAGCUGACUCGUCAGAAACAGCUUCCGAGGAAAUUGGAGCUUUAUCUAAGGGCAACUCUGUAGGAGCUUCAACAUUUUUGAGUUCAGUAUAUUUUGCCUUUGCUGAUGGAACAGGCAAAAUACCAACCUGGGACUCACGCACAGAAUUUUCAGCUUUUGCUUCUUGUUUAGGGGUUGUAUCGUCAUUUUCUGGGAAUGGAUCAUUUAGUUUUUUCUGAUUUGCUGCCGCUGCAGAGCGCCUGUUUAACUCUUCCAGCUUUGCAAGAGCUUUUGCCUUUUGCUCCCUCGUGCGUUCCUCCUCUUCUUGCUGAAGCUGUUUCGCACGCUGUACUGCUAUCUCUUUCAUUUUAGUGCGCUAAGAAAAAGGUAACAGAAUACAACAUUAGGGCUGCUUAUAAAUACAAAACAAAAUUCACAACAAAGAUUUUACUCCUACAUGCUUCAUUAGAGAAAGAUAGAAAGGAAAGGAGAAGUAACACCUGAACUUACCGGAACAAUUCAACUAGUAUCAUAUGAAGUCCUAUGGUGGAUGUUCGAGUAAUGAUUUCUAUCUUUCCCUAUUUCACAAUUAAACAAAAAAAGGGCAUAACAUUUUACUUCUGAAAUGAUGUUAGUACGGCUCAAAGUUCCAAAUACCUAUGGCUUACUGAUCACACACUGCUUAAAUAAUGGUCAUGAUUUUCUCUUAUAUCCAUUGUUCCUAUCUGAUGCAAGUUGGGAGGUUAGUCGCCCUUCCUUUACUUGUUCCUUUAGGGUGUGUUUGGUUGGCCAUAAAAAGUACAGAAAAUUACUUUUCAGCUUGAAAAACUGUUUUCUGUGUGUUUGUUUAGCCGUAAAAAAAAAAAUGUAAAACUAUUUUUACAAAUUUGUGGAAAAUGGAGUGUUUUCGUUUUACACCGAUAUUCGGCGGAAAAACAAAAAUUCAAGCUGCUUAAAAAUUUUUCAUUAAUUUUUUUUUCCACCGAACCAAACAAAUGUGAAUUUUUUUUUCCUUUUCAACCAAACAAAUGUUGAUAAAAAAUAUUUUUUUCUACAAACCAAAUACUACAAAACAUAAAACUUUUUUUUCCACCGAUUUUUUUUCCACGGAAAACUAUUUUUCACGGUUUUAUGUACAACUGAACGCCCCCCUUAUAGCUCCAGGUCGUAGGGCCUCUUUUAGGGCCCUGUCCUUAACCUCCUCCAGAUGCCUCGGAGGAAUGCUAUCUUUCACAUAAGGCACUCUUUAUUAAUGUAUCAAGCUUGUAUCCUAUUUAAUGUAUCAAGCUUGUAUCCUAUGAGGUAAAUGAAACUAAUUGCCUAUAGCCUUUUCUCUCUCCACGCGUGCACACACACACACAAAGAGAGAACUGCAGGCAUACCAAUAAAGUAAAAUGAGAUUCUUGUAUGUUUAUUCCAUUCCUAAACAAAUAAAACCGAUCAAUGAAAAUCUAGAGUACAUUACGAAAAUAAGGAAACUUCUCAAAAAAAAAAAAAAAACUUCUAAACAAAUAUUAGUUAGUAGUAUUCAAGGACCUUUGGAAACCGAAUAAGAAUUAUUAACUAGAGUCUAAGAUUAGCAGGACCACCAAAAUGCGGUAGAAAAUUAGCAAAGGCUCCACACCUGUGCUUGGUAAUCAAUUGACAAGUCCAGAGAUGCAGGAGCCUCACUAACAGAUGCAUCAUGCGACUCCUUCGAAUCACUGUCUUGAGUUCUUCUUGUCGCAUUGCUUGCUCUAUGAACAUUAGAAUCUGCAGCACUAAUUUGAGAUUCUGAAAACCAGAAAAAACAAAACUUACUAUUACUAAAUUGUGAGCUUUUAUGACAGAAAAAUUAGUGUAACAGGAAAAUGGUAAGGACCUUUACCAGCUACAGUAGGAUGAUCUGUCUGAGAACUCAAAACCUUUGACUGUUUCAUCUUGUCAUCUUUGGACAAUGCUUGUCCAACUUCACUGUGGGCCUCAGAACUACGAGCUUUAUGGUUUAAAACCUCUAUUUUUUCUAUCAGCGUAGCAUUCUUCUUAGUAACAGUUUGGUGAUCGUGUGCAGUCGAAAUAGUGGUUUUAGGUUUCCCUGAUAAAAUGCCUUCAUCUGUUUGACUAGGAUACUCUGGCUGUUUUUUGGACACAUUGUUUGAGGGGCGCUCUUCACAUUUACCAGGUUCCUUGAGAAGACCUUUCUGAUCAGUAUGUAGCAAAUUAGGUGUUAAAGGCCUGUCUUUCCUUUCUUGAGCAUGAUGACUAUUUCCCGACGCAUCAUGUUGCUUAAGCAAAACCCUGUAUUGCCCAUGAGGUUGAUCAGAUUCCUUCUGCUCUUUGUUCAUUAGCGGCUCAUGUUUAACUGUUCUCGUCUGAAUGUGUUCUGGAUUAACCUUAUCAUUUUGAUUUGGAUAUUCACUAAGACCGCCUUGAAAGGAAACCUCUUUUUCCCCAGCAUUGCCAAAACCUGCUUGCGGGGUCCCAUAAUAGCCUGCAUAAGGCACUGGAGCUUGUGGGGACCCAUAAUAGCUAGGAACCAUGAACGUAUUGGGAGCCAAAUGAGGACGAUAAGUCUCCCCAUUAUUAUUAGGGUGAUAACCACCUUGUCUGACUCCUGGCCUGGGAGCAGCUUCAAAAUUAGGCUGGAACUGAGGAUAAUACAUAUAUGGUUCGCCAGGUGGUGGAAUAGCUGGUCUAAAUGGGCCGCCAAGCGGCGCUCCUCUAUACCAAACAGUAUCAGGAGGGUGAGUUGGAGGAGGGGGCCGCCAAGUGUCGAUCUGCUGAGGUGGCAUACCUAAGAUUGGGUAUGGCUGCGGCUGCGGCUGCGGCUGCUGAGGUUCUCUCUGCCAGCUUUUGUUUUGGGGAGAAUUACCUCCCGCCGGUGAGUAUUUUCCAGUCUUCAGUAUAUUCACAUUCACACUACCAUCUCCUGGAAACAAAGAACACAUGCCAUAUAGCAAGUUUGAUAAGUUUACCAGGAAUAGUGAAGGUAAAGUGCCAAUGAAAAUCUACUUGGAAGUAAAUUGCACCAGGUGGUUCCCAACUUUGUUAGGAGAUUAUAGUUCGAUCCUACCUUUAUAUUGUUAAACUUGUAUCCCUAUUUGUUGCAUUGUUGUGUUCUUAGCCUUUCAAUUAUACCUUUGGUUAAACUGGAUGGAAACGCACACAUACACAUAUGAGAAGUCCAAAUGUCACUUAAAUGGCAGUUAGAGGGUGAUUAAAUGGAUAUUUCCAUCCAUGUUAGUACACAACUUGAACAAAAGGAAAAAUCACAAUGAAAUGCCAAGGUUAGAGACCCAGUUGCCAUUGAAAGAAUGGGGACCGACCUAACAUUACAUUAAAAAGUUUAGGACCCUUUGUGCAAUUUUCUAAAGUCUAAUUUUGACAACUAAGAAUUCUGACAUGAAACCCACCACCCGUAGGAGUUUCUAGACCUUCAUUUGAGGUUGCCUCAAUACCAGAACCGGAAGUAGAACGCCCUUGAGAGCUAUGACCUGCUGAGAAGAUGACAAGUAAGAAACAUAUUUAGCAGAUUCAAGCAUAUAUUACUUUCAGAUAUAAACACCAUUUCCUUUAAAAGUUUAAAUCGAUAAUUUAUAAUGAAACUAAAUACAGAUAUUGGUGAAUGCAACAGCUCUCACACAUUUCACCUCCACAAUGCCAGUGGAAAAUGGCCAAGAAAAAGAUAAAGAGAAAUUCAAAGUCCUAGGGCAAUAUGAUAUGCUACAUAUAUAAAUUUACAGAACAGCUAAAUUGUGAGCUUAAAUUAUCAAAGACUUGACGAAGUCUACCGAAUCCUACUUAGGAGGCUACUUUCUAUGACCUAAACCCAUACUAAUAGGUGGUACAAGCCUUAAGCCCUUAACAGUCCACAUUGUGACACUCAAAUUAUAUAUAUUAAACCUGCCGACAUGAGAUGCAAAAUAUGCAAGCCAUACUAGACAAAAAAAUGUGAACAUACACUAACAUAAAACAUCAGAUAACAGUUAACUAGAAUAAUUGAGAACGCAUUAAAAAAUAGGCACCUCGCUGGACAUGUGAUUCAGAAUUCUUCUCAGAACCGAGCGUUGGAAAAUCCCCAGAACUCAGAGUGAAUCCUGUAUUCUUUGACGGCAUGGAGCCCUGCAAAAUUACAGAACAUGUCAGAAGCCUGCAAAUGUGCAAGUGCCUAAUCACAAAAAUAAUCUAGAUAAAAGUAGGCAGAAAUACCAAUUUCUCAGGCGUUCUUGUUGACCCCCAUGCAACAGUAUUUUCCGAUGAACUCUCAGCAAAACGAGACAGAUGAGAACUACCCGGUCUUGUUUCCGCACUUCGAGGGCGGUUAGCAGCAACUGAAGUGUAACUUGAUGCCAAUAAUCCAGAUGCCGAAGAUGGACGUGAGUUCGAACCCCAUACACUAGAAGGGUCUGAGGAUUUUUCACUGCCAGCUGUUGAUGGCCUUGUACCACUUCCUCCAGAAGUUGGGCGAUCAUUAAAAUGGCUAGGCGAUCCAGCACUUCCAUCAGUUUUUGGUGAUAAUAUUGUUGAAGAAGCCCAUGCAUUUGAUGCUGCAGAAGAUGGCCGGCUACCCCAUGUGAGCGUACCCCUAAUGCAUACACCACAAGCCGCAUCACAUGAUAAUAUUGAAUUGGUCACAUCACAUGAUAAUAUUGAAUUGGUCACACAGAUUCUCAAAUAUAAAUUACAAAAUGCUAAAGAAAAAGAAGAUUAAAAGAUUAAGAGUUAAAUAAUAAGUAAGGUAUAGAGGAAGAAACGGUAAGGCUCACUUUGGAACAAUCUCAACAUUGGGGUCCAAACCAUGGUUUUCCAACCUGAAAUGAUAAAAAUUAAUUAUUUUUCCAGAAAAAGAAACGAGUAUAGACGAUCAAUAAUUAACAUAACAAAUAUUAUUUCAUAAGUUAAUAGUACCUUUGACUGGGUAAAUUAAUGGGCUUUGGAACUUUGCCCAAAACAGUCAUGCCGGAUUUCCGCGAAGAAACCACUCUGUAGUAAAUAGAAGAAAAAGGAUAAAAUUUUCUAUCCUCUAGGAACGGAUAAUAUUGAGUUACGAAAAGAAAAGAGACCAAAAAAUUCCAAUUUUCAGCAAGUCUUUAUGGCAAUUAGAGAAAAUAAGCGGACCUGUAGGUACCUUUCCAAAUCUUCGAUAUGUUUCCUAUUCUGAUUUAUUAUAAGAAUCCUAACAUUAGUCCAUAAGUGCUUGGCUUAAUAAUUCACACACACGAUGGCACUGGAUUGAGAUAUUCCACUAUAGUUUUGCUGAUAACACCUUUCUUUAGGCCUACAUACCUUUUACCCCUUUUCUUGUUUAUAUAAUUAUAUCUCUAUUCUUUAUUGUUGUCUCCUAUGCACCAUCUAUCCCUUCUACUAACAAGUUUCCUUCCUUUUUAUCCCUUAAUGUUAAUUGCUCUAUCUUAUUUUUUAAUUACAGUUGUGACAAAAUAGAAAAGAAAAAGGCUCAUACUGCGUUUCAACCUACUGUGCAACCCCUAUCUGAAUUUGCGUCAGAGUAAUUACCGUUUAUUCUUAUAAAGAAAUUGUUUCUCGUUUCACAUACGUGGAAGCAAGUAGCUUAUUCCAUGAUUAACAAAAGAAGGUGCUACAUAAUAGAAAUCACUGAUGAAUGGAUUUUUCCUUCCAAAGACAAUGGACAAUUGAACAUGGACAGGGGUCAAAACUAAGAAAAAAUUAAGUAGGUUAACAAGAUCAGGGGCCUAGAACAAGAUAUGGUAAACAAGCAGCAUAGAAAAGUUCAUCUUCAAAGAAAUCAAUGAAAAGCAGAUAAAGCAUCAAAAAAAUAAAAUUGAAAUAGUGAUGGUUAGUUUCUAUAACCUUCGAUCUGCAGUCAGGAGACUUGAAGCCAUAACUGAUACAGUGCGCUUGCAAAAUCAUCCAAUAAUGUAUUUAAGCUGAAAGAAAAAAAAAAUGACAAUGAGUUCAACAAACACAAGACACGAGAAAAUUUUACUUGCAAUAUUAGAGGAUGCACAAGAUGUGAAUAUAUGUUUCAGACAAUAUAGGCAAUUACAAAUCCCAGAAUCUAGUGGAAACCCUUAUCAACAACCUAUUAAGACUAUUCAAACUUCUAAUUAAUUUACAGGUUAUCUACCUCUACAGUGAACUAUACAUGGUUACCUAAAAACAUUCUUCUGGCUGGCCCUCUUCUCUAACUCAAUAAAGACUUAUGCUUCACAUAACAUGCAUCACUAUUGGUGCAACCACUUUAUUACCUUGACCAGCUAAAGUUCCCAGGCCAGAGCCACCCAAUUUUAUGCGAUCAAUUGCCAAGUUAUUUUUCCAAUGAACGGCUAUAAAAAUUGGGACUAAGUAAAUGUGCUGGUGACAUAAAAUACUAUUAUCUUUUAAAAUUCUUUUUCUCACCAAUCUUGAGAAACCAUCACCCCAUAACUUCUUAUAUUGAAAGGGCAAUCGGCCAUGUUUCAUUUGGAUUAGAGAUGGAAUAUAAAAACGUAGUGCAAACAGAAUCAGAUUUGUGAAAGAUACCUAGGAAAAUUAAUUAUUUCAUUCUAAUAUAAAUGUCGCAUCACCCAACAAAAACUUAUCAUUAAUAUAUUAACACUAUUGCUAGCAGUUGAUAACUCAAUACUCAAACCAGAAAUCUCUAUUAUUGCGUUUUAAAAACAGAUUCACGAACACAUGAAGUUCUUGAAUAGCACGGUAUCGCAAUUAUAUAAGGAAGAUGAAGAUUUUAUGAUGCUUCUAGUAUUAUCAACAAAACCCAAAGAACUCACUGGAAAGUCUACCAAAUAGUUGGCUCAAAGAGAUUUUACAAUUGUUGAUGGUAGCUGCCACGACAGUCACCGCCUUUUCUACAAGCCCAAACCAUAUUAAAAAUUGAUCAACUAAUAACUCUACCAUAAUUUAACAGAAUCCAGUUUCUCCCAAAGCUAUGGAUCGAAUCAAAUGAAUCCCUAAAAAAACUGAGCAAGUACCCACGACCUAAUCCAAAUUCUAUCAAGCGAAACCAUCAUUGCUCACGAAAAUCACAAAAUUAAGGAGAUAAGACGAGCAUAAAAGAAUCGAUCUUGCCCAAAACCUAAUCCGACAACCCCAUCCUUCCCAUCAGAUCAUCAACAACACGCAAGAAGCAGACAAUAGGGAGCGGACACGAGGAUCACGAUCCUGAUCUCGGCAAACUCCGAUCGUGGGAAACCCUAACAGUAGAGGCUCGGAAGCAAAGCCCUAACCCUAGGGGUGGCGAGGGGAGUGGAAGGGAGGGGAGAGAGAGGGGGAGAUCGAGAACGCUUACGGCUCACGGGAGGCGGCGGAUCGCCGGCGCCGGAGAUGGGGGCGGAGUCGCCGGAGGAUGGCCGGAGAUCGCCGCCGCGGUGGGGACGCGUCGGAGGAGGAGGAGGAGGAGGAGGGAGAGAGAAGCGCGAGGGGUAGAGAGAGAGAGAGAGGGGGGGGAAGGGGAAAAGGAGCGAAAGGGGAGGGUAAUAAAGGGUGUUGCGACACGUGGGGUGUUAUGAGUCGUCAGAUUUAGUGUUUCCUGUGUGGGGAGAAUAGCCGGUGCAUGUGAUUUAUUUUCACUCCUCUGACGUAGCGGGAAUAUAUUCCGUGGACCGAGUCUAUAGAUCCACAAAUUGUGUGUUUUUUUAUUAAGGGAACUCACACAAAGCAGAGUAAAUUUUAACUUAAUUUAUUACCUCUAAACGUGGGUUAAAAAAAGUGGCAAAAUGCUAAAUAUUAAAAAUCACGGUAUAGAAUAGUGAUGUAAAUUUUUUAAUAAUUAUAAAAAUAAUAUUCUGUAGUAAAAUAAUGUUGAGUAUGAGACGGCAAUUUGAAGUCUAUCGAAUAUAUAUAUAUAUAUAUAUAUAUAUAAUCUGACCUCCUAUACUUUAAAAAUACAAGUCAUUGGUGUUUUGUAAAUUUUCGGCCCUUGGAUUAAGAGAUGUGCGGUUAGGAUAAUGUGGCCCUAAAAAUUCAAAAACACCAAGUGCUUGGUGCUUUUACAAGCACCAUAGCCGGACUCCAUAUAUAUAAUAUAUAAUAUGGAGUCGGCUAUGUGCUUGUAAAAGCACCAAAGCACUUGGUGCUUGUAAAUUUUUUACCGUUAGAUCUACAUCUUUGAACAUUUUCACCCGUUAAUUCAUAACAUUAAACCAACCACCCCACUCAACCCUAGGGCGCCCACAAUCAAUCCUAACCGCACAUUCCUUAAUCCAAGGGCCGAAAAGUUAUAAGCACCAAUGACUUGGUACUUUUAAAAGCAUAGGAGCUCAAUUUUAUAUAUAUAUAUAUAUAUAUUAUAUAUAUAUAUAUAUAUGAGAGAAGAGAGAGAGAGAGAGAAGAGAGAGUAGGGCUACUACACUUUUUUGAGUAUAUGAGUCCUUCGUACUCAUUAAGUUGUUUUCGAUGUUGGCUUUCGAAUCGACGAUACCAUAACCGUUAAAUAUGAUCUAGAGUAUUUGAAACUUUUAGAAAAAUAAAUUUCGUAAUUUUUCGAAAAACAUUAUAAAGUCCAUCAAGCGCGUAUAAAAUGAACGAUUAAAAUUGAACAGACAUCCUAAAAUGGAUGAUCGGAUCCUUCAAUUUAAGAUCGGAGUUAUUGAUCUUUAUUUAAUAGUGAAUAGAAUUUUUCUAUCAAAAUUCAAUCUAUUCCGAUUCUUUUUCACCGUUAAACUAGCAAAUAUCUCAUACUGGCCGUUAAAAAUUGUCAAUUUUGUAAGCUUUUGAUCGUAAGUAAUAAUAUCGAAAAAUUAUAAAAUUUGAUUUGUAGAGUUUUAAAUGCUCUAGAUAAUAUUUAACGAUAUGGAUCGUUGAUUCGGAAACUCUAUCAUCGAAAACAACUUAUGAUACGAAGGCGAUCGUAGCUCAUAAGAGUAUAGUAGCCGGACUAUAUAUAUAUAUAUAUAUAUAUAUAUAUAUAUAAUAAUAUAUAUAUAUAUAUAUAUAAUAUAUAUAUAUAUUAUAUAUAGUUGAGCUAAGAAUACUCUCGAUAGUAACGGGGCAUUUUCAUAGUCUAAGUUAUUUUCGAGAUAAAGCUUCAAAUUGACGAUCGGCUCCAUUGAACAUGAUCUAUACCACUUAAGUGUUUAGAAAUCAAAUUUCAAAUUCUUUUCGACAUUAUUUGGCCUAAUGAUCAAAGGUUUUCAAAAUUUGUAAUUUUAUAAUGAUGGAUAAGAGAUAUUUUGCCUGCGUUUAACGGUGUAAAGAUAUCCAAAUCAAUUGAAUUUUUGUUAGAAAAUUCUUUAAACUAUUUAAAACAAGAUCUAUACUCUUGAUCUUGAUUACAAGACUCCUAUUAUCAUUUUUUAAAGAAUAUUCAUUUUCAACCAUUCAUUUUCUGUUCACUAGAUGAAUAAAAGAAUAAUAUCGAAAGUGCGUGAAAUUUAAUUUCUAGGUAGUUUAAAUGGUUUAGAUCAUAUUUAACGAAGCCGAUCGUCAAUUUGGAAGCUCUAUCAUCGAAAACAACUCAAUAGUAAAACGCUCCGUUUACUAUCGAGAAUAUUCUAGCUCAACUCUAUUUAUAUAUAUAUAUAAACUAGGCUAGAAUACUGUUAAUAGCACCAAGUUAUUGGCGCUAUCAAAUUUUUAGCACUUGGAUUGAGAAAUAUGCGGUUAGAAUGAUGUAAGCCCUCUAGGGUUGAGUGAGUGGUUGGUUAAAUAGAAUAAUCUAACGAGUAAAAAUAAUUAAAGGGUUAAAUCUAAUGGUAAAAAACUCGAUAGCACCAAGCCCUUUGUGCUAUAGAUAGUAUAAGUCCGGCUAGGAUACUAUCGAUAGUACUAAGGGCUUUGGUGCUAUCGAGUUUUUUAUCAUUACAUUUGACCUUUUUAGUAUAAAUUAGACUAUAAUAUUUUAUUAUAAUAAUUUAAAAUUUUUGAAUUAAAAAUUAUAAUAAAUUAAAAUUUGAGACUCAAAGUGAUAGCAAUCUCAAAAUUUAAGAAGAUUAAAGAUGUGCUAUUAUAGCAUCUUUGCAAUGUUAUGAGAUUUUUUUAUUCUCUCGCCACUCAGUAUACCGAGAAAAGAGGUUCAAACACUCUUUUGUAAAUGCGAAGAAUCUGAUUUUAUUGUAUUAAAAUUUCAAGAUGGAUCCAACUUUUUAUAAUUAGAUAUUUUCUCUUUCCUUUUUUUUUUCUUUUUUUUUUUUGAAUUCCAACCUUUCAACUCAAUUAUUAUUAUCCCUCUUGCCCGAAAAAACUAAAAAAAAAAAAAGAAAAAAUAUCACCCCAGGAAAAAAUUUAAAAUAAUAAUUAAAGAAAGAAAGCUUGCGUGUCAUCGGACGCUCCAGAUCAUUUGAUCAUAUUUAUCCACGACGCACGCCGACCUAUCAUCGGACGGCCACGAUUGAAUCCUCGGGGGAGAUCGACGGCUCUCGCGGCGGAGAACGUCUCGCCACGCUAUGAUCCGCAGGGGAUCCCACGCUUUGUAAAGGACACGUGUCACGCCAUCAUUCCGCGGCUCCAAAAUAAGUCGCGCCUUGCCUCGUACGUCAUGGGGAGUUUUUUUUUUUUUUUUUUUUUUUUUUUUUGAGAGAUAGGUAGCACGCUAUCCGCUUCGUUUAUUUUAUUUAGAAAUAAACUUAGCUGGAAGUGUGAAUCAACUAGGAUUCGAACUUGGAUCUCAGGUACCAACCACUAAACUCUUUGCCACUUGCUUUAGGGACGGUCAGUUACGUCAUGGGGAGUUAUUGCUUGUUGGUCCGUGGGUCUAUACAAACAAUCCAUCAAACCAUACACACACACACACAUAUAGAGAGAGAGAGAGAGAGAGUUUUGCUAUAAUACUAUCAGUACUAAACGACUCGGUUUACUACCAAUUUAUUUUCGAUGAUAGAGCUUUCAAAUUGACGAUCGACACUAUUAAAUAUAAUCUAAACCAUUUAAACUGUCUGAAAUCAAAUUUCACGUAUUUUUGAUAUUGCCCUCUUGUCCAUCAAGUGAACAGAAAAAUAAAUGACCGAAAAUGAAUAUUCUUCAAAAAGUGAUAAUACAAUUUAUGUAUUUAAGAUCUAGAGUCUAGAUCUUGUUUCAAAUAAUUUAAAGAAUUUUUUAGCAAAAGUUUAGUUGAUUUGAAUUUUUGUAUUGUUAAACGAGAAACGUACCAUCAUAUUGAGCAUUAAAAUUAUAAAUUUUGUUACCCUUUAAUCGUUCAGUUAAUGAUGUCAAAAAAUCAUUGAAAUUUAAUUUCUAGAUAAUUUAAAUGGUCUAGAUCAUAUUCAACAAUACCAAUUAUCGAUUUGAAAGCUGAUCUAUCCUAAAAAACAAAUCAGUAGUAAACCGAGUCGUUUACGAUCAAAAGAUGUUGAAAAUUUGGUUGUGACCUUUUGAUCGUACGGACGUUUUAAAUGCUCUAGAUAAUGUUUGACAGUGUGGAUCGUCGAUUAGGAAGCUCUAUCAUCGAAAACAACUUAUGAGUACGAGAGUAAUCGUACUCAUAAAAGUAUAGUAGCCGGACUCUAUAUAAGUGCAGCUAUUAUACUCUUAUGAGUAUAGUAACUACACUACUCAUAACUUUCCCUUCAUCAGAUCUACUCCGAGAUUCAUGCCAGAUUUGAUGAAGGAGAGAUGUAACGGACUGCUCCGUUAGAAGCAAAGUGGGGCCGAUUUCGUUCACAUUCCGGUGAGUGUGAGGUUGUGUAACCACACUCGAUGAGCAUUUAAUGCUCACCCAGGAGCCGUACAUUGUGGUAUAUGUAUCUGAGCAAAUACCAGUGAGGUGGAUGGAGAUGAAGGGUAUUUUGAUCGGACGGUAAAAAAUCCGAUCCGAAUCUGUAAAAUCGAAAAUGAUGAUCUACAUUUUCAAAAGCUCAAAACUAAUGAAUUUUUUAUGCAAAUUGGCCAUAUAUGUGUGUGUGGUUUGAUGGAUUGUUUGUAUAGACCCAUGCACCAACAAGUAAUGACUCCCCAUGACGCACGAGGCAAGGCACGCCUUUUUUUGGAGCCGCGGAAUGAUGGCAUGACACGUGUCCUUUAAAAAGUGUGGGAUCCCUUGUAGAUCAUAGCGUGGCGUGACGUUCUCCGUCGCGAGAGCCGUCGAUCUCGCCCGAGGAUUCAAUCGUGGCCGUCCGAUGAUAGGUCGGCGUGCGUCGUGGAUAAAUGUGAUCAAAUGAUCUGGAGCGUCCGAUGACACGCAAGCUUUCUUUCUUUAAUUAUUAUUCUAAUUUUUUUCUGGGGUGAUAUUUUUUCCUUUUUUUUUUUUAGUUUUUUCGGGUAAUAAGAGGAAUAAUAAUUGAGUUGAAAGGUUGGAAAAAAAGCAACGUUAGCCAAUGAAAUCAAAUGAUGCCCAACUUUCCAAAAAAAAAAUAAAAAAAAUCCAAUUUGAAUAAGUUGGAUUCACCUUGAAAUUUUAAUACAAUAAAAUCAGAAUCUUCGUUUGAACCUCUUUUCUCCGUAUACCGAUAAUAGAAUAAAAAUAUCUCAAAACAUUAAUUGUAAAGAUGAUAUAAUAGCACAUCUUUCAUCUUCUCGAAUUUCGGCUACCAUUUUGAUUUUCAAAUUUUAAUUUAUUAUAAUUUUUAACUCAAAAAUUUUAAAUUGUUAUAAUAAAAUAUUAUAGUCCAAUUUAAUUGCCUAAAUACUGAUGUUUCACCGCUAUAAAAUAGUAAUGUACAAUAUCGACACACCGCCGUUCAACUUCACUACAAAUUAGAAAGACACAGCCAACUCAAAACCUUAGUAGAGGACCAAAAAUGCAAUUUAGCCUAUACAGAGACCAAGUGAGAUGUGGUAAAACAAUGCUCAACAGAGAUUGGAAACAAAUAAUUCAACCAACUCCGUUGAAAGAGAACAUCGAUGAUUUGUGAAUUUUACCUGCUUAAUGGUGAUCAUCGAUAACCGUCGUCGAUGAGGGAACAACCAUCUCGCGAUUAAAGAGAAGAUAAAAGGAGAAAUCAAUUUUUGAUAAAACAACCAGCUCUAACAGAAGCAGGAGACAUUAGAAGCACAGGUGUACAGAGAAGGAAAAAGAUCCAAGUUCUCCACCAGCUAAAACUUACAUUACCCACCAAAGAGCACACAAAUCUACAGCAAUAGAAAGAAGGAUUCGGAACAGUCCUUUAACGGCAUAAUUACUAGACCUAGUAACUAGAAAGUUAUACCUAACAGCAGCAGCAGCAGCAGCACCAGCACCUUCACCUGAACUUCGGCUUCUUCGACGGCGGGCCCUUGAAAUUCCUUCUAUCAGGAACACGCGACUUUGUAAAACGCGACUUUGGAAAGGCCUUCGGCUUCCUCCUCCUAUCGUCCUCGCUAUCAGACUCGUCCCCCUUCUCCCUAUCUGCGUUGCUCGCCUCCCUUUCUAACUCCUCCCAUGUCUUCCCUUUCUCCUCUUCAGAAUUUUCUUCGGAAUCAUCCUCAUCUUCUUCGUCAGAUUCUACUAACGACUCGCUGUCAGAAGCUUCAUCUUCCGAUUCAGAUUCGGGCUCAGCGUCGGACGGCUCGUAACCCUGGUCAGAUUCCUCUGUAUUUUCUGAAUCUGAGUCACUUCCUUCCAAAUUCAGAAACUCCCACCCACCAUCUUCGAUGAAUUUCUCCGGGUCGUCUAUGAUUGUUUUCAAGAUCGGGCGCCAGUUCAAGUUCAGCCUGCUUUCGUAGUAUUUCAAGUCGGUAGUAUCGAGCCAUUCUUUGAUCCCAUCGAGAGAUGUAGCCGGAAUAGAAUCAAUUCGAAGAACGUCUUUCUUAAAAUCUUUGAACACGAUCGCCAUGUCAAAGUUCUUCUGCCCAAAACCGACCCUUUCUAAAUUAACAAUCUCAAUCUCGCUUAAUGUGACUACAAGGAAGGGGGUUUCGAUCAGCUCGACCAAGCAACUUGAGGUAGGGACAAUGAAAGCAGAAGCCUUGUGAGGGACUCCAUGAAACCCUAAUUCCCUAAGGGGCAUAUCGAACUCCAAAUCCAAUCCUUUAAAUUGGGGCUGCGCCCAGUGAUCAUUUACUUUAUUGACAAAGUUCUGGAACUCCAUAUUAAUCCUAUUCUUCCUAUCCCUCUCACGCUGCUCUUCUUCAAUCUCAUCAGGAUCGAGCGCCGACCUACGCCCACCACCAAGAGUUUGCACAACAUCCAUCACUUCAACAUAGAAUUGAACAUCUUUAGUUUUCUUGUUGCCAACCAUUAUAUGGUUAUGCAGAUGGAAAUGUAGAAGAGUAAUCAUUUCUCUCUCCGCAGGUUGGAAAAAGGCAUGCUUUAUGUUUCCAUACAUGAUAUCAACCCUUUCAUCAGGUCUAGAGGUUGAGUACCUGCAUAGUCACAAAUGCAGCAUAAGGAAAUGAACCGCAAAAGCUGAAAAUUUCGGAAAUUGGUAAAAGUUUGGCGAAUCGCAUAGAAAACAUGGAACUAAUUGGCUGAUAAAAUUUCCCUACAAUAUAAAAUGCUAUAUUUUUCAUGUUCUAGUAUAAAAUAGCUACAAGCAUAAAGAAUAAUCAAUUUUGGCUUCAACUAAUUCGUAACUUUCUUUAAUUAUUUGGUACUGUGUAGCAUAGUCCUGAUUCCUUGAAGCUUUCUUACUCAGGAAUGUUUUUUUUUUCCAUCGCAAAAAUGUGAACUGCCUGUGAAUUUUCAAAAUUUUGGAGAAUUUUCUUUAAGUGAAAUAUGAAUACCUAAAACCAUUGAUGUGAGCUUCAAGGGUUCCAGUGAGCUUUCGACCCCGACCACCAAAAGAAGGGCGUAUCCACAAAUCUGGUAACCUCAUUGUUCUCAUCCGAUUAUUUGCCAGCUGGAGCUUCUCCUGUGUGACUAGAGUUGCCCUCUCAGCUCUUUCUGACUCUCUAGAAGCCACCUGUCUUCUUAGAGUCUUAAUCAAUUGAACCACUUCACUACUAUGCCUCGGAUCCUUUGAGCGGAAGGUGAUUUCUUUUAAAUAGAUUGCGCCCUGGAAUUUAAGAGAAUUGGCGUCAUGUGGACUAAAUGGUGUACCAGGAACAUUAAAGAUAAUCCGAAUAGUGCAGGUCCGAUUAUCCUGAUGGCUUGUCACGCUCUUGACGGUAGAAACAUGAAAGGGAACCAUGCUACCAUAUAUGGGUAAAAGAAUCGCUUCAUUCCUUUGAUCAACUUGUAUUAUUAAUUCCUUCGAAUAGGGUAUAUCAUUCACGUUCUUAUAUGCGACCAAUUCAUUCGAAGUCCUAACCGGGCCCCGGCCCUCCGCUGACCCAGACCCGCCACCUGCCAACCUGCGAGCUGUCUCUUCAUUCUUCUGGCGUGCCAGCUCAGCCUGGUGUUGUCUUCUCAGCUCUUCUUUGGACAUUUCUUGAUUAUCUGAUCUAAGUGUUGCCUUAGACGGGAAUGCCUCAGAACCAUUCGCUUCAUUUCUAGGCCUAGGCCGCUCUUCCUCCUCUUCUUCAUUAAAAGAGUAAGCAACAUCUUUAACUGCCUUAGAGCAAGCAGCAGUUAAUACUUCUGGGGGUUUCUCACUAACAAUAACUGUAUCAGCCAGCAGUAAAGAGAACUUCUCAGUCUUCUCAUUGUUAGUCUCUGCUUGGAGAUUCUGAAAACCUAGGGAAACAUUGAACACCAUCCCUGGCUUAAUGGGCCGGUCGUUUUUAGAAUUUAUGCCCAGCCCCGAUUCACGAAAUUCAAGCCCGAUACCUGUUCCAGCCGACUUGGUCAGAUUCGGUAGCAACUCUGGCGCUUCCUUCUCAACCACUGCUACGGCUGCUUGAUAAGCAGUGCUGACUUUAUUACCUGGCUUCAAUGCAGCUAUAGCAGAAUCGUGAGCUUUCAAAAGCACCUCAUAAGCUCUACUCUGGGACUUAGCAGCAUCAAUUAAAAAAGUUCUCGCCACAUUGGAGCAAUAGCUGUUGUAUCUCGAUCCAAUCGCGCAGAUAAUAACACUUGUUGAAUCAUAGUAUAACUCAUCAUCGUUACUUGAUGCACUUGGUCUAAGAUCAAAUUUACCUCCACUUUGGAAUAUAGGAGGGUAGCAUAUGUCAACAUUUUCCACCUUUAACUUGACUUUGACCUUAGAUGGAUCUAGAAUAGCUUUUUCUGUGUCAUCCAUCAGAGCAGAGUGAGUAACCUUCUUUUCCUCAUCGAUAAUAUUUUCCAAUUUUGGGACCACAAAAUUUUUCAUCACAGAUGAGGUUAGAUAAGCAGCUUUUUUCACACAAGUAAGCUCCAUCGCAUCCUUCACGGCAAAUAGUUCAGAGAAGCCAUUUGUUGCAUCAGCAAGCUGUAGUGAAGACCCGUUUAGCUUUUCUGACCAUGUUUCAAGAAGCUUCCCUUCAGGGGCCUCUUUCGCAAUGUAACCAACAAUGGGUGAAUCGGAUUUGGACUGAGAUCGAACAGCUUGUAAUAUUUCAUCCAUUAAAGCAGUCCCAUCAUCGUUCUUCGCUUUAACAUGUACAACAAUAUCAGUGCCAACAGCUUCCUUUGCGGACCUCUUUACGGUUUCGAGCAGGUUGGCCUUCUUUUGGCUGCAUAGGAAAUGGAUCUGCUUGCUCAUGAAGACCAUUAAGGUUUCGGGGAAUUCGUAUCCAAGAAGCCAGAUGUUGAGAGCUGAAGAUUUUAAGUAGCGGAGAUCUUCAGAAGCAGGUGGAGUUGCAAUCGCAAUAGCAUCGGAUGAGCCCCAGAAAUCGGAUUUGUACUUCCUCCAGUGAUCAUAGAAGUCCUUUAGGCGCUUGCUGAAGUUCUCAAGAUUGAUUGUGUAGGAAGCAGAGCUGCCCCCAGAAGCCGGUUUCAUGCUCCCAUUUUGGCGAUCAGCCAUGAUUGCAUUCAAUCAACAACGAGACAAUCUUUGUAUGUUACUUGGAAAGAUAUGGCCUGAUAGGAAAGAACAAAUCUUUUAAAUAUAGAAUUAAAAAGGGGACGGCAGGAAAAUAAAUAAACAAAGAUACACCACACAGUUCCAAUGAUUAACAAUAAAGUAGCAUCUCUACUAAGAAAAUAGGCUUGUAUUUGUCCAGGCUAAGCCUCUUAGAAUGCUACAAUUACUUAUUCAGCCAAGAAAUGUGCAUUAUUCAAGAAUCUUGUUCAAUGGAAGCAGGAAAAGUAGGACUUCCUGUUGAUCUCAGAUGACAGAUUUAACUUGAUUUCAAUCUGAACAAUGCAAAAGAAUGAAUAAAAGCCCACAGCAGCAAAGAGCAGAGGAAGAAAAGAAUAAAGGAAAAUCCUAGUCUCACCAAAAAGAAACUCAAAUUUCCAAUAUAACAUAUACUAAAUGGAUGAGAUGCCUAAAGCUCUAUUUAUAGACAUUUGGAGAUAAAUCCAUAUCCCACUGGAUAUUCUAUCGCCUAUGGAUUUUCUCCCUCGGAGAGAUAUAUACUCUGUUCAAAUUUCUAACAAUCCUGAAUAUCCUAGUUUCACAAGGAUACAUCUAGUAAAGCGAUAUAUCCAAUCUAAAUACAUCUAACCUUACUUAGACAUGAAGUUAAAAUUUUCGAAGUCUAAACUACUAACAUUUUUCAAAGUAUAAUCUAAGCUGCAGGGUUGGCUUAUUGGUGUGGUGGGGUUGUCAGAGCAAAAAAGACGAGAGCGUCCAGAUGGCAGAUACAACAAUGUAGUAGAUCAGUGUCGAAAAUGGUAGGUACAAAGACGUCAGUUUUGAUGAUGGACACGAGAUGGCAGUGGGUUUAACUUGAGAGGGAGAAAAGAGAAAGAGUAGAAAUAGGAGUCUCGCAAGAAAAAGCAGAAACUCCCAAUAUUUUCUUCUCCAUAUACCCUGAUUAUUUCUGAACUAAAUAACACCUAAUCCUGAUAAACUUUGUAAUGCAAGCAAAAUUCCUAAUUUUUAGGUAUUUUUGCUUUAAAUAUCCAAAAAAUACAAAAUAAAAUCCCCCCAAUAUCUGAACAUAAAUUGACUAGAAAGUUGACUAAAUUGAUGGAUUAAUAUAAAUGCAAAAGCACUAACCUAAUCCCGGACAGCACCAUCACCGACUAGUAUGGCCAUACUCAAUCUCGAUUCGAAUCACAUCUCUGAAGAACAAUUAGUUCAUUCAACCUUUGAAUGUCUAUUCCAUUCCUUUGGCCAUACAGGUGCCCAAUCCUGUUAAGAACCUCAAAGUGUAGAUCAUCCAACAUGAGGCGAUGGCAAUUGGUUGAUCUAGUUCAUGGUCUAGGAAUGAACUUCUACCCACUGAGACUUUGUACCUUGAUCCUGUAAAGGUGUAACCACUGGGACCUCUCAAUCCAUCUUCAUUAAUGUUUUCUAGCUAUACUAAGUGCAGGAUAGUCAAAUCCAGUAAAUCUACAGAGUUGAUUGUCUUAAUAAUUCUAAUUGCAGAAAUGAUUCCUAGCAUAAAAAAAACUUGCUAGCCCAUCUUUUACAGCAAACUUAAUAUCAAAAGUCGUGGAUUUCCCACAAUAACAUUGUGCAUCGUAGGCAAUUCUUUAUGAGAACUAUUCAAAUCAAACAUGAAAUAGCACUUUUCUUGAACUUAUUAAGCAGUGGUAAAACAACAAUUAUAUGCUUAAAUUUACUAAGAAGACAAAAAAAAGGGGGUUAUUCUAAUGGGCUGAACUAAAUGUAUAAUCAUUUGACAUCUACAUCGAAAUCAAAAGCAGAAAGGAUAUAUGUUUCGAUCCUUCCAUUUCACCUCCCAAACCUAAAUUUCAGUUCAAUUUUAAGUUUCUACUGAUGGGCUGAAAUAAAUGUAUAUUAAUUUGACAUCUACAUCAAAAUCAAACAAUGAACUAACUAUCCACCACAUCAACUACAAAAUCACAAUCAGAAAGGAUAUAUGUUUCGAUCCUUCUAUUUCAUCUCCCAAACCCAAAUUUCAGUUCAAUUUAAGUUUCCACUAAUGGGCUGAAAUAAAUGUGGAUUCAUUUGACAUCUACAUCGAAAUCAAACUAUGAACUAACUAUCCACCACAUCAACUACAAAAUCACAAUUGGAGAGGAUAUAUGUUUUGAUCCUUAUCUUACGCUUCCCAAACCUAUAUUUCACUUCAAUCUCAAGUUUCAACCCCUUCCUCAAGCGGAUAAACAUCUUCUAACAGUUUCUAAGACUGAUUUCACCUACUCGACCAUAUUCCUCUCUCUCCAUCUCGACGCCUUUUUCAUUACCCCUUCCUCACGCAUUCCAAAAUUGCUCCCAAUUUCAGCAAAAAAAACAAAUAGAUAUCCAAAAGCAGAGCAAAAAACACCUGAUUACGUACGAAUUCCAGAAAAAAAAACCCCCUAAAUUUCCACUAAAUCGCCCCAAAAUUUUCCAUCAAGCACAAAUAACAUACAAUAUCAAUCGAAAACACGAAAUCAAACACAAAAAACACGAACCAACAAAUCAGUGAUAAAAUUGACGAAAAAAUCAGAAAAAAAUAAGGCGACAAAAAGAGGAUCAGCUUACGAUUCGAGAUCGCGGAUAGUCGGGCGGAGCAAACCCUACAAACAGGUCCCGCACCAAAUCCAGCGUCCUCCAGCGCCGCAAACCCUAAUCUCUACCUCUUCCGAAGCGGCGGAGGAAGAGGGGGAGAGGGGUAAGAGGGAGAGGGGGAGAGGGGGGACGAGAUGGGGAGGGCGAUUAGGGUUAGGGAGGGGGGAAUGUGGGGGGGGCGUAGAGGAGAGGAGCGGAGAGGAGACGAGACGGGGAAAUGAAAGGAAGAGAGAGGGGUUUAGAGAGAGGGAGAGAAAUGAACAAGCGAGCGCUCGAGGGGCGGUUAUAAGGAAAAAGGUCGGGUCGGGUCGGGUCGGGUCGGGUCGGUUCGGGUCGGGUUACAUUUGACUCGGAAUCAAACCCGACCCGUUAAAGAGUUAGGACGGGUCGACUCGCCGGCUCAACGGGUCAACCCGACCCGCUAAAACUGCCAUUUUUGUUGUCAAGAAGAGGCAACAACACUACUACUACUAGGGGUCGCAAUCCUGGCAAUCCAGCUCGCUGUUCACGAACCAUCGUGUCUUCGGUUCGAAAUGAAUUUGAAAUUGAAUCGCUCGUAUGGUAUACGAGCCGAAUAUCAACUGAAUUUUUUAGUUUAUUUAAUAAACGAGCCGAAUACAGGUUGUGGUCAGCUUGCUCUUGUAUGGCUCGAAUACACAUAUUUUAUAUUUAUAUAAUAAUAGAAAAACUUUUAAUACUAUCCAUAUAGUUUUGUACUUUCUUAUUUUAAUAUUCUGUAAGUUAAAGUGUAUCAGUACUUUCAUACCCAGUAAUUUUAUUUUUCUUUUUUUGUAAUUCUCUCCACUAAUUUUUUUCGUUAGAUUAGAUCAGUGACAAAGUUAAAACAAAAGGGUACUAAAGUAAAUAUUCAAUAUAUUAUAGAUUGGGUAUCUAAAGUUUUCUGUAUUUGAUUUAACGAAAAGUUAACGGAGAGGCUGACGAAAAAAUAAUUAUGAAACCACAGGGUACUAAAUUUAUACGUUUUAAACCGCAGGGUACUAAAGUGAGAAAGUGCGAAGCCACUAGGGUGAUAUUUGAAGUUUUUCCUAUAAUUUAUAUAUAUAAUAUAUAUUUUUAUUAUUUAAUUGUUAAUUUAAUUUAAAUAUGAAGACCGACUUGAUUAUAAAAAAUCUCAUUUCUAUAUAAAACUUCAAUUAUUAGAUCAAAAUUUAAUGGAUAAGUUUUUUAAUACUUUUAAUUUGUUAUUCGUGAGCCAGAAACGAACCGAAUACGAGAGCCAAACACGAGCCAACCCAGCUCGCUCGUGUUCAGCUCGUUGACGCUAACUACUGCUCUUCUCUGCAGUCUUAAAUUCUAAUAUUUAUAAUAAAAAAAAAUUAGAUAAAAGUUUAAGCAACUUAUGUUAUAUGAAUCAUUUUGAAUUAGCUAUAUAAUCAUCUCUACCCUAGAAGCUCCAACAACGGCAGAGACUUUUGUUUUUUCCCUUUUUACUCUUAAGAAACUUUGGAUUUAUUGUAAUAUUGGUCCUUAAUAUUUGCAAGUUUUUUUAUUUGGUCCCCAAUUCUUUUUUUCAAGUUAAUUUUAUUUAAUUUGAAAUUUAUAAAUUUAUUGAAAAUUAAUUAAUGGGACUACUAAGUUAAAUUUAUAUAUUUUUAAUAAACUUUAUACUAAUUUAUAAUAUUUUAACAAAGUUUUUUUUCUUUGGGUCCGUUGAACAAAACGUAAAACCGUACAAAAAUUUUUUUCAUGAAAAAAAUAUUUACGCUUUAUAGUGCUUGGUUUGUAAGAAAAAAAAUAUAGUUUUUCAUCAACAUUUGUUUGGUUGAAAGGAAAAAAAUCAUAUUUAUUUAGUUUAGUAGAAAAAAAUGAAUGAAAAAAAUUUUACGUAACUUGAGUUUUCGUUUUCUGCCAAAAAAUAGUGAAAAUGAAAACUUCAAUUUCACCCCAUAACAAAACAAGCGAAAAAGUAUUUUUUAUACCGAAAAUAAUUUUUUGGUUCCUUUUACGUCAAACCAAAUGCCCUUUAGUAUGGAUGAAUAUUUAGGGUAUGUUUGGUUUGAAGAUUUUGAGACUUGGAAUGAGAAUCAUAAUAGAUUUUUUCCGUUGUUAAUAUUUAGAUUGAGAUAUCAACAUUUUAAUUUCCAAUCCGGAGGGAUUCGCAUCCCUCAAAAUUGACUCCCACCUUAGAGAAGGAGACAACUUUGAUUCCGAAGUGAUUGAGAAAAGAUACAUUUUUUUUUUUUCACUAAUAACUAUUUGAAUUCAAAUAUUUUAGUUCCCAGAUAAAUUUUUAUUUGGCUAAAUUAUAGAAAAUCCUUAUAUCAAUACCCGCUUUUUCACUUUCCUUCCCUGUCAUUUAAAAACAUAUACUUUGCCCUCUUAUAAAAUAAAAAAAAUUCACUUCACCUCUUACCAUCAGUACCCCGUUAGGGUUCCGUUUAUAAAAUAUUAUUAUAUAUUUUUUAUACCAAAAAUACGCUUAGCCUUCCCUCUUGCCGCCUCGCCUUCCUCCGCUACCUCGCCGUCGCCCACAUCUUCGUUCGCACCCACAAACACCCCUCACCCUUCUCCAUCGCCUCGCCUUCGCUCUCGUUGCCCGCCCACCUCUACAUCCACGCCCACAUCGAUUUUCUCCCUAUUAUUGCCGGAAUAGAGGGACGACGAGGGUACAAGAGGAGAAGGGAAGCAGGUGGAGAAAAAAAUGGAGAGAACCGCGGCCAAUCGAGGCGCAAACCGCGGCGGAUGAGCAAGAUAAGGGAGGAGACGAAAAUAGUGAGAGGCAAAUUGGUCAUAUCGUCAUCACAAUUUACACCGUACCCCCUGUAAAUAUUUUUCAUUUUACAAGAGGGUAAAGUAUAGAUUUUUAAAUGACAUUUGAGGAAAGUAAAAAAAUCAAAUAUUGACAUGAAAAUUUUAUGUAAUUUAGUCGUUUUGUUUUUAUCAUUUCGUUUGCGAUUUCGGCCAUCCCUAUUACUAUUUUGUUUGCGAUUCCGGCCAUCCCUAUUACUAUUUUGAUUUCGAUAACUAUUUUGAAUCAAAUAUGCCCUAAAAUCCAUGGCCAAAAGAAUAUUACAUGCAGUUGUCAAUGGCCGAGAAUUUACAAAAUGUAAUAUUGUGUUUCAACUCCAUGCUUUUCCUUUUCUCAAAACAAGGAGCAAGAGAAGGAAAACAAAAAAGGGAAUUUUUUGCAUUUAGUUCUCUUCAAAAUUUUAUUUUUAUAAAUGGUCAUAAUAAAUUUGUUUUUUUACAAAUAGCUUUUUCCUUACCCUGCGAGCACCUAAGAAGUGUUUUAAGUUGAAUAUAGUGAUUAAAUCACUAUGUUUAAAUACAGUGAUUGGAUUAUCGCGUUCCUUUAGAAUGUGAAUAUGAACACGAUGCUUCAAUUGCCUUGUUUAAACACGAUGAUUUAAUCAAUCACGGCGUUCAACUUAAAAAUAGCAGCGUGAUGCUCGCGUGGCAAAAAAAGAUCAUAUAUAUAAAUAUAAAUUUAUAAGGAUCAUUUAUUAAUUUUUUUUGGAAAAUAUUAUACACCCUAUCUGGAUGUACAAGUUACAUUCCAUCCCUCCAACGGGCAAGGAAAAAAUUAUUAGUCACAUUAAGUGACUAGUAAAAACACCCCACCCAUUAGAUAGAUGGGGCGUAGGAUAUAUACACCCAUUUGGGGUGUAUAUGUAGCAUUACGUAAUAUUUUUGAGAGUUAAAUGUAAAAAAGCCCUAAAAAGAGAUUUUUUUUUAUAUUUAACUCCCUACAAAAAAUUUACAAUUGAUCCUAAAAAUUUACAUUUGCAUAUACGGCACUCUCCUUGUCAUGCGAGUGCCACGUUGGUAAUUUUUAGUUGAACACGGUGAUUUAAAAAUUUACAAAUGAUCCUAACAAAUUUAUAUUUACAUAUACGACCCUUUCUUUGCCACGCGAGUGCCACGUUGGUAAUUUUUAGUUGAACACGAUGAUUGAACCACCGUAUUUAUAUUCACACUUUAGUCCCUUUUUUUAACUUACGAUUAAUAAAAAAAAACAAAAAGGAACAUGAUGAUUCACGGUGAUUGAAUCACUGUGUUCAAUUUAAAAAUGCCAUCUAGGCACUCGCGUGAUAAGGGGAGAAUUAUUUAUACAAAUAUAAAUUUAUUAGGUCUAUUUAUAAAAAAAAAGUUUUGAAGGGGCUAUAUAUAAAAAAAAAAGAUUAAUUGCAUAUAGGUCCCUGCAAACAUAGUGAAUUACAAAUAUAUCUCCGUAAAAUUCAACUUUUAUAAAUUAUCCCUACAAAAGUCCUAAUGUUUUCAGAUAUGUUUCUGCGUUAGAAUCCGUUAGAAAAGUUUAGUUAACCAUAGAUUAAAUGCUUUACCCUAGUUAACUUUUGACAUUGUUACCCUUCUUAUAUUAUAUUGUUAUAACUUUUGAAAGAACAUAUUUGUGAUGGUAAAGUUGGAAAUAUAAAUAGUUUUCUAACGGUUCUCUAACGAUAACAAACCACAGAGACAUAUAUGAAAAUAUUAGAACUUUUGCAGGAAUAACUUAUGAAAGUUGAACUUUACAAGGAUAGAUUUGCAAUUAAAUAUAUUUGCGGGGACCUGCAUGCAAUUAACCCUCAAAUAAAAAACCCUAAAAAAAUGAAUGGGCGGUGAUCUCACGGGCGUGGUGACCCGAUUCGAUCGGACUCAUGGCGGAGAGAAGAAGCUCCGCUCCGUCUCCGUGUGGGAUUUGUUCCCUUUGCAUCGACAGCGAGAGAGAGAUUGUUUGAGAGAGAGAGAGAGAGAGAGAGAGAGAGAGAGAGAGAGAGAGAGCCAUGUCCACAUCUGCGUGUGUGUUGCGGUGGAGCUCCCAAGCCCACUUGAGAAGAGCGGAGAAAGGGGGAGGAGCCUCCUCCGCCGCCGCCGCCGCCGCCGCUCACCGCCCCCAAAAACCCGCCCUUUUCUUCGCCGGAGAACCGCAAACGAGGCGCUUCCCCAAGAAGCUGCUGUUCCCAAGUCGCAACCGAUUCGACCAUUCACCACUGUUAUGCAGUGGCAGGAAUGCAGGUACGUUUCCUUACAUUUCAAACAUUUUGAUUUGAUUUGAUUCGAUUGGUUAUGGAUAUAUUGCAUCACUAGUCCCCGAACUAUAGCCGAGUUUCACUUUGGUUCUUGAAACUUGUUGUGUAAAAAUUACUUUUUUUUGUUGAUCGUGAUGUAACUGUAGUUAUCUCAUUUUGUUUAUUUAUUUUAGAAAAAACUUUAAAUAUCAUUCAUAUGAAUUCGCUCUUUCUCAUUUUAGUAUUACGUAAUUUAAAGUGUAUUACUUUUAUAUUCCAUGUGUUUUUUUUUUUUAUCUAUUCUACUAUUUUUUUUUUUUUUCUGUUAAAUCAGUGACAAAGUUAAAAGCAAAGGAUAAUCGGUAUAAGCAGUAUUUUCCCUUCUUUAUGUUCUUUUUGUUUCAUGCGAUGCUAAAAUGGGGGAACCAUGACACGUAAAUGUAUGUUAGAUUUAAUGGAAGUUUCACGACCAAAGCCAUUUUGUGAGAAAUUUUUCAAAAGUAGAAAAUUUGAGACUCAAAUUUUAGUUUACUUUUACCUUUUUGGUAAGUAAGUAUUAUGUCAACCUUGUGCUAUGCAAUUUAUCACUCAGUGAAAUGCUUUGGAAUGAGGAUAGUGGCUAACCCAUGAGGAAAUUGAUGUCUCACAUUCUAUAGAGCUACUAAAUCUGCUAUUUUGACUUAAAAAAUUGUAGGCAUUUGAUCGAAGUAAUUAGUUUAUGAUACAGAGACCGUGUAUCUAUCGAAAAAUUCUAGAAUGUCCCGGGUAAAUUGGUGACUUGGCGUCACAAACCAAUCAAAUAUCUCCUUUUAGAGAUAUAUGCCCAUCAUGAUUAUAAAAAAAUAUUUUUAUUGUACUUUUGUUUGAAAAGAAGAAAUGUGAUUGGCUUGUUAUUGAUGAUGUGGUUCGAGCACGACAGUGUAGAAUUUCGUGUAUCUAUCGUGGAGAAACUGUUGCUGUUUGAUGACUGAACAUGUUACUGUCAUACUAUGUAUGCAGCUCGCAGAUUGAGGUCGGCGUUCCGUGUUCAGUAGCAUAUCAGUGUUAUUCAGAUCGGGAGACCAUUCCUCAAUGGAUGCCAUUUAUCUCGUCCGUUAAGGUAUAAUACAAAGCCGAAAUCACUUGAUUCUUUUAGAUACAUAUCUAUUUCUCCGAUAAAUUUAUAGAAAGAAAAGACAUCUGUGUUGGCUUAAAUGGGCCAGCAUCCUGUUUUGUGGCGGGAGGCUGUGUUGGGCCGAGUAAUAUUCGAAAUGGCGUGAGGCUAGGUGAGCUGAGUUAUAUUCGAAGUGGCGUGAGGCUGGAUGGGCAGAGUCACAAUUGAGACUCGUGGACGCCGUAUCUGUACGCUUUAAGUGAAUUGGAUGCGUAUUUCUAAUAGCUCGAGCUUUUGAGAUUAAUGGUUUGCGCCAACGAUCCGACAAUAUGGAUGUGAUAUAGCUAUUUCCAUAACAACAACAUGGUAGGAGAUGAAAAAAUUUAAUAUACAAAACUCACACCUUCGGAACACGCGAAUCCUGAAAGUUGUUGCAAAUGUUAUGUAGUGUUAAUCUUAAAUUGUACACGAAGUUUAAGUUCGCUUGGAAAAUGUAGCAUCCGAUCGGUUGCAUGAUGUUUUUGAAGUUUCUUGUGUAGUAAAAAAAAUUGCGUAUUAGCUGACAUUAGGAUGACAUUUGGCAUCCUAAUCAGCUGAUGUUGGACAAUGUGGACUUGGCUAGGAUAAUACAUAACUUGCUGUUACUUGUUUUCGAUAUUUGUUCGUAGUAGGACUUAAUUGUGGACUAUGAUAAAAGUUUUAGUUAAUGGAAGAAAGAGAUUUUUUCAAAUUACAAUUACUUUUAUUCACCUAAACAAGGAGGGAUUCGUAAUUAAAUUAACUUCUCUAGAUUUGAAAAACGUAAAAGGAGUUAUUGUUAGUAGAUGUAAUGGAAUGGUACUUCUGUAGGAAGUAGCUGAGAAAUGCCAGAAAAGUGAAGUUUCCAUUGGGGUGACAUAAUGUUGUUCCGCUUCGCUUCUGGAACAAGUCUUGUGGAGAAAACAGAAGCUGGUCAUUGUCCAAAAAAAAAAUGUGUAGAGCUUCUACUGUGGCAAGAAGUUAAAAUGAGUUCCUCGACCCAAGCAGCAGUUUUAAUUUGAAACUUAUGUUCUAGCUGCAGAAGAAGUUGUUGGCGGGGAGGGCCUGUUAGUGCUUUCUCUUAUAGCUUUACUUAAUUAGCAUUUCUGUAGAAGUUCCAGCCAGGCCCAACAAGCCCUUAUUUAUGAUGUCCGGUUUAUAUCAAAAGGAUUGCGACUCUGAAGAGAAAUUUGAAAUGUUCAAAAGCACUUUGAUCGGUAAAAACCAUUACUAACACAUUAAUUCUUUUGAAGCCAAAGAAUGCUUAGUGCAUUAAAAAUGAACUCACUCUCGAAUAGUUAUUUUCAGAAGCCUUCCAUCACUUUGCAAUUAGGGAAUUAAAGUAAGUGAUAGUAACAGUAUUCGAAUCUCUUAUGCAGAUGAAAAAAAUACUGUUACAGUAUAUUGUCGUUCUUUGUUUUGGUCGCAACCUUUCUUUAAAGAAAAUUUGAAAAAGAAUCUUUGGUGAUACUAAUUUAUGUACAAGCUGUUAACAGAUUUUACAAGACAAGCCAGACCUAUCUCGCUGGUCUUUGAAGUACGAGGUGUUUGGUCGAAAUGUUGAGUUCUCUUGGCUUGCCAGAAACAUGCAGGUGAGUGUUCUAAAGAUCAAUCUUAAGUUUGAUAUAUCUCUUAAUUAACAGCAGUUUCUUUGAUUAACAGCCCAUUCCUAAUCAGAAAAUUCAUUGGCGAUCUCUAGAAGGACUUCCUAAUAGGUAAAAGGAACUUCGGGCAUUUCAUUUAGAUCCACUCGCAUUUUUACGUACCUUCUGCGAGAUCCAGUUUUACUACUUCCUAAAUAUCCCUCCUAACAUAGAAUUCUCCGAAAACUGGAGUCUUGCAGUAUUUGGUAAAUAUCGUAGAUUGCAAUGAACUAAUUUUGUUGUGAUGUUAGGAAUUCUGCUAUCUACUGCCGAUCCAUGUUAAUAUAAUAGUCUAAAGUUAGCCAACCUUGUGUGUCUGCAGAGGUGCUGUCAGAUUUUUCCCGACAGGCCCAUCAUCGUGUAGAAUCCAAGUGAGUUUUGCGACAUACUUGUUUUGUUUUGCUCUUAGCUUUCUCAUAUCUGUUUUUUUUUAUGUAAAUAUAGUUGAGCUAAUUGAUAAUCCCAUUCCACUGAGUUGCAGUUGACAGUCUCAUAUGAAAUCCCCGAAAUCUUGGCGCCGGUUGCAUCGGUAAGUAAGCAAGCACCUUUUCAGGUCUCUGAAAAGUAUGGUCUGAGUAGAGCUGUUUGAAGAAUGAUGAUAUAUUUUCCAUCAAAAUCUUCUGUAACAACUUCAUGUUGUAGCUGAAGCAGAAGUUUGAAAUUAGAGCUUUUGCUUUGGGGCAAAGGCUUAGUUUGGAAAUGUUUUCUCCGGACGCAAAUGCUUUGAGGCUUAGUUUGGAAAUGUUCGCAACUUCGAUGCUAAAUUACGGCAGAAAGCUUCCCUAGUGGACGUGCUAAGAACACCAUUCCAUGACUUUCGAGGAUUGGAGAUCCAAACUGCUUUCGGAUAUUUUGGGAGUUUUACAGCAAUAGAGCUUAUGUAUUUGGGGAAACACAAUCGCAAACUAGACCUCAACUCGUUUUAGCUUUCCGCUGCAGCAAAUGCUCAUUUCAGCUUCGUGUUAUUCUCGGACUGGAGAAACAGUUCGAGAAGCCUAGCCAGACAUUCACUUUUAGUGCUGUUAUCUGCAUGCUUUCUUGAAGUUUUAAAAAAGUCUGUGGUUUUUUUCUUCUUCUUUUUUUUCCAGGCAUUGAAACCCUUCCUCGAAGGACUGCUUACAAACGGCUUGGAGCGGUUUGCGACCUUUGCGAGGGACUAUGAAAGAAAGAUCCCGCAGCGGUAAGCUUCGACUUCGAGUGUUGUCUUCAUAAGGAUUAUGAUAUCUCGGCAAUCACAUUGUUUGUCUUGAUUCAACCAAGGUAAGGGAAAAAGAAACAAAAAGAAAAGGAGAGAAAACAAGCUCGUCCUGUAAAAGAAAAUGAGACAUUGUAAACUUUUCAAACAUUCUCAUUUGAUGUAUUAUAAGUUGUUCAUUCCUUAAAUGAUUGAUUAUAAUACGUUGCGAUAAUUAAUCAAGUUGUUUCCUACUCAGUAUUGAACAAUUCAUGUAAGAAGCAAACUCAAUGAAAUUGGUUUUAUGUUUUAGUCUUCUUUCUGAAAAUUUACUCCAAUGUUCUUAAUAUGAUCUUCUCAGAACUCGCAUUUUAUUAUGAAUGCCAUGUUAAAAUUGUAUUUAUAUUUGUUAAAAUAUUAAAUUUUAUUGAAUAAAAUAUAGUUACAUGAAAUUUGAACAGGAGAGUGAACCUUUAAUUGUAUCGUGUGUCUUAUUCAUGUUAAUUUUAGUUUAUAUUUAUAUAUACAUGCAUAUUAGUGUAUAUUAUUGUCAGAAUAAUAUUUAAAUACAAAUUCAACUCAUCUCUAAAUCUUAAUUCGUUUUAAGCAAGAUACGGUAAUGAAAAUUUUCAGAUCCGCAUCCGAAGAAAAAUAUGGUUGUUGAUAUGGUUUUAUCAAAAUUUCAAUAUCCGACCGUUUUCACCCCUAAUUAAAUCCCUUUAUUAUUUUGAGAUCCUUUCAAAUGGUGAAAUUUCUAGCAUGUUUAUUACACACAAAGUCACAAACAGAUUCCCUGAUUAUAUUUUAGUUGGAGAGAAUAGCAUUCACUUUUUUGGAACUAUUAACUUCUGCAGUAGUUGCAGCUUCUGACAAUUUGGGGAAAUGCUGCUGCUUCCUUUUUUCAAAGCUAAAACUAAAAUUGUAUAGCCCAAAAAUAGUAGCUAGAAUUGCAAGCUUCAAAUUCUCCUAUAAACCUUCUAAUAGCAGUAUUUGUACAGCACAGUAUUAAACAACACUAUAUUUUACAGCAGACCCAAAAACGGGCCUCGAAAAGCACGAAUCUCUCUUUUAACCACUUUUGCUGCGACGAAAAGUUCAAACAAGAUUAUCAAAUUUUGUCAAACAAGAUCAUCAACCUCUCUUUGGGCCUCGAAAAGCACGAAUCUCUCUUUUAACCACUUUUGCUGCGACGAAAAGUUCAAACAAGAUUAUCGAAUUUUGUCAAACAAGAUUAUUGAACCUCUCUUUUAACCACUUUUGCUGUGACGAAAAGUUCAUACAAGAUUAUCAGACAUUCAAACAAGAUUAUCGGACGUAGAAACUCCAAUUUAAUUUAAAGCUUCUAUUUCUGCUGCUGCACGAAGCUGCCUUGUGUAGAAGCUCCAAUUGAUCUAAGAAAACAAGUACGAAUCUACAACAGCACACCGAAGAGUUCAUUAAAAUUCACAUCAAAAUCUUGAAAAAUUUUGAGCAAAUUUAUACAAGAAAAGGCGCCACACGAAUGUGCUCUAAAUAGUUUAUUCCCGAAGCUGCUUUUGUUGCAUCGUAACACGCAGAGGUGUAAAUAAAACGCAAAUAAUAAUACGAGCAAAUACUCAUGCGUCAUAUCGUCAAUCCACAACUACUUGAAACAAUAACAACAAAAGGUGAGAGAAAUCAGAGAGUUUUACUGUUUUUAACAGAUACAAAAAUUAUUCCAAAAAUAUGAAAACAAGAGUUCAAAACGACCUUUUUAUAUAUGGAUCGGCUUGUCGUAGGUCGCCAUCGCGGCCUCCUUCACGGCCUCGCUCAUGGUCGGGUGCGCGUGGCACGUGCGCGCGAUAUCCUCGCUAGAAGCCCCGUACUGCAGCGCUAGAACCGCCUCGUGAAUAAGCUCUCCCGCAUUCGGUGCCAUUAUAUGCACUCCUAGUAUCUUAUCCGUCUCCUUCUCCGCCACUAUCUUAACCAACCCUUCCGCAUCGUCUAUUGCCUUUGCACGGCUAUUUGCCAUGAACGGAAACUUCCCGACCCGGUAGCUAACCCCCAGCGCCUUCACCUGCUCCUCCGUCUUUCCAACGGAAGCCACUUCGGGGUGCGUGUACACAACACCCGGAACCAUAUCGUAAUCAACGUGGCCUUCUUUACCCGCAAUGAACUCGACGCACGCGACGCCGUCCUCUUCUGCUUUGUGUGCGAGCAUGGGUCCCGGAAUCACAUCCCCGAUGGCAUACACGCCCUUCACGUUAGUCAUAAAGUGAUGAUCGACCAGGAUCCUUCCUGCCUUGUCAGUUUCGACACCGAUGGCGUCUAACCCUAGACCGGCGGUGUACGGACGAUGUCUGGGGCAAACUCGACUACAGUCACUUCCGAACCAAGCCGGCCCCAGACCGAGCCCAUUUCUAAACCGAUGUACCCGGCUCCGAUGACAACCAACUUCUUUGGGACUUCAGAUAAAGCUAAAGCACCGGUUGACGAAACAAUCUUUUUCUCAUCAAUAGUGAUUCCAGGAAGGGGCUUGACGUCAGAACCAGUGGCAAUAAUGACGUUUUUGGCCUUGACGAUGGUGUUGCCACCGUCGAGUGUGUCUACAGAAACUUCCGAAGGGGAGAGGAACUUUCCGGAACCUUUGACAUAGUUGACCUUGUUCUUCUUGAACAGGCCUUCUAUGCCGCGAGUGAGGCCAGAUACUGCUUUGUCCUUCUGGGCCAUCAUGGCGGGCAGGUCGAUCUCGAGCUGGGAGAACUUGACGCCAUGGCUUGGGAAGGCAUGCUUGGCUUCAUGGUACAUGUGAGAGGAAUGAAGGAGAGCCUAGAAAUCAUGGAAAUGGAGAAGCAACAGGCAUGAUCAAGAGAGCAAUUACAUAUGAAACAAAAAAUGUGAUGCAAUACAUAUUAAAGAACACAAAACAUAGACAAAUGAAUUCCAUUACUAAUACAUUACAACGAUUAUAAUAUGAAAAAGAAUGUAAAUAAAAAAUAGGAAUUCGUCAAGAUGAUAAAAACAACUGAAAUUCUGUAAGCUGACUCCGAUUUCAAAUAGCCGACCAAGCUUGCAUGGAUAUACAGUCUCAGAACCAGUAAAGAUUCAACGAUAAAGAAUCCCAGUAUGUUUCAGCAAUUAAAUAAGAGAAAAUCAAAAGAAAGACUUCAGGAAAAUUCAUUAUAGCACUGCUUUUACACUAGGAGGACCCUGCUUGGCAAAUCCAGUGAUACCACUAAUAUGUGUCUUGAAUUGAUAUACAUUUCACUACAACUGAUAGCCUCUUGAUAACAAUUUCUAAUGCUUGUAACUGGUUGACGUGCCUAGAGAAGACUCUACGGACUUCUCUAGUGUAUUGGUCAGCCUUCCAUAUAGUGAUGGACGUCUUUGGUGGGAAAACAUGAUUGUAAUUGUGAAAUGGGAAUGGAGCAAAUUGAUAGCACUUGAUUAGCAGCAGAAAUACUUGCCUCCUUAAGAGCCCAUAGAUGGUAGACGAAAUUAAUGAUUGUUCAUCUUAAGCAUUUGGUGGCUUUUCUUUUUGCCCAAUAAACUACACAACAAGUCCUCACAGGAGGAUUUGGAUAUCACAACUGAGAAAUUCAUAACUAGCUGUGGUAGUGUUGCAAUAUCUAAUUAUGAGGCUACAUCAUCAAUAAAUUUCCUGCAUCCUCAAAUCUGCUCAAUCUUCUUCUUGGUCUUCUUCUCCAUUACUCGUAUACUUUCUUUAUUCCCUAGCUGUGGUAGUGUGUGUUGCAAUAUCUAAUUAUGAGGUUACAUCAUCAAUAAAUUUCCUGCAUCCUCAAAUCCGCUCAAUCUUCUUGUUGGUCUUCUUCUCCAUUACUCGUAUACUUUCUUUAUUCCCUUCUCAUUAUGCUUUCUUGAGGGAAGUUUGUGCAGUUUUCUGCGGAAGUAAUUGGAAAAAAUAACAUCUUGAAAGCAAAAUCAUACAGAACUUACUUGAACUAUCAACCAUUUUGAAUUGACUAACAGACCCUUCAAAAUUUUGAUUUCGCUACCCAACCUUCGAAUUUUUUUUAUUUGAAUCAGUUAACGAUAGCUUGACUUCAAAAUUUAAGCUAGUUAUUUACUUUAAUGAAUUUAUAGUUGCGAGAAUUGCAUGAAGUAUACUAACUAAAUCUCUAAAGAUAAACGAUGCAUUCAAAUUUUAAAGUCAAAAUGCCGUUGACUGACGCAAAUCAAACAAAAUCAAAAUUUUGAAAGGUUCGGUACUCGAUUCAAAAUGGUCAAUAGUUCAAGUAAGUUCUGUACAUUUUUACCUAUCUUGAAUUGGCGAGUUCGACCACUAAACCCUGGUUUUAAAAGGUGCACUCCUUUGCAACACUACUAUGUAAGGGUCUCAGACAAUUUGAUACUAAAAGCUGCAACUGCCUGCUGCUGAUCUUAUAAUAAAAUCGACAAAUUCGUGUCAAUGUGAAUGCACUAUUGAAUGGUUUAAGAUGCAUUUCCUUCCCUCCUCUCCGCAAAGUCACUAUGCCUUUCUCUACAAAUAUUCAACAGUAAAUGUGUAAGAAAGCCGCCUCAACUAUAGGACAUUUUAUAAUAGACCCCUCAACUUUUUCUUUAUCACAUCCCCUCAAUUUUUAGACAUUUUGAUUUCAGAUCUUUCGAUGUAGUAUUCCUGGGAUUAUUUGGAUGCUACAUAUAAGAAAAGGAGAAGAAAAAGAAAGGAGCAAUUCUGAUAGAAUCAACAGCUACGCUCGCUAUCAGCCGUAAACUGUUAAUGGAGCUGGUAGUUCUAUCAGCCGAAAAGCAAGCAGGCCCUUUAUCCUUAACUAACAAAGAAAAACCCAUUAUCGAUUUUUUUACCAUAGUUCGAAAACACCGACGUUGAAACAACUAUUCUCAUAUCUCAUAUUGUAAUUCAAGUCCAAAAACUUCAUAAAAUUGAAAUGUUUUCAUUUACUCAGUAACAGGCAUGGAGCAAUGUAUACUACACCCUUCCUCCUCCUACACUUCAUCAAAUUGGAGUAUUUUCAUUUACCCAAUAAAAGGCAUGAAGAGAUGAUGUAUACUACACCCUUCCUCCUUGCAGUUGGAAAGCUAAACUAAUCCACUAUAAUGAUAGGGAAAUCGAAAACUUUGGUACAAGAGUAGUUACAAAAGAAUAAAACUAAGAAGAAAAAAGGGCUCUUUACGAUCCGCAUAGCAAGAGAUCUCCAAGGAGAUCAUACUAAGCAACCGAAUCAAGCACCAUAGUGUCGACUAAUCGAAUCGAGACAUCCAAUAACCCUAAUUCCCAAAUCGCGAAAACCCUCUCAGUAUCUCAUCUACAGCAUCCGAACACAACUCACAGAUCAAAAAUGAAUAUCCUAACACACAAAAUUCCGACGCAACCUCAUCCAAUCCAUUCCCCACGUAAACACAACCACUCCAAACAACUCUUAGAUAAAAAAUGCACAACCUAUCGCACAAAAUUCCCACACAAGCUCAUCCAAUCCAUUCCCCACAGAAACACAUCCAGAUCAGAAACCCUGCCAUUCACAGCAUCUCAAAACAACUCUUCGAUCAAAAGUGCACAACCUAACGCGGAAAAUUCCCACACAAGCUCAUCCAAUCCAUCCACCCACAGAGACACGAUCAAAUCAGAAACCCUAGAGAUCGAACCGAAUCAGGAAAACUCAAAGGGGUUCUUACCUUGGAGGGGAUGCAUCCGACGUUGAGGCACGUGCCCCCGAGGGCUCCGCGCUUCUCGAUGCACGUCGUCUUGAGCCCCAGCUGCGCCGCCUUGAUCGCCGCCACGUACCCCCCCGGCCCCCCGCCGAUCACCACCACGUCGUUCUCCUCCGCCGCCGCCGCCGCGAAGCUCCGGCACGCGCCGCCGCUCCUCCCCGCCGCCGCCGCAGGGCGGAGGAGGUCUCCGGCCCUCCGCCGCGCAAGACUCGCCAUCGCCAUCGCUUCCCCUUCUUCUUCUCCUCCUCCUCCUCUUUUGCUUCCUCUUUUUUGUUUUCUUUUUUCUUUUUUUUUUUUCCUUUUUUCUCGAUCGAUUGAGAGAGAAGAGUUUUUCUUUUUGUCAAGUAUAAUCGGCGUUGGUGGGGGGAGGUGGGGAGAGGAGUAAAAUUACGAAAAUGCCACUGAGAGUGGCUCGACCGUUGGAUGGGUCUUAGAGACACGUGGAGAGGGCCAUAUCAUCCGUCCGAUUCGACGUAAUCCUGGCCGUCUGAUGGAGAUGAUAAAACCACGCUUAUUCUUAAAUCGUACGCCUCCUUCCUCGUCGAAGAGGAUAAAAGGGAGUACGGCGAGAAGAAAAAAUGGGGGUGAAUUUAGACGUGCGCCGCAUAUAAGGAUGUGGGGUUUAUGGACCAUCGAUUCAAAAGAAAAUAGUCCUCACAAAGGCAACCUCUUCAACUUGGUUUUUUUUUUUUUUAUAAUUUUUUAUUCUUUUGUGUAGAUGUGAAAACAUAAUUUUGGAAAUUUGGAUAUCACUAACAAUGCCUAUCUCAAGUUUUUGUAGAUAUUUGCAUCCUUUUGACUUUAUUUUUGGACUUCAAAUAAUCAGACAUGAUUUUAUUUUUGGACUUCAAAUAAUCAGAUAUGUGACACUUUGAUUUGCAAAAUUUAAUUUAUUAUAAUAUACUUCUACAAUCUAAUUUAAUCAAUUUAAUGAUAGUGUUUCGCUGAUGUGGCAACAAUGUGACUAUGUGACUGAUUCCAGUUAAAAUAUUACAAUUGAUUAAAGUUUGAGCAUAGUUUAUGCACCAAAAGUGUAAUUUAACUAUAAUCAAUGUUAGAGGGGUUUAUUUGAUUAGAGCUGCUUAAAUACCACUAAAUGAAGUGGUUCUCAAACAAAAUUAUGUGUAUCAUCAUAAAUGAAGUGAACCAGAAACAAAAUUAAUAUGAGAUCAGUCCUAAACAUUCCAUAAGAUGAUCUCAAUCCAAUUUCUGAUUCCAAUUUUCAUCAAAGAUUACAGAAAAAAUAACAACACAUUGGAAAGUUUUGAGCACAAUAAAUGCAGGUGAUAUGGAAUCAAAGAUACUGAUGAUACAGAACCAACAAGAGCCUCUAUAAACACUAAACUAUUAUGUUACAAUUAAAGUUACAACAACAAGCUUCUCUCUCUAAAGAGAGAAAAAAAAGAAGAGGAAAAGAACAAGGAAAGAGAGUUGGCAACAACAUAUCAGCGCUGCGAUCCUGUCUGUGGAGGUCUUUUGAGAUUUUCCGGUGGUGGCGCUUGCCCUGUAACUUCUAUUCACAGCAUAUCGGUUCGUGUUCUCUGUGUAGCUUCUCCCAGAGACAUAAAAGUAGCCUUGGACUCUGAUAGUGGGCGAGGAUAUAAUCGGGUUCGCAUCCAGCAUUGUGGAAACGGUCGUCGUUAAUGUAGUUCACCUCUUCGCCGCUAUCCUUGUACUCUUGAAUCCAAAUUCCCAUCGCCACAUCUUCGAGUUUGAACAACUGAGAUAUAAAUUUAUCACAAAGAGUGGCAGCAAUCAUGUGCUUCAUAUCAUUAGUUAAUAAGCUCGAAACUCAUGCGAACAACAUACAUGGCUUGAUGAAUUACCAAGUUGACACUCAAUGAAGAUAAUAUGAAACUCACAACGGGAGUAUGGACUCAAGUGAAGCUUCUGCACAAGUUAUGUUUCAAUAGAGCUGCUUGAAAAAUCACUAACAGCUUUUAGAUAAAUCCCCCCACCAUGCAUAAGCAGAAUCAGAAGUUUCAAAUUUAGAACUUCUACUUUUGAGGCCUAGAAGACGAAUACAACUCUUCAUAGCAGCAGAAGCCACAGAUUUUAAUUUGCCAAAUAAGUUGAUGGCUAGCGGAAUACAAAAGUUGCUCAGAAGCUAACUCUAAUAGCUGAUAUUUUACUUCAACUAAAAAAUUCUUAUUGAAUAACUAUGGAGGAUUAUAUUAUAAACAAAUAUAUUAGGGAGACUUGUAGUUUUGCCCCAGAGGAAGCCAAAAAGAGGUAGGAAAGAGACAGGAAAAAGAACAAAGAAGAUACAGACAUCAAAAUGAAUGGACCUAGAUAUUUGGGUUGCUGUCAACGCACGGAUACUAAAGAUUGACAUGCCAAGCGAAUAAGCACCCACAGCAACCACCAAUAUAUGCAACAGAUGGAAUAAGCAUCAGUAAUCAAGUCUUACUUGGAGCGUUCGUUCUUGGUGACCCUGAACGAUAAACUUGGCAAUAUCUCUAGAGAUAAUGUAGCCGGGACCAUGAGCCCAAGGUGGAUAAGACUCGCUUGGCCAUUCCUGCAUAAUGAAUUUUUCCCCCUUACUUUUUAGAGAAAAGUUGCAUAUGGGUCUUCAUGUGAGAAUUUUAAUAGAGGUAGAUAUACCUCGGGACUAAUAAACCAUUUGCUAUCCUCAUCUCUAUGUGGUGAUGACUGAAACGAAAUGAGACCAUACAAGAGCCCAUGCGGAUCACUUUUUUUGAGAAUAGAGACAACUUCGUCGAUCCUGACAAAAGCAUCAUCAUCUGUUUUCAUGAUGUAUUUUGCAGGAAGAAUUCUGGUCUGCAAUAUUAAGGUAAAAAAAGGAGAGGAUAUUAUUACGCUCUAAUCACUUUCGUAAAUUUACUCAAAAUCCUCCAAGGUAUAUUUUGUCUUAAAAUAACUAAAUUUGAGAUGCUAAUCCGCGAGAUGAUGCCGGUGAAAAUAUGCAUACUUGCAAAUUUGAAGAGACAUUACAGUGCUUAAUGUAAAUGAGGAUCAAACUUGUUCUAUAUCAUUAACUAAAUAGACCUAACGAAAAAAAGGGUUUGCAUGUGACCAUUUCUUUAUAACUCAAGAGCUAUAUAACUGAGAUAUUACCAAAGGCAUAAUAAGCAUAACUCCAUACAGAAUUUGCCUGAAUUAGCAGUACCCCAUUUUCGUAAUGAAUUGGCAUGAGCUUCAAUCUAUUUAGAUGCUUAAUUGAAAUGACUAAACGAGACUUAAACUAGCGGUCUACUAUAAACUUGUAUAUAAGAAAGAUAUGCAUUACGAAGGGAAAGAAGCAAAAUCUUCCACAUCAACAGAAGGAAGCAUACCCCAAGUAUGCAAACAGCAACUGUCUUUAACGUGAUCAAGCUAUAAUAGUCAACAAAAGGCAUAAGCUGGAUAUCACCAUAUAUCUGAGCUUCUUGCCAUAGUUCCAGAUUGACCUGUUUAUUCUUAUGCUGCAUAUUGUAAACAAAAUAAGAAAGGUACAUUACUGAUAAUAUACUUUAAAAAACUCAGAGAUAAUUAGUCGCAUUAGAUUGAAAAUGCUGAUGCUAUGAAAGUUGAAUUUCAAGCAUAAUUACCGUAAGCAAUGGGUACUUACAAGACCAGUGAGAAAUCUCACAGCAACAUCUCCUGAGCGAAUGGAUUCAUAUUGCAUCCAAGACCUCCUCAGAGCCAUCCGCCGCUUAAAAUUAUUCCCAGUUGAGAAAACCCCAACCAGCAAUAAGACCCUUCUCUUCGGCACCGGAGGAGCUUUUAGGAGCUCCACGUCACCAACUAAAUCGAGAUCUUCAGAAACCGGGAGGCCAUUCGCCAGCACGGAUAACAGAUCCACAUCACCAGCUACCCUCACUUCACUUACUGACCAGGGUUCGAGUCUCUAACGAAUAUCAGUCAGUUGGCAAUUAUACAAAAGCCCAUUUGAUCUAGCUUCUAAUAAAUGCUUUGAGCUGCAACCAACUUUAGAAGAAUCAAGUUUGUUUGGCAAAGAGAAAAAAUCUAUAGCUUCAGCUGUGACAAGGAGCAGUAGUAAGCUUGUAAACUCUACAAGCAAAAGCUCCAAUUCGGAGUUUCUGAUGCUGAAGGGAUUGUAAAUGAACAAAGCUACUGCUUUUCUGAACAGCAGUACUCCAAACAGCACUCCAUUGAACAUCGUUGUCCCCUCUAGUCGGGCCAAACAGGUGCUAAGUGCCCACAUGGCUUUGCUGCUAGAAACCAGAUGUUUGGCAAAUGAAAAGUCGAGCAUUGCUCUACCAAGAGGUUAAAUGAGUGUUUAGGCCCCAAAAGAGGAAGCUCUACUUUGAAGCUUCUACCAUAUUACAGUUGACGAGAAUUUACAUAAAAAUCUUGUAGAGCUUAUUUCAAUAGCUCUACCCAAAGCAUAUUGCAGCAUAAGUUCCAGCCUAGCCAAACAAGCCCUAACUAUAACAAAAAUAUAUCAUAAGUCUCACCUCCCUAUAUGCAAAUGACGUCUCGUGCCGCCCAUUCACGGUCAUAUGGAACCCCUCCAACCCAGCCCACAACGUGGCGGUAAAAGGAUGACCUUCCGCAAAUGGAAAACUAACACUUAAAUGAGCACUUCUCUUCAAACUCUUUCCGACAUCAUCGGAUUGACUCCCAUUUACAUUCUCCGGACUCGCACUCUCACCAAAUUGCUCAGUGCAUCGAACAAGCCCAUCAACUGCACUAAUUCAAUUCAUGUCUAUUUGAAUUACUCCUAAAGAACUACAAUUACAACUUUAUCACAAUAUUUGUAUCAAAAUUAUCUAACUCUGGAAAGAUAUUACCUUUAAUGGUAGUGUUAGCAGAAGCCAAGGAAUGAGCAGGGCAUAGCUCCCAUUCUCCCCAUCCGUGCGCUUCUGUCCACGAAUUCUGAGCAAUGGCGGGAUCAUCUCCGGCGAAGGUCACAUUGAAAUGGAGCACUAUAGGUGCAUCCGAGCCGCCGCCGCCGAAACCAGAUCCGACAAGCUCGAUCUGAAACCUGCUAGUGGUGCCGUUUCCGGCAACCGGAACGCCAAUCAAUGUGAUCGCCGAGUCCUCGACGAGGCCGCACGGGAUCGCAAGAGAGCUGCUGUUUCCUGUAACGGAAAAGGGGCAACUCCUCUCCCUCGAUUCGGCACUAGGGUUUGUUUGAGAGUUUAGGGCGGCGGCGAGCUCCAGGUACGCGGCGGCGCCCUCGCGGACGCCGUCGGCGGUGGCGGGGAGGGCGUCGGAGCGGGCGAGGAGGGGGCGCAUGUGGCGCCACACCAGCUUUGAUUGGUGACCUAAUUGGGGCUCAACGGUCGAAUUAGGGGGCGGGAACAGGUCGUCGAGCCCCGGGAGCGAGGAGAGGAGGUGGGCGGGGCGGCGGCGGCGGCUCCGGCGAGGAGUGGCGGUGGUGGAGGAGGAGAAGGGGAGGAGGGCGUAGCGGAGGGCGAGGAGAAGGGCGAGGGAGAGGAUGAGGGUGCCCCCCGUCCAUUUCUUCAUCGCUGCUACAACGACAUUGGUGGGGAUCGGAGAUCCGAGGCUAGGGUUUUGGGGUGCUCUCUAGGGUUUUACCUCUUUCGGGAACAUUUUAGGGUUUUGGGUUUUGAGCGGAGCGAGAUCUGAGGAGGAGGAGGAAGAAGAAGACGACGACGACGAAGGGAACGCCAUGGACACGGGAAAUUAUUGCAUGCACCGGGUGCAUAAACACACCCAUACACCGCACUUUCUUUUAGGGUAAAUUGCACAUUUGGUCCUCGAACUAUGAGGCUGCUGAUAAUUUAGUCCUCAAACUUUAAUUUGCUAUAAUUUUUUGUUCGAACUUUUAGAAUUAUUACAAUAACGUACCACAAUUCAAUUAAUUGACUAAACUUUAGCAUAUAAUUAAUAUAAAAGUAAUAUGAUAUUUUAAUUAUUGAUGCAUCAUCAAUCACAGUAUCACUAUAUCACCUCUUAAGUAGCAAUAUAAUAAUAUUUAGCCAACAAAAUUCAGUUAUAGGACUUGAUUGUAAUAUUUUUAAAAUUAAAAUAAAAGAUUAUACUGAAUUAAAGUUUAAGGACCAAAUUGUCAUCAGCCUUAUAGUUUGAGGACCAAACGUGCAAUUUACCCUAAGCCAUUCGAUCUUAUUAAAACUCAAAUUUUAUUAUUUUUCGAUAUUUGUUUAUUGCUUAAAUGAUUUCAAAUUCAUGUUAUAUUAACCAUUAAAAUUAGCUAAUUUUUUAGACUACUUAAAUACUAAAUAAAUAAUGUCAAAAAAAUUUGUAAAAAUUGUAACCUAAAAAUUUUAAAUAGUUUAAAUCAAGUGUAGCAGCACUAAUCUUUGAUUUGUAUUUUCAUGGUUAAUGAGAGAAAAUGAUAAGUAUUCUACUUUUGUUCUUCUUUAUAAAUUAUAUAAUGCCCCUCUCUUAAUUAUUGACUUCUUAGGCUAUUUGAUGCUGAAAUAAUAAUAAUAAUAAUAAUAAUGAAUUUUUAAAAUAUAUUAUUUUUUAAAUAUAAAAAAUAGAUAUUAAAUAUGAUAUUCAUCAAAUUAAUUUUAAUUUUAGGGUUAAUUACAAACAGCUCCCUGUAAACAUAGCGGAUUAUAAAUGUAUCCUUAUAAAGUUCAACUUUUUUAUAUUAUUCCUAAAAAAGUUGUAACGUUUUUAAAUAUGCUCGUACCGUUAGAAUCCGUUAGAAAAAUUUAGUUAACCAUAGAUAAAAUAUUCAAUCCUGAUUAGUCAAUGAGAUAAAUUGAUAUUUUUAUCCCUUUUAUAUUAUAUCUCCUUCUCUCAGUCAAAACCGUAGUAAUUGGAACUCUUUUUCUUCUUACUCUUGCUCUUGCUCUUGCUCUUGCUCUUCCUCUCUCUCUUUCAUACUAGUUUCGAAUCUGUAACUUAGAAUUUCUUCAUCCCCAUUCAUCUACAACACGUGUUGUUUCGCCUAUGUCGAAUGCGCGUUGCUUCCUUAUUCAAUUUUCUCUACGAUUUUUUUUUUUUAUUUUGCUCAAAAGAAAAAGUUUAAGAGAAAAGGAGUAAGAGAAGAGGUUGCAACAAUGGUGGACAGAGUUGGAUUUUAAAGAGGGAGAAGAUAAAGAAAAAGAUGACCAUUAAAAUUUUUUUGCGGGAAUAUCUCUACACAAUUAUAGCAGUUGGGGUUUUUGGAAGGAUAUAUUUGUGAUGAGAAGAUUGACAUUUCACUUAUCUACUGUUAAGAAAUAAAUAAUUUUAUAAUUGGUGCUGCUAAAUCACCUCAUGUUCAAAAAGAGCUAAUGCUUAUGUUUGUUCGGUAUUUUGGUUUGAUAUUGCUUCACAUCCUAAAAAUACGUUAACAAAUCAAAGGAACAAAUAUAAAUAUCACUAAACUUUUAUAAGGAUAAUAUAAGAAAGUUGAACUUUGUAGGAAUAUUUUUAUAAUUUACUAUAUUUACAAGGAGUGGUAUACAAUUAACCCUUAAUUUUAAUAUAUUAAUCAUCAAAUGUUGGUUGCAGCUUUUGUACAUACAAUGCAAGCAAAUAAGUUUCUCCAUGGGAGCUGUUUUGAGUGAUGACAGGUUAACCAAUGGAGAAGUUUAUCGGAUCGGGUCGGGUUGGGUCGGGUCGUGGAUAUCACCAAAAUGUACCCACUCAAUUGGAUGAAUUUUUUCGGGACGAAUCUCGGGCGCGAAAUUUUCUCACCUUGUCGAGUAUGAAACUUUUUGAGGAGACCAAAGAACCUAGAGAUUGGAGACGGAGAGCGAUUGAAAGCAUAUGGUCUGUGAGUAUGGGCGCCGAUUUCAUAUGUUUGUUUUACUGAAAGUGCGAUGAAAGGUGAAGAGAUUUUCGACCCUAAACAUCCGUAACUUCACCUUCGGUCAAAUUUGAAACUUCUCAAAAAUUGCAUAGUUUACUUCGGCCCAUUCCAGACCGAUUCAAUAAAAGAAAAAAAAAACAAAAGAAAAUAAUAUAGUAUUAAUUAUCUCUCACUCAUGAAACUUUUGCAUCAUCGAGUUCUACAACUAUACAAAAAAACAACGAAAGAAGAGUAUCUUUUUGCAUAAAUUUUAAUUUAUCUGAAAGUCUACUUUAACUUGAAUUUUGUCUUCAGUAAAAUAAAUAGAUUUUAAGAUGUAGUCGCGAUCAGACAAUUAUUAGUAUAAUUAUAACACAUGUCUACAUGGCCAUAUUAUAGAAAUGAGUAAUACUAUACUCAUAAAUAAAUUUUAGAAUAUUUAUAAAUUAUUAUAAGCGAAGGUAUUUAAUUUAGGGAGAAGCGAAAAUUACGAGGAGAUAAGCAUGAUUUAUACUUUCAGGCUUCGUUUGAUUCGGGAUUAAGUAAGAACUAGUUAUUAAAGGAAUAGAUUUAAAUUCAGAUGUAAGUCUGGAAUAAAUCAACUUUGCGUUUGGAUGAAAACUGAGUUGUUUCCGAAAAUAAUAAAAAUAGCGUUUGGAAAAAUAAGAUGGAAUAAGAAGAAUAGUGGAUUGUUUUAAUAAAAAAUAAUAAUAUUGCUCCAAUUAUUAUAUUUGAAUUCAAAUUUUUUUAUUUUAUAUUUAAAAUUUAAAUUUUAAAUAGAUAACUUUAAAAUAAAAAAAAAUUCAAAAUUAAAAUCUAAAUUUUUAAAUCUCAAAUUUAAAAUUUUAAAGUUAUAAAUUAUAAAUUUUAAAUUUUAAAUCAAAUCUCAAUUUACAAAUAUAAAAUUUAAAUAAUUAAAAAUAACAAUUUGAAAUUUAAAAUUUAAAAUUUAAAAUUUAAAAUUAUAAAUUAUAAAUAUUAAUUUUAAGAUUAAAAAUUAUAAAUUUUUAAAAUUUAAAAUUUAAAUUUUAAAUUUUAAAUUUUAAAAGGGAAUUAGCUAACCCCAAAAAGUGUUUGGGGAUAAGGGGGGAUAACCCCUUAUCUCCCCUUAACCUCGAACCAAACGCUAUCUCAAAGUCGAAAUAGAUCCAUCCUGUUGUAAUAUGUUUUAAUAGCUUAAGUAGUGAUUUUGUGUUAAUACCAACAUUUUAUACUUGAUCACAAAUUCACAGAAAAUGAGAAAAAUGAAAUUAAAAUUAUAAUAUUUUAUUGACAAAUAUAAAGUCAUAUGAAUUGACACGGGUGAUUUUUAAAUGUUUUAAAAGUGCAUUUGUAUAUUACUUAAGACCAAUAAAUAAUUAUAACUGCUAUCACUUAAAUAUUUAUCUUAAUUUUCACUAAUUGACACUUGUAAGAGCAUCCUAAAAAACAAAAAGGCUACAAAAAAUAAAGAAGUGUAAAGAUUUUAAUGAGGGUGAAAGAAAAAUUACCACGUGACAAAACUAUUGCGAAAUCACAUAUGUUAAUAGAUGGGGUUCAGUUAAUCUAUAUUUAAAAUUUCAGUAUCCUUCGCGACUCAUAAAUAUUGCUGAAUUACGAAUUACCGAUUCAACCAUUGAAUUGAGUGGCGUCAGGAAAAUAUCAUAAAUAUUUAUUUAUUUUUUAUUUUUAUGCUAUAUAUAUAAUAAAAAAUAUAUCCCAAAUAUAUAUAGAAAUCUAUAUUAUUUCCAUAUAUUAUAAUACUAAAUAUAAUUAAAAUUUUAUGUAAAGAGCAGGUUGUUAAAAGAGCUAACAUAUAUGUCUAGUUAAUUAUUGAAAUACGAAAUAAAAAGAAACUCAACAAAUACUUAUAAAAGCCCUCACCUCCAUUUUUUAUAUACAUAUAUAAAUAUAUUAACAUAUAUUAAUAUAUAAAAAUAUGGGUAAAAUUAGAUGUAAACCCUUCAGCUAAAAGCCAUUUUUAAAUAAGGCUUCUAAGCUUUAAUUAUUUUUAUUUACAUAAAUUUAACUAUUUUUUAAAGUUUUUAUUCUUACAUAAAAUAAUUAUGAGAGGAGUGAAAUUAAGAUUGAUAUAUAUUCUUAUUAGAUAUAUAACCCAACGUAAAUCUUGACAUUAAAUCCACAUAAAAUUACUUUUCAAAAAAUAAAUCCAAGGUUUUAAUAUUGGUUAUGAGUUCAAGAUGAUCUUGAAUUUUAAUUUUAAAAUCAAAUUGAUAUCAAAUAAAUUAAUUUGGACUAGCAUUCGAUUUGCUGUAAAUAGAAGGACUUUUUUUUUGCAAAACCUCUCUUAUGUCCACCACUAUAAGUACUGUGAUGAAUAGGGUGCAUUUUAUUUUUGUAUUCAUUUACUGCUUCAGAAUCCAUCCGCUGCAACACGCAAAAACAUUCACCGAUUUUUUUAUUAAUAAUCCAAUCAAUUUAGAUUGUUAUACAUCAUUAAACUAGAAAGAAGUUCAUAUUUUUCUUAAAAUUGUUAUUUUUGACAUCGCUUGAUCCCUGAAUAAAUGAUGUCGAAAACUUAAACAUAUAAGAUCAAAUAUCACAGUAUUGAUUGUCGAUAUAUACAAACUCCUGAGCAUCAAAAUAUGAUUUUAUUGCAACUAUCGGAUAUAAAAUAUUAAAAAUAAUAUAUAAUUUUGCAGCAUAAACUUUUAGAGGAGAAAAAUAUCGAGGUUAAAUAUGAAAAAAAUAGUUAAUAUAAAAUAAUAAAAACACCAUUUUCCAUAUUUUAAGCUUUAGACAAAAAGGUUUUAUCACAGCAGUAGAACAUGCAUGGCCCUCCUACUGCAUGUCAAAUCCCUUAACUUUCAAAAAGUAUUAAAUUAAUAAUUUUAUAAGUUAUCCUCUGUAUAUUUUUAUUUGCUUUAAAAAAUAUAUUAAAUUUAUUAAAUUUAGUCCUAUUUCAAACCAGCUUGUAACUUAGCAGGUCUCAUUCCAAUUCAUUAAUUUGUUACAAUAGGUUAUUCAAAAAUGAUUAUUAUUAUUUUUUCCUCAAAAAAAGACAUACGCGACCUUAAAUUAGAAGCAUAGCAUAACAGAGGCUCGAAUCAUCGACCUUUAAAUAGAUCGGGAAUUGGUUUCUUCAUUAGUAACCAAUAAGGUGUUUGUCUAUAUAUUUCAAAUUUUAUCGAAAAUAUUCAUGAUGCGCUGUCAAUUGAAAUUGAAGCAAUAUCGAAAGCAACCAAUUUUUUUUUUUCGAACGAGUUCAGAUAUUUUCAGACUCAGCAUUGAUUCUCAAAGUAAUCCACUUCAGGUCGGACCAAUCCGAAUUGAUUACUUGGGAUGCUAAAACGGAGCUCAAAACACUUUAAUUCUUCGUUGACGAACGUCACGUCUUCUCUUUUGGAUGGAAUUUUCACUUCUCCAGAAAAUGCUAUGCGAGUUGUUUAAUUUGUUGCUUAAAUGGGCCAGCAUCCUGCCCUGUAGCGAGAGGCCAUGUUGGGCCGAGUCAUGCUCGAAAUGGCGUGAGGCUGGAUGAGCCGAGUCAUAUUCGAAGUGGCGUGAGGCUGGUUGGGCUGAGUCACAAUCGAGACCCUUGGGCGCUGUAUCUGUAAGUUUUAAGUAAAUUGAUUGCGUAUUUCUAACAGCUCUAGCUUUUGGGAUUAAUGGUUAGCGCCAACGAUCCGACAAGUGAUAUCUGAGUCUGAGGUCACGAGUUCGAUUCCCGUGCAUUCUGUCCUGUGACGGGAGGCCUUCUUGGGCCGAGUCAUGUUCAAAAUGGCGUGAGGUUAGUUGGACCGAGUCACAAUCGAGACCUGUUGGCGCUGUAUCUGUACGUUUUAAGUGAAUUGGUUGCGUAUUUCUAACAACUCAAACUUUUGGGAUUAAUGGUUAACGCCACCGAUCUGACAUAAUUAGCUAAUUAGGAUCUGUGUAGUAAAAAAAUAUAUUGUAUGUCUAUCUUUUAAGGACUUUUUCAACUCUGCAUUGUUCCAUUUUGUUUAAAUAAAUUUUCACUCUCGAAUCAUUUUCCUAAAAAAAUGGAGGGGGAAUUACUCAAAAUCAGUAGUUUGGCGCUUCCUUUGAAAUAAUAAGGUGAUUGGACAACAAAUUAAACAAAACUAAGAAAAUUUAAUCAUCUCCCAAAGUAAAGUAACACCUGUGAACAAUCUAAUAAAGUACUAAAUUCUUUUGAUUUAUUAAUUACAACCCUUUUAAUUAAUCUACCAUCUUUACUGUCCUUUUAUGUGUCCUUAGUUUUAUCAUUUAUUAGUUUUAUCAUUUGUAUUUAGCUCUCUUUUACAUAGAACCGUUAACAAACUACAAAAUGAAAAAAAAAAAAAAAAAAAAGCAAAAAUUAAUAACAUUGUAAUUCGACGGGAUUGGAACUCAGAAUCUCUUAUUUCAAUACCGUGCUCUAUAUAGUCAAGCAGGAUUUUAUUAGAAUUAAUAUGGUAAUAAAAUAUAAAAGUUAGACGCACAAUAACAAAAAAUAAAAAAUAAAAAAUUAUGGAGCAAAGUGAAAAGAAAAAAAAAAAAGAAAGAAGAUAAGGUUAGGAACCAACGUUGCAGUUAACUCCUUUUUCCUGUAUCUGCAUCCAAAAUUCAAAAAAAAGAAAAGAAAAGAAAAUAGUUAUCUUUUCUUAUUGUAAAAAGAUCAUAUUUGUGUAAUUAUUUUGAUUACUGUAUCUUAUUUUGAUCCGCACAAUUCUUUUUCUUUUUUAUUUUUUCACUACUGUUUUAAUUUGUUGAUAGAAAGUCAGCGACUUACUUUUAAAAUUUAUAUUGUCGUGAAAUUUGAUAUUUUCACAUAAAAUUAUGGGUGAAAAAAAAUGUAAUAGUUAAUAUUUUAUUUUUUUUUUUAUCUUCUAAUCAGUAAUAAAUCUCGCAACCAUCCAGAGUGAAGCAAAUUAUACUGUUUGAAUAAGUAAAUUUACAGAUAAAUUUUAAUUCAUGAUAAACCAAAUAAAAAAAGCGAGUAUUUAUGGUCGAAAAUAACUUUACGCGCCUCAGUGUCGCAGAAUUUGGAAAUUAAUGGCUUGUCUCAUGGCUUAUGCAAAUAUGCCUACAAAUUAAGUACUGGAAAAGGUAUUAAUUAAUUAAGGAAUUAAUUUGCAGUGUCCCGUGACUACUUAACCUUACAUUGCAUACUCUUUAUCUCUCUAAUUAAUCUAUAAUUAUAAUCUAAGCCACAAAUGUAGAGAGCUAAAGUACACCAUGCACAAAUGUUCACGUGAGCCUCUCUCUCUCACUCAACCACACAUAUUUCACUUUAAUAAAUAGAAAAAUAUUAAGGACUCUCUCCCUCUACAAUAAAUUUUGUAUUUAAAGACAUUUUAAAUAAUAACUAGCGAGACUUUAAAACAUUGGUAAUAAUAAGCUCGACGCUUGUAAAAGCGUCGAAGAAAAAGUUGUUAAGUUAAACAUGCCGAGAUAAGUAUACCGACGCUUUAAUAUAGCGUCGAAAUACUUUUAUAAGUAUUUGAUAAAAAUAUGUUUAUUGACAAUGCUUAAUUAUGGUGUCUGCACAUGUCAAAUAUUGAAGAUCGAUGCUAAAAUCAAAUAUCGUCCAAAGAGUAUCGUCUAAAAUAUAUUUUGUUGCAGUGUCUCUUCCGCUCUCUCUCGUAUUCUCUUUCUUUGUGCAAUGUAUUAUUCAAUGUCUCUUAUUUUAAAUGACAACACUCAUUUCAUUUGUUUAAUGAGUUGAUACAACUUUUGAUUGCUUUUACAUAAGGUAAUACUUAAAUUUGGUAUUUGCAUUAUGAGUACAAUUUGUUCUAAACAGGUAGCUUAAUGCAUAAUCUUUGCGCUUAUUUAGCUUGGAUUCUGAGUAACUAAAAUUUCAAACUUUUGUUAUAUAUUGUCAGAAGCUUUAAUUAGCUUAAUUUCUCCAUAUAUAGUAGAAGAUUUGAUUUUAGUAAAAAAUAAAAUUUUACUGCUUAUUUGAACAGCUACACACAAGCUAUUGCAAAAACUUCAGCCUCUUUUCCUAAUAAUCACAUCAUGUGUGGGUUUUAUCACAUGCCUUGAUCAACAACAUUUUAAUAAUUCUAAGUAAAAGUAAUAGUAAAAAUAAUUAUUAUAGUGUUUUAUAUUUUUUUUUUUUUUUCUUGCCAUGAUAUUCUUAGUAGAGCACAAAGGCUACCUGUGAAGAUCUGGAAUCUUCUCUUCUCUCAUCAAUGAAUUAAUUAUAUUAAACCAAACCUAGGCUUUUAUUUGGGAUCCUAGAAAGAAGCAAUUGUCAUAUCAACACUUUUAAGAGGACAAUCAACAUAUAUACAUUGUAGAGAGAGAGAGAGAGAGAGAGAGAGAGAGAGAGAGUAGAGAUUCAUGUGAAGUAGCAAAGCAAAAAAGGACAAAUUGUGAUGCUCCAACCAAUAGAGUAUGCAUAAAUGUCACCACCCCACAGGUACUCCCUACAUGCAUUUAUCUUUCUCUAUUUCUCUAUUUCCAUCCCCACCCAACAGUAGCCUUUGCCUCCAAACUCACUCUCUCUCUCUCUCUCUCUCUCUCUCUCUCUCUCUACACUCCACUUCCUCUCUCCUCUUUCCCUCCUCUCUCUCUCUCUCUCUCUCUCUCUCUCUCUCUCUCUCUCUCUCUCUCUCUUUCUCUCUCUCUCUCUCAUCCAAUUCAAACAUUGCAUGCACACCACUUCCUACAUCACUUAUUCUUCCUCUCACUCUCACCAUUUAUACUCUUUUGAUUGAUCAUCAACAUUGCAAUGGGGAUCUCGAUCCUCCGCGGAGGGUGGUCGAUCCCCUCCUCGAUCGCGAUCGUCCUUCUUCUAUCGACUCUCCGAGCUUCGAAUGGAAGAGCACAUUACCACAAGCACAAAUAUAAUGAUCACAACAACAACAACAAGUACUAUCAUAGUGGAGACUACCACAUGAGCCAUAUUUCCCAACCCCCUGCACCAUCUCCUGCUGAGCCACCAUCUCCUAGUGAUGAGUACUCUAGUGACUCUAACUCAAGCUCAGGUUCAUGUAGUGUGUUCAAUGUUAGGUCCUUUGGAGCAGUUGGGAAUGGGUCAAGUGAUGACACCCAAGCUUUUAGGUCGGCGUGGAAGGCCGCAUGCGCGGUCGAAUCCGCCGUCCUUCUCGUGCCGUCGGAUGGCGUUUUCACGGUCACCUCGACGAUCUUUUCGGGGCCCUGCCUGCCCGGGUUCGUCCUCCAAGUAGGUUAAUGAACCACCUUCGAGGUCAUAGUAUGAUCGACAGAAUGAUUGGUAAAAAACGUACAAAACUUAUCUAAACUAUCGACCAUUUUGAGUUGUCAGCUAUCUAACUUUUCAAAAUUCUGAUCUUACUAUCUCACCUUUCAAUUUAUUUGAUUUAGAUCAGUCAACAACAUUUUGACCUCAAGAUUUAAAUAAAUUAUUUUAAUGGAGUUAUAGUUGCAAGAUUUGCAUGAAACACAUGCACUAACUAAAACUCUUAUAAAUAGUCUCACAUCGAAAAUGAUAAAUAUGUGAUCAACCAAAUAUAUAUACACAAAAGACUAGAACGGCCGUUUUAAUAACUUGAACUUAUGCAUUUCACACCACGCGGUCAAAACCCUAAAAUAAGUACUUACCGAAGUUAUAUAUACAUAUAUCUUAUGUUGUUUACGUAGGUAGACGGAGUGCUGAUGCCGCCCGACGGGCCCAACUGCUGGCCAACGUCCGAUAGCCGUCGCCAAUGGGUUGUUUUCUAUAGAGCUGAUGGUAUGACUCUCAAAGGAGAAGGCACAAUUGAAGGCAAUGGAGAGGAGUGGCGGAGUCUCCCUUGUAAACCUCACAGAGUAUGGAAAAUCUAAAUUUUAACGAGGCUAAAAUACAGAAAAUCUUUUUAUAAAUAUAUAUUUUUUACCUUUUCUUCUGAUUUUCAAAAAUAUAUAUUUUACCGUCUUAAAAUUUUAAGUUGAUGCACUUAGCCUCUGUCCAUCAGGGUUCCAUCACUGUGACGUCUAUAUUUUAUAAUUUAUACUGAAAAUAUUCUUGAAAAGACAAAAAAUAUUGAAAACAUCCCCCUUUUUUUUUUUUCUAAAUAGAGCAAGUAAGAAUAAUUUGGUCAUUUCGCCAUCCCUAUUAACACCGGAACUCUUUUCUAAAUUUUGAGGAGGCAAAAUAUAGAAUUUUAAAAGCCAGAAAGAAAAAUUAAAAAAAAAUGAAUAUAUAAAAGUGGGGUUUUCUGAUUUUAAUAUAUUUUAGCCUUUUAACUAAACUCUCAAAUCACUCAUCCAUUGUCUAAAGAGUUAUUAUUAUUAUAUACAUGAAACUAUAUGUAAAGCUAUAAUUUGAUACAAAUUUUGUUGGCCUUUUUAGGGCCCAAAUGGAUCCACAUUGCCCGGCCCGUGCGACAGUCCUGCGGUGGGCUCAAAAUAUUUCCUAAUCUCCAUUUUAUUUUGUUUAUUUAUUUUGUAAAGUUUAAUUUUAAAAUUGAUUUAAUUCGUUUGUGUGUUUUUUUUUUUUCUUGUGAUUUUUAAUUAUUUUUUUAGCUGAUUAGGUUCUUCAUGAGCUACAAUGUGACUGUGCGGGAUCUGCGAAUCGAGAAUAGCCCGCAAUUUCACAUUAAGUUUGAUGGAUGCGAGGGUGUGCACAUCGAGGGAAUGUCGAUAAACUCGCCCGCUUUUAGCCCUAACACCGACGGAAUCCACAUUGAGAACACAAAAACUGUGGCCAUAUUCAACUCCAGAAUAAGCAAUGGUAUGAAUAAAAAUCAACUUAUACCAACUCAAUUCAAAUUUCUUACUUAAAUUACUUAAAUGAAGUGAUUAACACCUGAAACUUUUUGAAAAAUAAUGUUAUACUCUUCGACUUUUUGUUCUUAUACAGAUUCAAAAUCUCAAUUUUUAGAUAAUUUGAACGAGAAAUACAUUGAAUCAUAAUUCGUCGAAAGUUUAGGGACUAUCUAUAUAUAUAAAUAUUUACACUUGAAAUUUUAAUGCUUAGUGAAUGAAUGAAUGAAUGAAUGAAUCAGGUGAUGAUUGCAUCUCCAUUGGCCCUGGUUGUUCUCAUGUAAGCAUAGAAAACAUAACAUGUGGCCCUAGCCAUGGUAUAAGGUACUUUUGCAUUUUACUCCCAAAUUAAACUUUCCUUUACAAUUCAGUCCUCCAAAUUUGUGCAAAUCAUAGCAAAAAUAAAAAGAAAUAAAAAUGUAUCUUGCAGCAUUGGGAGCCUUGGAUUGCACAAUUCUCAAGCAUGUGUCUCCAACAUAACAGUGAGGAACUCGAAAAUCCGACACUCGGACAACGGGCCCAGGAUCAAGACCUGGCAGGGCGGCACGGGUGCGGUCUCGGGCGUCCGGUUCGAGUCGAUCGUGAUGGAGAAUGUGAAGAACUGCAUCGUCAUCGACCGGUACUACUGCCUGGCCAAGCAGUGCUCGAACCAGACGUCUGCGGUCUACGUGUCGGACGUGUCGUACGCCAGCAUCAGGGGGGUCUUACGACGCGCGGGGCGUGCCAGUGCGCUUCGCGUGCAGCGACGCGGUCGCGUGCACCGACAUUGCGAUGUCGGACGUCGAGCUGUUGCCCUAUCAAGGGGAGAUGGUGGCUGAUCCCUUUUGUUGGAAUGCUUAUGGGGCCAUGGACACAAUGACCAUACCCCCUAUGUAUUGCUUGCAGGAAGGGAGGCCUCAGUCUCUGCAAGAGAACCCUAUUAUUGGUUGUUGAUGUGGAAAAUUCGAGGGGCGGCCUCAGUCUCUUGACUUUCAAAAAAUUAUAUUUUAUUUUAUUCUCUCAAAAUUUUAAGCUGAUACACUUACUCAACCCCUUUCCAUCAUAGUUCUGUCACUGUUCCAUUUAUUUUUUAUGAUUUAAAAUUAGAUAUACCGAGAAUGCCCUAAAAAAUGACAAGAAUAUAUUAAAAAAUUAAUCCUUUUCCUCUAGAAUAAGUAAGGGCAUUUUGGUGAUCUCGUUCUCUCUGUUAAAGCUGUAAUCCCCUAAAAGCAUUUCUCAAAUUUUGAGGGAAAAAAAAUAAAAAUUGUUAAAGUAAAAAAAAAAAAAAAGAAUAAACGAAAAUUUACAUAGAGAUUUUUUGUAUUUUGGCCUUAAUUAUUUGUUUGCCCUGAAGUCACUACAGGUUAGGUAAAAAUUUAAUAGCUACGAUUAAUGCAUCUAGUAUUCAAUAAAUAGCUACAACUAAUGCAUAAAUGCAUCUAGUGUAGUUAGCUAAGAGCUUAAUGAUUGAUAUUCGAUCGAAAUCUAGUAACUUUAUAUUUCUUGCUAAGUCUAUUUUUAAAAAAUGAACGAAAUACAUAACAUACUAUCUUUCUCUUUCUCUCCACACACACGCACUUUUUUCUUUUUCUUUUUCUUUUUCUUUUUUUCUGGUGGGAGAUGAAUAAUGUUUGUGGGGAAUGAGUCAUUCAUAGGCUUGUUUCAAAGGGAACAUUUUGAUUGUACAUAAUGAGAAAAUGUGGUUUGAGAAAGCAUGUAAAGAUCAAUUUUUCUAUGUUUAAGAGUUUUACUAGAUUGUAUAUUCAGAGUCAUCUCAGCUUUAACUCGAUUGUAAUUUAACAUCUGAAAUUUAGAAAGUGUAAAUUUACCAUAUGAACAAUCAAUUCGUUGUAAUUAAUUGAUUCGAACAAAUUUUUUGUCAAGUUUUUUGGUACAAUGUUAACAAGUAAUUGUGAAGCUACAUGCAAAAAUAUGGCGCGCCACCACCUCUUCUUCUAUUACAUUUUCAACUCAACACGCAAAUUUCAACCAAAUAACAAAUCACCACCUAAAUAUUAUCCAGAUUAUUAUAUAUCUAAACUCAAACAUUUAACUGUUAGCUUAAAUAGACCAGCAUCCUGCCCUUUGGCGGGAGGCCACGUUGGGCCGAGUCAUAUUCGAAAUGGCGUGAGGUUGAGUAGGUCGAGUCAUCUUCGAAGUGGCGUGAGGCUGGUUCGACCAAGUCACAAUCGAGACCCGUGGGCGCUGUAUCUGUACGCUUUAAGUGAAUUGGUUGCGUAUUUCUAACAGCUCAAGCUUUUAGGAUAAUGGUUAGUGCCAACGAUCCGGCAAGUUGUUUCAGAGUCAGAGGUCACAGGUUCGAUUCUCGCAUGCUGUAAAUAUGUGCAGGUGCUGGAGGAGGGAUUGUUGGCUUAAAUGGGCCAGCAUCUUGUCCUGUGGCGGGAGGCCAUGUUGGGUCGAGUCAUGUUCGAAAUGGUGUGAGGCUGGAUAGGCCAAGUCAUGUUUGAAGUGGCUUAAUACUGAUUGGGCCAAGUCACAAUUGAGACCCGUGGGCGCUAUAUCUAUACACUUUAAGCAAAUUGGUUGCGUAUUUCUAACAGCUCGAGCUUUUGGGAUUAAUGGUCAGCGCCAACGAUCUGACAAUUUAACUUCCAUGUUUCAAAAUUUUAAGAAAAAAAUUUCCUGUCAAGUGGCAUUCAUAUGCUGAUCACGAUUUUCAUAGAGAAUUAGUUGUUUUCUAAAGUAAUUAUAAAUUUUCCAAACUCACAGCCUCGAAUUACAUCUAUAUCAAAAGUUUGGACAGUUUCAGGGCUUUAGAUCCUCCAAAAUACUGUCUUUAUGAGUUAUUAUUAUGUCGGCAUACAUAAUGUGGAGAGAUCCUUGAUUGACUUAGGCAUCUGAUGUAAAAAUAUCACAUAUAUUUGCUGACAAAUCAGUAAUCCAUAAGCGUCACAUUCUGAGGUCUCAAAAUCUGUUUCACAAUCAACCGUAGCCAUAGAUCUUCACACAAAUCAUUCUAUUUAGAUUCAGAUAAAUCGAAUAUAAAUUAAUCGACCAAGUUUUGACCCUUACAAAAAGGCCUUCUUUGUAAUAAUCAUAAUGCGUAAGGGAUACUUUAAACUAAUCAUAAUUGAGAUGAUAAAGAGUCGACCUAUGGGCAAUAUAGUAAUUUUAUGUAAAAGUGACACUUGAAAAAAUAUUAUAUUUCUAUACAAUAUGAAAAAUAAGGCACUCAGAACGCUGAACUAGAAUGCUAUUGAUACAGUAAAUAAAUAAUGAUUAUCAAAUAGUAAAGCCUAGAUAUUCAAGGACUAAAAAAUUAACAACAAAUGCUAUUUUUUUUUGCCAUCAAUAGUAUUCCGGCGACACCAAGGCUCUGCAUUUAUGCACCGCAUUAUUUUUAAUAGCUCUUGAAAUUUUUUUCUCAUGAAAAUUUACUUAUUCAAAUAGUUUACUGUUUUAUAAUGAUGGUAGAUGAUUCACUGCUUUAAGGAUAUUAAUGGGUAUAGAUAUAUGAAAUUUUAUCUGAUGCUAGAUGGAUAUAGUUUCGAAUACGAGUAUAAAAAAUAAAAAUUUGACGAAUUUGGAUUCAGAAAUGAAUUUUGUCUGAACACGGCAUGAACCCCAAUUGAUUAUACAUUAAAUAAUAUAUAUAUACAUUAAAUAAUAUAUGUAUGAUAUUUUGAUAUUAUAUUUAAAAUUUUUAUUUUAAAAAAUUAAAUUUAAUGUAAUAUAUUUUGAAAUACGGUAAAGAAAAAUAAUUGUUUUAGGUUCGGAUUCGGAUUUUGAAGAUAUUUGAUUUUUUAAAAAACCAUCGUACUAGGAUUCGAAUUCAGAUUUCGGAUUUGGUGGUCUGUUUCGCUGGUUUGGGUGUUUCAAAAUUCAUCGUGAAUCCGACCCGUUGACAUCACUAACUGGCUUUCCCAAAUGCAGUAUCGGUUCGGAUUCAGGUAAUGAAUUAAAUCCGACCCGGAUCCGGGCUAACUCUGUUCAUGUUUAUUCCAAAAACCACUGCCUCUCCUCUCUUCUCUCCUUCUCUUCUCUUCGCCGCCGCCGCCGCCGCCGCCGUCGCCGCAGCUCUUCCACCGCCGGCGCCGUCGCCGCCGCUCCGCCACCGCCGGCGCCGCCGCCAUUGGAGGUGCGAUCUUCAGUUCUCCCCUUAAUCGCGAUUCAGUUUUGCGAUUUGAUUCCGAGAACCCGCUCGAAUCUUUUCGGUAAUUCGUAGCCCGCAGAUCCUAUCGAUCGAUCGAAUCCUAGUUUCUUGGAUCAAAUGGCGUUGUCGAGAUGAUCUCGUUAGGGUUUUGUGUUUUUCGCUUUAUUUUUUUGAAAAAAAUUUAAUAAAAACCCUAAUUUGUGCUAUUGAAUGCUAAUUGUGUUGGGUGGCAGAGUCAAAAAAAAAAAAGAAAAGAAAAGAAAAAAGGAGAUGCCCUCGCUUCAGACGGCGUUACCUCCUGAGUUGGCAGAUAACGUAAUCAGGGUUAGGGUUUCUAAUCCAAUUCUUUUAUUUCCUUUUACAUUAUAUAUAUAUAUAUAUAUAUAUAUAUACAAAAGAUUUUUUAUUUUUAAGAAAAGAUCUCUUUUUGUAUAGUGCAUUUGCAGUUUACUAUCGUCUGGUUCAAGAUGUAGAGAUUCUAAAAGGGUAGCAGAGUGUUGCAUUUUAUGAACCCUAGGGCAGUAAAGUGAAAUAUAUAUAUAGGCCAUGGCUACUAUACUAUUAUGAGUAUUGGAGCUCUCGUACUCAUAAGUUGUUUUCGAUGAUGGAGCUUCCAAAUCGACGAUCCACUCCGUUAUCCACUCCGUUAAAUAUCAUCUAGAGUAUUUGAAACUUCUAGAAAAUAAAUUUCGUAAAUUUUCGAAAUCAUAAUAAAGUCCAUCAAGCGAGCAUAAAAUGAACGGUCAAAAUCGAACGGCGUCCUAAAAAAGGAUGAUCGGAUCCUUCAAUUCAAGAUCGGAGUUAUUGAUUUUUAUCUAGGUAGUGAAUAGAAUUUUCUAUCAAAAAUUCAACAAAUUCCGAUUCUUUUACACCGUUAAACUAGCAAGUAUCCCAUACCGGCCGUUAAAAAUUGUCAAAUUUGUGACCUCUUGAUCGUAAGGUAAAUGAUCUCGAAAAAUUAUAAAAUUUGAUUUCUAGAAGUUUUAAAUGCUGUAAAUAAUGUUUAACGGUAUGGAUCGUCGAUUCGGAAGCUCUAUCAUCGAAAACGAUUUAUGGGUACGAGAGCGAUCGUACUCAUAAUAGUAUAGUAGCCCGGACCCUAUAUAUAUAUUUAUAUAUCAAAAGGAUUAGUGUUUAGGCUUAGGAUUUGGGGUUUAGAGGGGCAUUGAUGAUAGUUUUAUAUGUUUAGAGGGGGUAUUAGUGAUAGUUUUGGAUGAUUCGUGGAGUAUUGUUGGUAUUUUAGAUUUUGGAGGGGCAUCUAUGAUAUUAUGUGGUGGUAAAAACUGCUACAUUUUACCGCACUAUGGCUUGUAAAAUGUAGUAUUUUGCUGUCAUCUUUAAUGAUAACUCGUUAUAGAGAAAAACCAAAAUAGAAUCCGAUUUGGGGGCAAAAUGUGCGCUACAAUUUAAAAUCACAGACCGGCAAAGUUCUGCCUUUUAUGAACCAUAGAUCGGUAGGGUGCAAAUCAUAGGGUGGUAAAAGGCGCUACAUUUUACCGCACUGUGGUUUAUAAAAGGUAGCACUGGGCUAUUAUUUUGAAUGGUAAUUAGUUAUGGAGAAGAAAUAAAGUCAAAACCAUGAGAGGGCAAAUUGCUAUACCUUGAACCACUGGGUAGUAAGCUACAAAUGCGGUAUAACACAUGGGGGUUUUCGAAGUUUCCCCCCCUUUUUUUUCAACUUUUUUCAUUAGAAUUUUUUACCAAAUCUUUUUCUGAAUGAGUAAAUUUAUGUGUGUUUUUAUGUUGUUUAUUUAUGUAACUGCAGUUGUACCGCGAAUGCCUUAGGAGAGCUAAGUACAUUGGUCAUCAGGUUUGCCUUAUUCACACCAUCAUUGCUCUUUUUUUUCGCCUUUUCUGGUUAUUUUCUUUUUCUUUUUCCUUUUUUAUUAAGUCUCUAGUUUGUGAGGGACAGAAAAGGUUGACAUCAAUUUGUUUUGUCAAAAUAUUUGAUAGAAUUAGCGCCUAUAAGAACGACGACAUUGUUCCUCUGAUAGAAAGUCCAAAUCGUGUUACCUUUUAAUGUUUAAGUUUGACCAGGAAUAUGCAAAUAUGAAAGGUUUAUCCUUACUUGAGAAGAUGAGUACGUUCCAAGCAUAUAAGUAACGGUUGUUCUAUAGGAGGCCAAUUUUGGACUUGUUAAUUGUUUAUGGUCAUUGAACAUUUGAGAUGUGAGAACAAUGUGUUGUUGCCAGUAGUCGUGCGCUCUUAUGUGCCUAUCUUAAGUAACGAUCUCUAUACUUGAUAUAAGGGCAUGUUAGUAAUGCCAAGUUUAUGUUGAUAACUGUAGCGCCCUUUCUGUACCAAGUGGCUUUGAUUAGCUAAGGCUAAAUUUUAAUCUUAGGGCCAGUUUGGAUGCGAAGUGUAAAAAAAAACUCCUUGGAGUUUAUAAAUUGUGGUUUAAAUAUAGAGAAAAUAGAGAAUCUUGUGACUCUCUAGGAUUCCAUAAUUUUAUAUUUCAAGCUAUUUGGUUACACCCUUUAUAAUUCUACAGGAUUUCUAAUAACUUGAUUUCUUAUGCUUCGUUCUCCUUGAGCUAAGAUCUAAUGUAUAACUGAUGCAAAACUAGGACAUUCUUAAUUCUUGAAGAUACAUUGCCUCUUCUUCCUCAAACUGUACAUUUGGUAAUUAAGUUUCUGCAUGACUAGUUGGAUUAUUAUAUUAACAUCUAAAAUCUAGAGAGAGAGAAAGGAGCCUUACUAGUUAAGAGGGAACACCUCUUCGGCCAUGAUUAGAUCUAGAGAAAGAGAAAAAGAAAGAGAAAAGGGGGCAUGGCGGAAGAGGAAGCCUUGCAGGCGGCAACCGUGAUGGCGGCGGCAGGUAGGGGGCUCAGUUAGGAGGGAGAGAGGGAGGGGACAUGGGCAUGAGUUGGAGGUAGGAGGGGGUCGUGAGAAGGGGAGGGUGAGACGCGAUCAGAGCCAGAAAUUUGGAGUUUCUAAAUACAGAGAUAAUAGUAGAUGUUUACUUUAUCCCUUUUUUUCAGGGUAUAUUUUUAACUAUACUUUAAAAAAAGGUUGUAUUUUGAUCCAUCCAAACACUUUACAGGAUUAAUUUCCUAUGGAUAUAGAAUAGUUUAACUAUGCUUUGUUUUUUGGUGCAUCCAAACGGGCCCUUAUUCUAACCUCUUCAAGAUGUGAUCCUAUAUGAUUUGAACAUUUAUCUUUCUUAAUUCUGAUCAUUUUGUCUCAAUGUUCUCGUGAACAACCACUUCAUCUUUUUGUAUAUUGAAUCUAUCCUGCACGAAACAAGAUGGAUGAAACUUCAGUCGGAAAUUAUCGAAUGAAAAAUCUCAACUUAGCUUUGGAAAUUAACUUGACCGCCGAAAUUCAGUAUUAACCUAAUUUACUGAAUUGUAAUAACAUUACCCAUCUCGCCACCUUCCAUUUUCUGUAUUUUUCUUGACUUCGUAUGUCCCUAGACUCCAUUGCCUGCUGACAAUGUCUUCUAAAUCUUAAUUAGGUAAUUGCCUGGUUUUGCUUUUGUUGUGGUAUAUGCUUGGUUUAUUUUCGAAUCUUGAGCUAACAUAGGAUUAUAAAGUAGAUUAAAAUCAUAUUAUGAUGCCUUUUCCAGUAAGUGCAGUAGCACCAGGUCAACCUUAUAUUUGCCCGUUCAUCUCAUCUCACCUCUUUGUAAACUCUUUGUAUUUAUUUCGUUGGCUCGUGUUGAAGCCUUGAGUAGCGUUGUUUAUCCUCAUUAUCCCGCAAACCAAGCUGUCAUUUGCCAGAUUAGACAAAGGUAGUUAUGGUAUUGCCAAAAGUUAGAAGACUUUUUCUCUACUGAAGAGUUAUUUUUCUGAAUUAUCAGAAUAGCAUCCUCCUUAUAGAUGUCCUUCGUUUUAUCCUGCAAAAAGUGAAAACUAUUCCAAUUAUCCUUGUAGACAUUGCGUUUAUCAUUGUAUCUAACAAGAAUAUCAGGCCCACUGAAUGGGCGGGGACUGUAUGACGGUGCGGAUCCCCCAACUAUGUCCUCGCAACAAGCUAAAUUUUCUUUCUCUACUUUUAUGGAGAAUUCAAAUUUUGCAACGUUGUGUAACUCUCUCUCUCUCUCUCUCUCUCUCUCUCUCUCUCUCUCUCGCAUAUGCAGCAACACAAUACCGAGGCUGUUGUUAGCAUGGUGAGGCAACAAUUCAAGAAACACAUGCAUGAAACUGAUUCCGAGAAAAUACAGAAGUUGAAGGAUGAGUAAGUUUUUUUCAUUUUCGACUCAUCACUCUGCAUCUUUUCUAGAUUAGUAGUCAUUAAUUUCCACAACCUAUUAUGACUACUGCCUAUCACUGCAGCGCCGCAAGGGGGCUUAUCAAUCAUAUGCUCUACGAGUCCGAGAAGAUGUCCGGCCGCAAGUUCUCCAGCUCCAAAUGAUCGUCACAAACUCCCCGCGACGUGUCUGCUCGGUUGAAAUACUUCGCAAGCGGGAGCUUCAAAGCUGUCCGCUGAGAGUUGUUCGACAUUUUCUAAUUUAUUCGCUAGUCUCGAACCAUUCGCUACUGCACUCAUAAAGCAUUUCAUUCCCGUUCUCUGGAUUGCACACAAUUUUGAUGUUAAGAUGCAAUGAAUCCAGAGUUUGUAAUUGAAUUCCGUCUCUGUUCAUACCUGGGGACAGAAAUAUGCUUAAGACAUGCAGAUCUCCUGAGUAGCUUUUUGCUAGCCCUGGAUAACCACAUGGCGCGAUGAUUCUGUAUUAUAUGGUUUUGAUGGUUGAAGGGGGAAUAAUCUGUAACUAGGGUUUGACAACAACUAUAUUAUCAGUGGAUGCUGCUACUUCUUUGAUUGGCAGAAACAAAGACAUUUGGUUUCUCUUUUGGGAAAAUUGUACUAGGGACACCUAGGGAUGCAAACGGGGCGGAUCCGGAGGCGGGAGAGUUUUCCCACCUCCCGCUCCAUUUCUUAUCUGGGCGGGGCGGAUUCGGGGCGGAUUAUUUUUCAUUUUAUUUUUGGCUCCCACUUACCGCUCCAUUCGGGGCGGAUUGGGGCGGGAGCGGAUUUUUAACGAAUCGGGGUAGAUUGAAGGAAGAAAAGAGUUUUCCGUCUCCCGUUCCAUUUACUUGGCGGAUCGGGGCGGGUUAUAUUUUUCUAUAUUUUUUGUUUCCACUUACCACCCCAUUCGGGGCGGAUCUGGACGGAGCUCCACCAACCCGGAUCCAUUUGCAUCCCUAGGGACACCCCCCUUGGACUUCAGCUUUUUUUGUGAACAGGCGUCUAAAUUUUCAAUUUUAGCAAUUAGAUUAAUUUUAAAAAUCUUAUCAAAUAAUUUAGUAGACUUUUCUCUCCGAUUAAUGAUGUUAAUUACAUAAUGGUUUCGGUUGUAUGUAUUGUAUAUAUUUUUGAGUUUCCAAACGCAAAAAUGAUAACUUUUUUGUACUCUCUAAAAUGUAAAACAGGUGGUCAAAAUUGAAAGUCGUUGUUCAACCCUCGUACUUAAUUAUUAAAAGUGGUAGAGAAAAAAAAAGAUAUCAAGAAGAGAAGAGCCUAUUUGAAAAGAAAAUCAAAUUGCCAAAAUGUCGAAAAGAAAAAAGAAAAAAGAAAAAAAACACAUAUCCUACAAAUCAAACUAGUAUUGCCUUCGUUACAGGUUUAACCAUUUUGCUCCAUGGAAGACAUUUAUUUUCCUGUUAAAUUUAUUUUUUUAUUUUUUUAUUUUUUUUUGAGAAAUAGAUAGCUUGCUAUCCGCUUCAUUCAUUAGGAAAAUAAACUAGGCUUACAUAAUGGAGGCAGCCAGGACCUCCGAAGGAGAGAGUGACAAAAGUGAGAAAAGAAACGAAAACAAAGACAAAGGGUAGAAGAACGGAAGCGAAGAAGCAUAUCCCGAAAAAUCGAAGUAAUCAACGUGGAGCGGUCCAGAUGUCCAGCAAAAGCUUAAUCCGAUCCAGGCACCAGGUAGGGUUGAGGGCACUGUCUCGAAAGAUUAUAGCAUUCCUUUCCGUCCAAACUACCCACCAGAUGGCAGAGAGGGUUGAGAGAGAAGAAAGUCUCUCGUUGGUGUCUUUGAGACUGACUAGUUUAGACCAGAGAUCUCUCACAUCGUCAGAGGACUCGGCCAGGGCUUCCAAACCGCCAACGCUGAGCCGUAUGAAGCGAACAAAAAUAUAGGGACUCAUGAGAUGGUCGCAGUUCUCAGGAUAAACGGCACAGAAAAUGCAAGGUUGGUUCGCUAACCACCCUUGUUUGUGGAGCCUAUCUGCGGUGGGGAUCCUCUUCCGAAGUAGUAGCCAUAAGAAAACUUUGAUCUUUAUCGGUAUCUUCAAAUUCCAAAUAUGUCGACCUAAAGGGUCCCACUUUCCUGAGUUCGUGAGGAAGCGGUAAAGGGACUUGACUGAAAACUUUUGGUUAGAGUUCCAACACCAGGUUAUUAGAUCCGAAACCUGGGCAGGGCGAAUGGUCUGAAGCGAGUCCAGUAGCAAUUCCUUUUGUCUACGAUAAUCCUCAGAGAGAGGCUCCGCUGGACCACGACAAAUGUACUGCCACCUGUCACGGCCUUAGCGUUUCUGUUCGCAAAGCCCGUACGGCGCCCGCCUUCCUACUCGAAGAUGGGCAAGCCUUCGUCCCUGUUGCUAACCUGGACCUUCGCGUCCUACGACUAAGUAUGCAAAGGGAGUGACAGAAAGAGAGAGACAGAGGUUCACUCAAAAAUACUUAGCACUCCACUACUUAGAAAAAGAGAUUACAACACACAUACACACUCCCUCUUGUGUCCUUUUGGCCUUAGCCAAACCCCACUAUAUAUAGACUCCUAGAUACAUUGAAUCUAGCUUACACUAACUCUCUCGUUAUGACACACAUUAACUCACCCUCAUAAUGACCCAUAAGUCCAAAAGUCACCCUAUUAACUCUUGGGAGUUUCAUAACCCUUAAACUUCCAUCAUUGAUGGGAGAAGUUACAAAACCCUUGUCUCCCACAGCGGGUUGAGUUUGGAUCUCUUUGACAACCCGAUUCAACCCAUUUUCAACCCGUUUCGCUGGCAGAUUUGGGCCACUGUCAAGGAAAAGUCAGCGGGAAACAUUUUGUCCGUGACACACCGCCAGCCAUUAUUUUCAACUUCCCUACACAUCUGACCUAACAUCACCUUUAACAUAAGACUCAAAAAUCUUGGCCUCAACUUUCCUAGGCCAUUCUUGUAUUUUUCACCUCCAGCAUAAGCUUUACCAUCAACUUAAAAGCGGAGAGAGAGAGAGAGAGAGAGAGAGAGAGAGAGAUCUAAGAAGACAUGUCAGGAAACACCUAGAAUAAGCACUUCAUCUCAAAUGAACACCAGAAACUUACUACCUAAAGCAAGAAAACAAAAACAGAGAUGGUGUUUUUUUCUUUUUUGUUAUAUUCAAAUAUGAUGACAGGAAGGUUGAAGAAAGAAAGAAAAAAGAGAACAAAAAGAAACUAUGGCAAAUCUGUUGAAUAUAUUUUCCUCCGAUUCAAAGAGAAAUUUUUUUUUUUUUAAAAAAAAGCAACAAAAACAAAAACAAGAAGGAAAAGAAAAACUCAAAACCUCUGAUGAAUAAUAUCCGGCGAGAAUAGACGGAGUGCCCGAUUCGAAUCCAAAGAACCCAUACCAUCACAAAUACUAUAAUCAGAACCAUGUGAGAGGACACUACCACCAUUUCUGUUAAACUUUUGCUCUUUCCCCCUUUCGAAGAUUCUUCUAGUAUCAACUUAAAACGAUCCCCGCACAGAAACUUCUCAUGUUGAUUCGCCGGUCUUCUGAACCCUAAUAUGCAUCGAGCCGAUCUUUACGACAUCACCCGAAAAGCUCGACGAGUCGGCUUCUUCGCUUACACUAGAACUGAUCGAGAGGGAGCUGACUUCCCCGGCGAGGUUGCCUACUACCUGGGCAGGGUCAGAACCUCCUCUGCCGUCGGGGCCCAAAUCGACUGGUUUGCUAUUUGGAGGGCUAAGCACUUUAACCUGCCGGUAGGUAACGCCAUUACGCUUUUUCCCUUCCGGCUUUCGAGACUGAUCAACCGCAUUAUCUUCUUUCGCAAGUUUAACAACAGUAUCAUUUGAUUGCUUUCCAUCCACUCGAGGCUCUUUGUUCUUGUUCGAAGGCCGAACAGCAGUAGUAGACUUUGAUUUGUCCCCGUCUUCCGUCCGGAGCUGAUCGACACCAUCAGCUUUCGGAUUCUCAACAGCUGCUGCAUUUUGCUGCUUCUCUUCAGCUUCUGGAAGACGCUCAGCUGUAACAUUCGGCUGUUCCCUGUUUUCUCCCGAAGAACGGCCUGCAUGAGAUGCCGAUUGAUUAUCAUCUGAUUGUGGAGUUUGGUCGAAAUUACCGUCCUGCCGCUUCUCGUCUGCGCUUUGAGGCCGGUUCGGAAUAUCGAUUUCUAGUGUGUGAUCUGAACUCGGAUGCUUCUUGGGGGAGGCAGUUACUACACGCUGAGUAGCAAGAGUAGGUGUGAAGAGAGGGGCGUCAUGGCUUCUUAGGAGCCUGAAUCUUCUUUCCUUGUUACUUUUCUCCAGCUCUUCGUACUUUGGGAAGUCAUCGAGAAUGCUUUCCCUCAACAGACUGCUCUUAAAGAUUUUAAGCAUAGUUGUGCCCGGAAUGUACAUGACCUGUAUCCAGAGAAGUCAUAAGCACAGUGAUAAUACAAAAAAGUGACUCGGUCGGAACAAUGAAACAUUAGCAUGAGUCAAGGUUAGAUGAAACUAGGAAGUUCAAUGAUCCUAAGUUAGCAAUUAUCCAGCAUCCAAAUACAAAAAAAAAGAGGAGAAAAAUUCAGCUAUAAAACAUGGCUAUGCUAAUUAUUCGUGAAUCGCAAAAUAGAUGGACGUUCAGGUUGAGGUUGAAUUUGUUCGGAAGGAAAAAGUUGGUAUCAUAGUUAUACAGAGAUGCAAACAUAAAUUAAUAAUUACAUCAUACAUAUUAUUAAUUCCAUACAUCAGUGUAUUUUAGAAUGUAUAAAUGAUCAUGUCUUAGUAUUUUGUAUGUAUUGUGCGAAAUUAGAGGCUUUCUUUUAAACAUGUAUGAUUUUAAUUUUGGUAGAAAGAGAAAAUGAUGGGGUUGAUUACAAAUUAGCCUUAAACUUCACCACAGGCUUCAAUUUGGUUCUCAACAGUUAUAUCGACUCUGAUUUCAUUUUCGUACAGCCUAAGUUUCAUUUUUUGUCAUUAGUUUCUAACUUUAACAAACAAAAGUCUACAGAUGGGGCAAGUGCAGCACUUCUCCGGAUGGUAGAUUAAAGAAAGAGUCAUAAUUAUUAUGAAGAAUAAACAUCAGGGACUAGAUUGUUAUAAUCUAAGAAGCGUGAAAUUGAAACUCUGGUCAAAUGAGGGGACCGAAUUUUUGUCGACCUCAUUUUUAAAUUUAUUAGCACGCAAAUAACCAGCACAACCAAGAGCUCAUAUAUUGAUACAAUAAAAAAAAUUAGGGUAAGCAUCCAACUUGCCUCUUGGGUAUCUCUGCUAUGAGUUACGGGUUUAUUCUCAUUGUUUUCUAGUGUGAUUUGCCGAAAGUUAGUGUUUGGCACAUCCUUGAUGAUGUGCCAUUUGACGGAGAAGCUACCACUCCAUUUAUCUUGCUGCCAAAAAUCCAUGUCCCUUUGGAAAUCCACACGACCCAACAUCUCGGCAACACCGCAGAAUCUCCCACUGCCAUUAACCUGAGAUUAAAAUUUGCUCAUUAAGGAAUAGAAGUAUAAUAGAGACAAGGAAUUUGACAUAUAAAUAGAGCCCUACAAAAUCCGGAAAUGGCCACUUACGGAGAAGAACAGAAAGACGGGGCAGUUGACACCCUUCAAAGCAGAUAACCUUUGAGCAUCUUCGUAUGCAGCAUCCAGUUUCUUGUUCCCAUUGGGCGUGCUUGACCAUACAUUAUACUUAAUGCUCUUGUGAACAUCGUCCUCGCUGUAGGAUUUGAUGAUAAAAAAUUUGGCAUAUGGAUACUCGACUGGAAAGUCAUCUCGGUUGUAUUGAUCGGUUUUUAUGACAAUGAUUCCUUGUGGAUUAGCGAUGGUUAGUUUAGACGUAUAGGACUUAACGGUGAUCGACGAAGUUGGCUGAUCUCUGACCCUAUUUGCUGUAGUGCUAAAUGAAUGUGGUCUUCCAGCACUGUCAGCAGGCUUCAUCUUAUCAUUUGGGAUAAACUUACGAGAAUUAGAUCCAAAGUGCAUAAGGCUAUUGUUCAUUGGGAAUUCCACUUUCGAUGAAGGUUCAAAUGAAGGAAUUCUCCUGUUGAAAAAUUGCUCUGUUGCAUGGACAGGACCCGAAGAAUUGCCAGCUAGAAACUGGAACGCAAAAAUAUAGCAAAUGAAAGACAUGUUAAGAGCAGGCAAAUGGUAACUAACCAUAAGAAGAAAAGGAUAGCCAAGAACACUGCUAAUUAAUUCAUUAGUACUCUGCUAAUUAUUUACUUAAACCCAUAUACCCAACUCGUCCUUCAUCCUGCACUUGGGCGUCAAUCGUUUAAAUCCAAUCUACUCAUAUGCUAACCUUAAAAGGAAUGUAACAAGAUCACUAAGAGUAGGCUCUGCCCCAUACAAUAUCAUUAACAUAAAAUAUUUUCUUGCAUUCCAUAGGGAAACUACCUCCCUUCCACACACAUGCAGAGAUGCACUUAUGUUAAUAUAUGCAUACGAGUAUAUAACAGAGAGUGUGUGUAUAUAUAUAUAUAUAUGAGUACCUGGGUAGCCUGCUGACUCCCAAGUUGUGUGGCUGACUGCUUUCUUGGUGCCAAAUUAAGUAAUGAUCCGUUUGAAGGGAGUUGAAACUGCUGGGAAGAAGAAAAGGAAUGUUCCAAUGUUGGAUUAAGUAAAGAAGCCCUCUGUGAAUCUACAGGAGCGGUCGCAGAAACUAAUGGAGCAGAAUUCUUCAUCCCUUCAGCAUCAGCUUUACUGGGAACCGAUGUGAAACCACUGUACAAGGACUGAUCAGAAGUGCCAUGAGGGACAAACUCCGUGCCAGUUGGAAUAACUGGAAAAUAGGAAGGUGAAGUAAUUUGUUGAUGGUAAGCAGGGUUAGUUAAGUAUUGCUGCAUUCCUAUAAUUGAACCAUCAGGGCCUACAACGGAGCUAGGCAUGUAAGGAUUGUAUGGGUUGUAAUGAGACUGUGGAUAUCCAUAAUUAGGUGCAUAAUAUACAUAUGGUGAGCCUUCAGCCUGUGGACCCUGUGGAAGUUCAAGAUGCAAUGUCAGGAAAUAAUGGGAGGAAACUAACUAACUAGAGAAAAGUGGAAAAAUUGCUGGAGCUUAUGAGAAAUGUCGUAAAGUUGCUAGGAAAAGGCAGUAGCAGCUUCCAGUUGACAUGCCCAUUAGAAGUAGAAGCUUCAAAUUAAAGCUUCUGCUUUUAGGGUUUGACAACUUAUUUUGGUGUCCCACUUUAGUAAGAUCAGGAUUUUUCGGCAUGCCAAUCUCAUAAUUAACAAUUUUUAGAGUAGAGAAACUUCUCUAGAAGCCAGAGCGAAUAGGCCCUUAAACUUACCACGUAAUGAAGAUCUUGACCAUCUGAUACAAAAACACUUUGGUGGUCAUCCCAUGCACCAGGUGCUUCAGCUCCUGCACAAGAAAGUUAUUGAGAGUUGGACAAUACAUUCAAUGUGUAAUAGUACUCUUCAUGAUUUAAGAUGGUUAUUAUAUCCGAAAUUCACCUGUACUGUAAUAUCCAUAGUAGUCAGUAUUAGGAGGAUAGUAUAGAUCCUGGCCAUAUAUGACCUCAGGUGCAACUUCACUACCGGAAAAGCCAAUCUCUUUAGAGGUAGUAUCUUGAUGCAUAAUGCAGUCUUUGAACAACCAAAGGUCCUGAAAACAGAAAAUAAACCAAAAAAUAUUACUACUGAGUACUUAACUUAAAGGCUCAUGCAAUCUAAUGGGUUAACACAAAUCAUAACAUUAACCAAGCCGUAAACCCUACACUAAUAUCCAUUCAAAAGAAGAAAAUUGCAAUAAUUUGUAUGUGAAUGCCAGAAGUGCUCAAAUUUGGUCAUUUCCAGCAAACACCGCUGGAGUAUGACUAAGCCAAUCAUUUGUUCUCAAUAUCUUGAAAGUAGAUUUCCUAUUGCCUAAAGUUCCAAAACAUAAAAUGUUUCAUAUUGCCUAAAGCAAGGUUUUAAGUGCCCGUCGACACGGGCCGUAUCUACGGUGCCGUACCUACGGUGCCGUACCGUGCCAACAAGACAUUGGCACGAUACAGACUCCAUGCCAAUGGCACAGCUCAAAACUCUCUAUUCUUUAAAUUAGUAAAUAAAAUCCUCAAUAAAGUUCAAAAGAUAUGAUAAAAAGAUAUAAUAAAUAGUUAGGAUAUUUUGUUGCUAAAGAAAAUAAAUAUUUCAUACUAUUAUGUGUCGGCACACAAGAAUUUUUUUGACCGGCAUGCCCGGCACGCACAGUGCCGUACCGUACCGUACCGGCAAGUUUCCGGCACGAUCCCCUACCACGGCACUUAAAUCCUUGACCGAAAGUUUCAAAACAUAAAAUGAAAUUGAAUUACACAAUAUAUUAAUCAGCCAACCAAUUGAAUUUACAUAAGAAAAUUAACAACCAGAUACAGAGGAAUAAACUAAACAAGAAGGGCAUUGGCAACUAUGCUUGUUCUGUAAUAUUUUUUACCUUUUCUUCAUUAAAUCCCGCAUAUUUCAAAUGCACUCGCUUAGCACACCAAUCAAGAAUGAAACAGCAUAAUGUGCAAUUACCAACAACCAAUAAUCACUAAAUCCUCCCAUGAUCAAAACCAAUUUAUUAAACAUAAAAUAUAACACCCAUGAAAGCAAAUCUUUAUCCAAGAAUUACGAUUCCAUCAACACAGGGAGCAAUCCAAUUGACCAAUUACUAACGCACCAACAAAGGGAGCAAUUGAAUCGACCUAGAACCCAAAAGAUCACACGAAAUCCGCCCAAAACCCAUCAGAUCAAGCCCAAAAACACGGGAUUAAAAUGAUUCUCGAGAUCUAAGAGGCCAAAACAACGAGGCAAAGAAGACCGGAGCUUACGGGAAAAGAGGGCCCGAAACAAGCCGGAGAUCGAUGAGAGACGACGAGGAGAUCCGCUCCUCCUUUCCCGAAACCCUAGCUAGGGUUUUACGCAGCUUUGGGGUCGAGAGAAUCGCGUCGAAAACCCUAACCCUAGAAGGAGAAUGGAUUCGAGAACGAAAGAGGAAAGAGAAAGAGAGAGAGAGAGAGAGAGCGUGAAAGGUCGACCCCGAUCUUCGGGGGCCCUUUUAUAGUUCUCUUUAAAAAUUUUAUCCCGAAAAUGCCCAUAAGUUUCUUUCUUUAUUUACCAACGUGCCCCUACGACCGCCAAAUUUGAAAAUUACUUAAUACUGAUGCGCGGUGGCGUUUCUGUAAAUAAAAAUUUAAAUGCGAGGGUAUUUUUGUCAUUUGUGGCGGACCUCCAUGAAUUGUGCGUGUUGACUUUGAGUUGACCAUGACACGUCGGAAGAGAUAUUUAAAGUGAGAAAAUUCAAAAAAUUUUGAAUCCAACAAAAUGUCAAUUUCUUUUGAAUAUUAAAUAAAUAACUUCUUCUACAAGAAAAAGAAAAAAUAUUAAAAUAAUAUUUAAUUUAAGGCAAUAAUUUUAAGUGAAAUAGGGUGUGAAACACUCUUCUUUUUUUUUGAAAAAACUUCAAAAAACCCCCCUGUGGUUUUGUGGUUUCUCACUUUGCCCCCCUGUGGUUUAAAGUGUAUCAAAUUGCCCCCUGUGGUUUCGUUUUUAUCUUUUCGGUAGCUUUUUCGUUAAUAUUUUAUUAAAUUAUUAUAUACAAAAAACUUCAGAUACACAUCUAGAUUUAUUAAAUAUUCACUUUAGUACCCUUUAAUUUUAACUUUAUCACUGAUUUAAGAAAAAAAUAUUAAAAUUGAUAAGAAAAAGAGAAAAAAGAAACUACAGGGGGGCAAAUUGAUACAUUUUAAACCACAGGGGAGCAAAAUGAGAAACUACGAAACCACAGGGGGGAUUUUUGAAGUUUUCCCUUUUUUUUUCUUUUGUUUGUUUGGAAAAAAUUGUGCAUAGACACCUGAAUUCUUAAUUUUUAACUAAAAGAUCCCUUAAACUUUAUGAUGAAAAAUGGGUUGCUUCUGAAAAUAAGGUUAUAAUAUUUGGAUGAUUAGAUUAAAAUAGCGAAAAUAAAAGUUAUUAUACUUUUAAAUUAAUAAUAUUUUAAUUAAUUAAUAUAAAAUUAUUGCUUAAAAAUAAUUUAAUAAAAUAAUAAAAGUUGUUAGCUAUGAAUAUUGUAUAAGAUAAUAAAAAAAUAUAUUAAUUAAUUAUAAAAUAUAACAAAUUUUUUAAUUAAUUAGUAAAUUUUUUAAUUAGUUAGAUGAUUUGUUAAGAAAUUAAUUUAAUUAGUCAAAAUAUUAAUUAGUUAGUUUACCAAUAUAAAUAUUAGUUAUUAGAUAAACACAUUAUUAAAUAAUUAAUUCUUAAUGAGCUAGUCGACCAUAAAUAAUAAAUUAACUAAUUACUUAACUAUUUAAGCAAUAGAUAAUGACGUAAAUAUAUUAAUUAGAUUAAUUAUCAAAUUAAUACAAUAAUUAAAAUUAGAUUUAAAAUUUUAAUUAAGUUUGUUCCUACUUAAGAACAAGUUUGUUCCAGAGAAAAGGGUGGAGUAGUUGUUCUAUCCUUAUUCCCCUUUUAAGAAUAUGAUAAAGUACAAGAAGUAAAUUAAAGGAAAAAAAAUGGAGUAAUUAAGAUGCGCCGUAAUGUGCGGGUUUUUUUUUUUUUUUUUUAGUCAUAAAUAUAGGGUUGACCAAACGCUUAAAAUUUACCAUUUACAAUUUAUAAAAAACAACUUCAGGGAAAAAAAAAAAAAGAAACUUGCAGGUGCAUUUGCAGUUACUGCAAUAGCACUUGACUGCUCUAUGAUUUUUCCAUUUUUCUUGAAAAAAAAAAUCAUCAUUAAACACUUAAUUUUUUUGUAUAUUUUGUUAUCAUGUGGUUUGUAUUCCUUUCUCUUUUUUUAUCCUAAUUAAUAAUACAUAAAGAUAAAGAAAUUUAGGGCGUGUUUGGUUCGAAGUCGGAGUCGGAAUCGGAAUCGGAAUGAAAAUAAGCUGGAAUCGGAAUCGGAAUGACUCAUUACCUAAUUCUGUUUGGUUCAUCACCUGAAUCGGAAUUGGAAUAAAUCAUUCCUAUUGUCGGUGUUUGGUUCAGAUGGAUAUAAAAACGUAAUCAAAUUAAUAUGCUAACAUUAUCUUUAUAAUAUAUUAAUUUAAAUUCAAAUUAAAUAUUAAAUAUUAGAAUUUUACAUCAAAAUUUUAAAAUAAUGUCAAAAUUUUAGAUCUAUUUUUUUUAAAAAAAAAAUUAAACUUUGAAGUUGAGUGGAUAAUUCAAAAUAUGAAACUAAAUUUAAGUUUGAAAUAAAAUUUGAAUAAACUUUAUGUAAAUUAAAAUUUUAAUUUAAAUUCAAAUUCAUAAGUUAGAUUCGAAAUACUUGAUUAAAUUUUAAUUUUUAAUUUAAUUUCAAAUUAAAAUUUAAAAUUAUAUAUUUAAUUUUUAAAUUAUAACUCAUAUUGUAAUUAAAAAAGUUGAAAAAAUAAAUUUAAUCCAAAUAAAUAUCCAUUCCGUCCGAAUUCAACUUCCAAUCCGGCCUUCUAGGCCGGAUUGAAAAAAGGCUGAUUGAGCGAUUCCCAUUCCACUCGGAAAUCGGAAUCGGAAUGAGACUCCCACGUACCAAACACCCACAAACGAAUUCACUCAUUCCCAUUCCGAUUCCAUGGUAAAAAAGAAAGCGAACCAAACACGCCCUUAAUUACUAUGCCCAAUGCAUUUAAUGUACUAAAUAAAUAUAAUGUACUUGAUAACUAAAAUUAUCAAUUUAAAUUAGAAAAUGUUCUCUUUUGGCUCUAGUGAGUUAUAUAAUGUUAAAAAAUAUAUAAAAUUUGAUUUCUAAACUACUUAAAUAUUCUAAAUUAUGAUUAACGAUAUGAAUCAUCAAUUCAUAAACUUCAUCAUUAAAAACAAAUAAUGAAAACAAAACGGACUUACGAAUUCAUAAGAGUAUAGUGGUCUCGAACUACAAACUAACAACCUUUAAAGGUUGAAAACGCGAAUCAAAAUGGAUCAUAUGUCAGAUCACUUCCAUUCAUUUUUACCAAAUAGAAUGCAGUAGGGAGAACAAUGGAAAAGUUAGGAAAUAAUAUGGAUGAUUUAAUAAGUAUUAACUUUAAAGCGAAAUAAGUGUGGACUGCAGUAGACCAUUAACUGUCAUCAAAUAUCAUCAUCCUGUUACUACAAACAAAACAUUUAAAACUCUAUCAAUUCCCCACCUUUCAAAGCACUGGUUCAGUUGUGGGGGAAAAAGUAAAGGAAAAGAAAUUUCAACUCCCCCAGAUCUGAGGGUUUCUUUUCCUGCUUUUUCCUAUUCACUCCCUCCCAUAAACUAUUGCAGAAAAAAAAAACACAAAAAGAGAGAGAGAGUAAAAGUAGAGAGAGAGAGAGAGAGAGAGAAGGGGGCAUGGCAAUCUCUAACAAAACAAUAUGAAUCCGGGGACAUAUUAGUUGUCAGGAGUUUGGUUUUGAUCUGAAGGAGGGGCAGCCUCGGCCGUGAAGCUGGGAAUUCCAUUACCAUCGGGGCCGGGAAGUUGAUCUGCCGUUUCAUUUCCAUGUAAAGAUUCACCAUCUGGGACGGGCGGCGGCGUCGGGGACAUAUCGCCUGUUGAAGGCAAAGUGAGAGGUUCGAUUUCGACAGCAGGCAGAGCUUCGAACUCAGACGACAUAGGUGGUUCGGAACUCGGGUUGACUGCUCCAGCAGCAGAAGUAGCGGCUGCUGCUGCUGCUGCUGCAGCUGGCAAUGUGUUGUCGUGGUCCGAACUGGGUAGCACAUCAAACAGACUGCGCCGCCUUGGCGUGUGGCUCUGGCUCGGUCUCGGGCUACGGCUCCGACUACGGGGACUCCUGCUCCUGCUCCUCGACCAGCUCCUGCUACGGCUCCGGCUUCUGCUUCUCCAGCUCCUGCUACGGCUUCUGCUCCUGCUUCUACUUCGUGUCCGACUCCUGCUCCUGCUCCGGCUGUCGUAGCUCCUGCUCCUGCUCCUGCUCCUGCUUCUGUCAUAAUCUCGACUGUAACUCCGGUCCCUGCUCCUCUCUCCGAAUCCUCUUCGCACAUCAUACCUCCCCCGCCCAUCUGAAUUUAUGGAUCGAUCGUUCGGGCCGCCACGGUCAUGCCAACCUCGGCCCCCACGGCCACCUCGCCCACCAAACCCGCGACCACCAGGCCCAUCUGAGCCACCAAACCCACGGCCCCCAGGCCCGCCAGGCCCACCGAAGCCCCGACCCCCCCUGGGUCCACGGCCGCUGUAAAAUUCUUGCCGGCCACCGCCACGCCCACCAAAGCCACCAACCCGGCCAUCCCUCAUGCCCCGGCCGCCACCCUCGCCUGAAUCCCAGCGGCUUGGACCCCUGCCUCCUCCGCCACGAGGCUCCCUGGGGAUUGGCGGGCCGCCGCGUGCGGCCAUUUCACGGAUCUCCGGCGGAACACGCUGAUUGGCGCCUUCAAGGACUUUGAUUAGAUCAGCCGCAUAUUUCCAGUCUUGGUCGGAGAAGAAGGUGUAGGAUACUCCCGUGGCCCCCGCCCUUCCUGUCCUUCCAAUCCGGUGGACAUAAUCCUCAAUACCAGUAGGGAAAUCAUAGUUGAUCACCACCCUGGAGAAAGGUAUUACAUUAGGCAAAGUAAAUGACUAGCAACAAAUAUAAAAUCGAAAGAGAAAGCGCAUAAAGCUAUUAAAGCAGGCUUUAGCUAUCCAUAUCUAAGCCAAACCGCAAAAGCUUACUACAGAAUUACUAAACUGAAUGCAUCAUGUUAUAAGCAAACAUACACAAGCAGCACCAUGCAAACAUGAUGAGAAGCUGACACAGAUGUUACAAGCCUUACCUGAUAUCCUUAAUGUCAAGUCCCCGUGCAGCUACAUCGGUGGCAACAAGAAUUGGAGCCUUUCCGGUGCGGAACUGAUGCAAGACAUGAUCUCUUUCACCUUGAGAUUUGUCGCCGUGAAUGGCAGCAGCGCCAAAGGCCCGACCCAUACUGCGGGCAAGCUGAUCGCACAGCCUCUUUGUUGAGCAGAAGAUGAUGAUCUUGGAGCCCCGUUCUUGAGACCUAAGGAUCUGCUCCAGCCGCCUUUGUUUAUCCAUCGGAGCAACCACCUCUACAAACUGCAAACCAUAACCAGCAGCAAAACUUCAUCAUCAUGGAAGUAAGCGUAUAUAAAGAAAAUAUUGUGUAAAAAAAAAUGCAGUAUAACAAGAUAUAAUAAAACUGUAAAAGAUUGCAACCUCAGCAACAAAUGUAAUACCCGGAGUUGAAUGCAAAAGCUUCAGUAUCAUAAUAAAUCAUGAGUAGAAAUAUAAAGUAGCAGUUGGGUUAUUGCAGAAAACAAUAACAGUACUAAGAGAGUUUCAUGAAUACGAUAAUUCAGUUCCCAGGUUUAAUUUCCCACUGGGAUAGUAAUCAUUCCACAAUUCUAGGUAUCUAACUCAAGUAGCCACGUAAGAACAUGGAACAAAUAUUAUUUAACCUCAUCAGGAUUCGAUUAGCUACAAAUAUAUGAACAAAGAAUCUCACAUUCCAUUACAAAAUUAGAAUGCACAUAAAGAAAUUUACGGGGGCUGGUAAGUGACAACCAGCUCAUAUUACUCAUAUUAUGCUGACCACUUACCAGCAUAGUAUUAGCAUGGUACCGCAAUAACCUGCUCUGUCAUUCAGUGCCACUACAUACAGCAUCGUGUAACUAGUCAACCAACUUCUUUUUUUAACCCCUGUUUUCUAUCUUGUCGCUAUCCAUGCCAACCGCUGACAUGGUACGUGUCGUGACGAUACCAUGCCACCGUAACUGUGGCAUGGUGCGUCACCGUCACCAUCAGGUAAAACCUUGGUUUAUGGAAAUAAAAUGGUAUCAUAGGUGACAAUUCUAGUUUCAGAAUUAACUGUUCGAAAGUGGAUUACCUAAAUAAUAAGUGUGAGCAAUCUUUGCCAUUAAUAGAACGCAAAAAUCAGCAGAAGGUAUAUUCAGAUGUUCUCCUUACUUGAGUGAUCGAUUUGUUUGCAACAAGUUCAUUGACGCUGCCGAUGUUCACCUGGACAGGAGUCCUAAGUAGAUCCCCUGCUAUCUUUCUCACCUCCUUAGGCCAAGUCGCUGUGUACAUGAGAGUUUGUCGGCGGGGAGGAAUCUCAUUCACAAUCUUCCGAAUCUGAGGUUCAAAACCCAUGUCUAGCAUGCGAUCUGCUUCAUCAAGGACAAGAAAAGAAACCUGGUGGAAGCUGAUCUUCUUCAUUUCAACAAUGUCAUUCAACCGACCAGGUGUUGCCACUAUGAUGUCUGCUCCUCGCUCAAUUUCUUUUAGCUGCGGUCCCUUUGGAGCUCCUCCAUAUAAACACUAAAAUAUAAGAAAAACAACAAGGAGGAGAAAUUGAAUACAAGUAAAAUGUUCUUUUAUUCAAAAAGUAAUUUAAGCACAAAUGCCAUUCCCUAGUGCAACAUAUCGUCGUAGGAUGAAGCAUCCAUAAUACUUCUUGUCAAACAACGGCUUACUCUAUUCUUCCCUAAGAUAAGACAUACCUACAAUUUAUAAAAUAAAUCAUUCAGAAAUUCCAAUUGGGUGCAGCAGCUGCCCGAUACUCUUGGCUAGCCACGUCCGCAUCAUGAUCUACAACCCUACUUAGUGAAAUUAAUUAACCAGGCAGUGUAACCUCCUAGACAAAGAUCUAAGGACUCUUGAUGAUUCUAAACAUUAAGCCAUAGUUGUUUGGUUCUAUCUAUCUUUCACUAAUUUUUUUCCUCAAUGGUGGCAGAAAGUUGUGUACAACUUCUACCAUCCAAUGAGACUCCACCUAAGAUUCCUCAAAUCCUAAUAAAUGUCCUAAGUAGUGUAAACCAUAUCUACACGUAGUGUGGUUUAGAUGAAAAUAGCUGUUUACCUGAAUAGUACUUAUCAAGCUGCUGAUCUCCUCUUUGCAAGCACAAAAAGCAUUUCCCAGAAAGAAGAAAAGCAUCAUAAAGAGAUAGAUUCACAAACUUACUGUACAAGAAAACCUGGAAGAACGCCCAAAUUUGAUUGCCUCAUCUUGUAUCUGUGUAGCAAGCUCACGAGUAGGAGCCAAAACUAGCACAGUUGGACCGAUCUUAGGAUUAUUUCUGCAUCUUCUCAGAUGUAUAAAUGCAGGAAUAAGAUAUCCCAGAGUCUUUCCAGAGCCAGUUUUGGCAAUGGCCACAAUAUCCCUGUUCUGCAAUGCAACAGGCCACGUCUGUGCUUGUAUUGGUGUUGGAUGUGAGAAACCAGCUAAAUGCAACUGGAACAGUAUAGAUAGUAAAUAUUAUUAAUCACAACCUUAUCAUGCCAAGACCCGACACAGACUAUAUUAUCGAGGGUAAAAUGCAUAGAUAGUGCCUGAACUUUCAACAAAUCGUAAAUUUGAUCCCCAAUCUUCCCAUUUAAAUGCAUCAACCUAUGAAAUUUCUAAUCUCUUGCAAGGCCAUCCAAAAUCUAUCUUUUGCUAGCUUAUAAUUCAGCUCCUAGUAAACGGUAAAGUAUUCGCAAGUGUGUGCUACAGAGAUGACAUUGAAAAAAUUAGGCCAGUUCAGGGACUGAUUUUUUAGAGAUCAGAAGCCAAAUUGCAGUUUGUAGAAAGUUCAGAGACUACCUGUGCAUCUUUCCUUACUAACUAUCAUCUACAUUUUCACAGGGUAAAUAGCUAAACAAAACCCUAAGUGCACAUAGUUGCUUACUGAAGCCACUCAAGGCAGCAAGAAGGUGCUCUUAAAGACUUGGGUUUGAGUAGCAGAGACAAGAAGAACGAAGCCUCCGCCAAUAUUACAUUAUCUGGAAGAUAGUCCAUCCUCCUGAUACUGUUGAGUUAGGGUACCCAGGAUCCAGCAUGUGACAUAUGCUAUUCUAAAGAGCAAUAUCACAAGCUGCAUGUUGUAGUGAUGCAUUAACAGAAAGAAGUUAGAAGGUCGUUUGACCAAAUUCAUACUCGUUGAUCAUGCUCCUAAGCAACAUAAAUCAAUUCAGAAUGAAGAUAUAGAUAACCAUCCACAAAAAAACCAGUUAAGGACAAAAUACCUCUCUCAGAAUUUCCGGAGGGAAGCCGGUUUCCUCAAAUGUCAUGAAUGGUGCAGGAACAUCAUCGCCCUGAAAAGAAUUGUUUUUCUUUAUAUCACAAUCUGAUAAAAAAUAAAUCUAUGAUAGAAUAAGGGUCCUAAAAUAACAUUUUUUAAAAAAAAAAAAGCAAUUUGUUCCUAAACUAAAAAGAUCUUUAAAUGUACCUUCCAAGCUCAUGUAUAGAAAAGACAGUAAAUUUCUCUUUUUGCAGGGAGAUAUAGAAGCAAAAGAACUUUGCAGGAGAAACAUUGAAGCAGCCAUCAUAAUGGCCAGAUAUAAGAACCCCAAAAACACAACAUUGUGCAUAGUAUUCCAUUUUGAUGUCAACCAAUAUAGGUUACACCAAUUAUGGUUAUAAAAACAAUACACAGAAGAAUGCUCAAGUACCGACCAUAUUUUAUCAUUGGAGAUUAACAAGAGAAUAAAUAUUCAAGCAACCUUCAACAUUACGACAUCUUUAUCUAAUCACCAAAAAACAUCAGAUGCCACAAAAACUAAUUUAAGCAAUAUAAGAAGUACUAUCGCUUAAAAUCUUACCGUUGCAGUAACUUCAUGGUGUUGGCGAUAUGCAUCGGCUGCAGACAUAUUUGCAAAGUCUGGCAGACCAAGCAUUCUUGAAGGUGGCCUCAAAGGAGCUGCAUUAGGGAACGCAGCAGGGUUGUAUAUGUUUGGCAUCGCAUGGGGUGGGACCGUAUUCAACCCACCUGCAUGGCCUGGCGAAGUGUACGGAGGACCGCUUCUCAUAUCCUAAUACAACACAACCUUGCUUAGCUUCAACAGACUGUACAUAGUUGUAAGAAUGUACAGGAAGUGCCUAGCCAUUAGCAAAUAGAUAGUCCACUAGAGAUAAAAAGGCCCAUUGUACGAAAACAAAACAAUAUCAUAUGCCCUGAAAUAGUGUACACUCCAAACCAACUUAAGAAUCCGACUAUUAAAAAAUUACACUCUAAAAGCCAUUCCGCAUCAUUAGGAUCCAUAAUUCUGGGAGCUUCUCAUCCUAAUUAAAAUAGGCUAGAGGCACCGAGACAGGCUGGGGAGACUACGUUUAGGCAGCCAAGAAGGUCAUACUAAAAAUAUAUGGAAAUUAUAAUUAAAAGAAAAUGCACUAACUCAAAGAAAAUUGCAUAAUUAUGCAGAUAUAAAGCUAAAUUUAGAUGCUAAAGCACAUUACUAAUUAAUAAUACCAUCUUAAUACCAGAGAAAAUAUUAGAGCCUGAACCUUCGCGACCAUGUGCAUCACACCAGAAAUCAUGUUUCAAGUGAACUAUGAAAAGAAGAAGCCCCUAGAACUUUUAACUAAAGACAAAAAAAAUUGUCCAGCAAAAAAAAAUAAUAAUAAUAAUUUGUACAUAGCAGUUACCAAAAUAUUAUUUAAUCAGGUAGAUAUUUUCAGACUGAAGUAAUUGAUAGGAGCCAAAAGAGCAAGUAAGCAAGUUUCAGCAUGUUUCAUAACGGGAUUUAGCAGCUUGAUUUCCUUCUUAGUAGUAGGUUUUAAAUCUGACAGUAGGAGAAUUGAGCAUGAUCAACAAUGGUCGCAAGGAUUCUAAAUAAAGAAACUUCACCGGUGGAUUUUGCGGAAUGGGAAGAGGUGCAAGUUUCGGUUGCUGUGGCACCAUCUUCGGCCCUUCAAAUCUGCUAGAAGAAUAAAAAUCAUUUCCUACCCGUUCAUUUCGAUCUUCGUUAUAUCCCAUAUUCAAACCCAUUGGUGGGCGAACAGGUGACUGUUCCACAUGACUUGGAACUGCACGACCACUCAUUUGUUGUUGACGAUAGGGAGAUGCCUCAGCAAACUGCCUGUUAGGUUGAAGAGAAUGAACUCCAACAGGUGAAAUAUUAAUCGAAGGCAUGCCACCUGGCUGUUGAUGGCCAGAAGAAAUAAUGCCACCCUGUUGAGCCAUUGGUAGUUGAACACCAGCCUGCUUGCCCUGCUGAACCGCAACUUCUUCCAUCUUUGAAAAACUAGCGGGUGACACCUUUGAUGUUGGACCCUGCUGGCCAGCAACAUGCGCACUUUGCAGUCCUGGCUGUUGUCCAUGAUGAUAAUGGGCCUGAAGACCCUGUUGAAAAUGGGCCUGAGGCGGAAUCUGCGAUGUUUGGGGUUGUUGGUCAUGUCGAUGCAUAUUUUGGGGCUCCUGUGUUUGCUGAAUCACCGGAAUUUGUGGCACUUGUUGCGGCUGCCCUUGAUUAUAAUUAGUUUGUGGCCCUGGAUGAUAUGAAAACUGUAAACCUUGUUGAGGUGGCGGGAUGAAUUGCCCUUGUAGAUAACUCAUAUGCUGGUAUGGCAUCUGCAUGUGUGGGUACUGCUCAUUCCUCGGCUGAGCAAUCUGCUGAUUUGGAACUUGAUAUGGCAUCUGCUGUGGUUGCUGAUUUGGUGCUUGCUGAGACAUCUGCUGAGGCUGUUGCUGCUGCAUUAGCUGGUUUGCUUGCAUUUUCUGCCCAGCUUGAACAGUUUGCGGGGUGGUUUGCUGCGACACAACACUGUUCGAAGGUACGGUAGGCAUCAGAGAAGUCGACGCAAGGUUUGGAGUUGUUGCAGAGGGAGGAGGGCCAGAUGGCAAUGGCGGUGCGGAGCCAGCAGGUCUCUCAUAUUGGGUAACAUUUGUAUCAGGAUUCCAAUAAUAUAAGAGGCCGGUGCUCCCAUCAAUAAGCCCUUUCCAGGGCUUUGGGAGCGUGGGAUCUUCUGGACCAAAGCGCGGACCCAGUGAAUCUGCAGCUGCUCCUGUCGUAGCCAUUCUGAUGCUUAAUUAUACUAAGCACGCCUGUAACAAGUUUCCCACAACGGGAAUAGACAUUUAUCAUAUAGUGAGUUCAGGAGAUAACAACACAAAAAAGAUAACUUUCGUUAGCAAGGAGUUCGCUGCUUCAACAUGCAAAGCACUAAUUUUUUUUUUACAAAAAAAUAGUUUCAUAAAUCUCAUGACAUGAAAUGGGAUUUGUCCCGCGUGGAAGGAUAAGUAAAAUGUAACUUUCAGAACCUCACAACUCAACAUAUCUAAAAGCAACUUGAAUUCCAAUACCUAUGAAAACCAGCACAGUUACAGUUGAGAUGAUUGGUCAAUCUAUAAACUUACAAAUGACCAGCAAAUGCCGACAGAAACUUAAAAUUUCGAGUAAUUAGUGGUUCAAACACUAUUACUGCUAAAAAGGGUAGCUUUCUAUUCCGAAAGGAAUUAAGAAAGUGAAAAUCAACCACACAAAUUCAUUACAUAUAUUUUGACUGAAACAAUCUUUGUUAGUGAAAUUUAGAAAUGCAGAAAACACUAAGAACUUGUACCACAUCUUGUAAACCUAGAAAACCAAAAAAAAAAUCACUAAGAAAAACCAACAUACGCCAUACUCAGCUGCCGACCAAAUGUGAAGACACUCAUCACAAAGCUAUUGAUGUGCCCAUUUACAUACUAAUACUUCAAUUGAAAUGUAACGCCUUAAUGCUUCGCAAUCCACUAAGAAAACACGAGAAAUAGUUAAACGCCAACCUACUCAUACAUCUAAAAUAAAAGAUCUAAUAAACUGAAAGCUCUUGCAACAAUAUAACAGCAAAGAAGGAUCCAAUAAACAGAGUAUGAAACUAUUCAAACAUCUCACUACAUCCACCUACAAUAACAGCUAAAAUUACGAUUUAUCACUUGCUCAUAACCUAAUCCCGCUCAAACACCAAACUUUAUAAGAAACCAUAUACCCUAAACGAGAAUCAACGAAACAAACCACCAUAACACCUACAAGGGCUACGAGAACCCUAUCAAGCCCCAAAAAACCCCAAUCAGAACCCUAGAAAACCCUCGAAAUUGAUCAAAAGAGGAGAAGAGCGUUUAGAGAUCUCACCUUCGUUCGAGAAAGGAACGAAUUAGGGCAAGAUUUGGAGGGGAGAGAGAGAGAAGAGGCGACGCGAUUUCCCCCGCUCUCCUCUCCGCUCUCCUUUUUCUAUAUAGCUUUGUUUUUUCUUUUUUUUUUUCUUUUUUUUUAGAGGAAUUGGGGGAGAGAUGAGAAAAGAGGAGGGGAAUAAAACCCUAGGGCUCGAUCCGUCCUUGCAAUGGUGGUGUUUACUAUUUAGCACGGGGGGCGCACGUGCGUCGCACGUGGUAGGGGAAAAUUAUUUGCGUGCACCCGGUGUAGCCGGUUUGUUGUACGGUGUACAACUGAUUUUUCAAAUUGAAAAUGAUACCAUAUCUAAUGUAAGUGGUAAAACUUUUAAUGAUUACUUCAUAUUUUUAGUUAAGAUAUUAUUUGGUUCCUAAAAAAAAGCAUGAAAAAGUAAAGCUAUAGACGAAUUUAAUUUACGGCAAACUAAAAUAAUAUAAGUAGGUAUUUAUUGACGAAAUAACUGUACCCUUCUCCGCGUGCCGUGAAAUAAAUAUGCUCCAAAAAAGUGGAGAGAUUUUAGUAGUUAUUAUUAUAAAUUAAAUUUGAUAGUCACUUUAUUUUUUCUAAAGUGUUGUAAUUGACAUUGUUUUAACCGGUGGCGAAGUGAAUUACAAGAGGGAAAGAAAAUAGAAAAAUGUAAUAAAAAAUCAAUUGUUGUAAUUUUUUCCAAAUUUCUGUGUACCAAUGUGAAAACUUUAUAUAGAGAGCGGAAGAAUUUUAACUCUAAAAUCUUGAAUCUCCAUCAAACAAACAGCAGUGAAAAAAUAUUUUUUAUUUAAACUUUAGUUUAAUUGAAAAUUAUUUUUAACCCGGAAAUUAGGUAUCAACAAACAACCAAUUUUGUUUAGCUUGAGUGUCACUGCGUUUGGUUCGGGAAUAAAUAAGAACUGUUUAUUUCAGGGAUAGAUAUAAGUUCAUGUAUAAAUAGGAACUAGACCAAUUUUGUAUUUUGAUGAAAAAUGGGUUGCUUCUAGGAAUAAAGUAAAUAGUAUUUGGAUGAUUAGAUUGGAACAAAGAGAAUAAGAAUUAUAAUUUUAAAUUAAAAUUAUUUUAUCUAAUUAAUUAACAUCAAAAUAUUAUUUAAAAAUAAUUUAAUAAAUUAAUAAAUUUAUUAAUGGUUGAUCAAUAUAAAUAUUAGUUUAUGGAUAAAUAUAUUAAAUUAUUAAUAAUUAAUUAUAAAUAAUAAAUUGAUUAAUUAUUUUAUUAUUUAGGAAAUAAAUAAUAAUUUAAAUAUAUUAAUUAGAUUAACUAAUUAAUAAUUUAAUAUUAUAAUUAAAAUUAAAUUUAGAUUUUAAUUAACUUUGUUCACACCUUGGAACAAGCUUAUUCCAGGAAAAAGGAUGGAACAUCAGCUCCAGCCUUACACCAACUUAUUCUAGAAAUUUGAGAACUACUAUUCUCAGAUACCAAACGCAAUGUUUGGGAACAAAGGGGGGAACAAAGGGGGGGGACAAGGACUUAUUCACCCUUUGUUUCCAAACCAAACACUGCCUUAAUUUUUUAUACAGUGCUGUAAUUUUUUUGGAGAAAAAGAUAGUGCGUUACUGCUUCAUUCAUUCAGACAAUAAAUUUAGCUACAUAGAGUGAGGCACCAGGCCUCAAGAGAAGGAAAAAAAAUCAAAAGAAAAAGAUCUAAAAGAAAAGAGUAAAAGAAGAGUAGUAAAAAUGUUAAAAAAAUAAUUGCAACGUCAAAUCAAAUACUCAAAAGGAUGGAGAUAUCACCCAGCUCAACAGCACUCAGUCCAUUCCGCUGCCAGUUUCCUAACGCGUUGGGCAAUAAUUGACAUUGUUUUUGCUGGUGGCGAAGUAAAUUACAAGAGUGAAAGAAAGUUAAAAAAAAAAAACAUAUUGAAAAAUCAAUUGUUGUAAUUUUUUCUAAUUUUCUACAUACCAAUAUAUGAGAAUUUUACAUGGAGAGCGGAAGAAUUUUAACUCUAAAAUUUUGAAUUUCCAUCAAACAAAUAGUAGUGAAAAAAUAAUUUUAUCUAAAAUUUAGUUUAAGUGAAAAUUAUUUUUAACGUGAAAAUUAGGUAUUAACAAACAAACGAAUUAUGUUUAGCUAGAGUGUUUCAAAAACAUCAAAUUUUAUAUUUUAGAAGGCCCUAAAAAAUUAUAUAUAUAUACACGCACACUUUUAUGCCACUGCUGUAGCGUUUAUUAUCAUUAUUUUAUUAUACUCGAGGAGAAAAAGAUUAAAGUGUUUUUAAAUUUGAGUAAUGCUACUCAUACACUCCAAAAUAGGAUGUACAUUUUGCACCCGCUUCAUCAAAAAAUCAUUAAUUAUCUACUUAUCGCAUCAACAUUUUUUUUUUAUUAAAAAGAUUUGAAUUUUGUGAAUUAUAAAAUAAAAGGUGUAAGAUUUACACUCCCAUUUGGGAUGUAUAAAUUUUUUUUUUUUUAUUCUUUUUCAGUCUUUUAAACCCCUUGUGGCUUAAUGUAUUUUCACUAUUACCGCUCUAUGGUCCAAAAGUUGUAUUUAACUAUUUUAGAUUUUUUUUUAUUGUAGAUUUAUACAAUUAAACAGGUUAAUAUUACUUUUUAAAAAUCGAGGUGAUUUAAAAAAAAUUGCUAAAUUAAAGCUCACAGGGUCUUUGUAUAUUUUUUCUAUUUUUAAGGAAAAACAAUUCAAAAGACACAUGAAUUUUUGCACUUUUGCAAACAAAUAUAUGAAUUUUAAUGUUGGUAAUUAGAUAUUCUAAACUUUAUCGAACAAUUUAAAAAGUCUCUCUUCUUAUACAAAGUUGCUUAUUAAACGGCUAUUUUGACCGCAUAUCUUAAACAUAAUUUUGUUUAUCUUUAUUAAAAAAGUUAUUUUUUUCUUCUACCUAGGAUGAUUAAGCAUGAGGAUUGAAUAACAAAAUAAAUCUAUCUCAAAUUUGUAUUACUUUUUCUAUGUGUUAGAAUAAAAAGAAUAUAUAUAUAUAUAUUUAUGUUUUAAAGCUUUACAAUAUGGCACAUGCUACCAAAACAACUACGUAAUUAGUAAAUUACUUGACAAACAAGCAGGUUGAAUAAUUCGCAUGCUGGUCAUCAUAUCGAUCAUGCCAGUAUGGAUUGAAUUUAUCAGCAAAUUUUUGGAUAGUUAAUAUCUAUUUCCAUACUUGCUCACGAGUAUUCGCGGGUUACAAAAAAAUGUCUGCAAUUUAACGGAUGCCAAUCCAUUUUAUCCGCAAUUUUUUGGUAGGAAAAAACUAAUACCUGUACCUGUAAAUUGGUGGCUAAUCCACGUCUACCCCGUGUACCGGUAGAGAUUGCUAGAUGCUGAGAGUUUUUCGCAUUUAACUUCUCAAACUCUUUAUUUUUAAAAUGGUUCGACAAAUUUAUAUAUGCAUAAAUUAUACUCUUCCUGCCACGUGAGCGCAGAUAGAAGAGGGCCAUGUAGGCAUUUUUAAGUUAAACAUAGUAAUCGAGACACCUUAUUUAAACACACUAAUUGGAUUAUCAUAUCUAUAUGCAUACACUUAUCUCUAUUUUCAAUUCGGGACGAUGAGAAUUAAAAAAACACGAUAAAAAAGUACAAAAAGAAGUACAAUAAUGAUUGGAUUAUCAUAUUCAACUUAAAAAUGCUCACACGGCUCUCCCCUGUCCAGCGUCGCUCGACAGGGAGAACAUCAUUCCUACAAAUACGUAUUUGCUAAAGCUAUUUGUAAAUUUUUUUUUUGAGGGUGUCGAAUGCAAAAAAAAAAAAAAAAAAAAAAAAAAACUGUUGGUCUUGGUAAGAUGAACCUAUUGAACUAAUUGCCUAUAUACCCCUCAUGCGUCUGGAAAUAUCCGAUCUACCCCUACUUUUUUUUUUCUUUCUAAAAUGCCCCUCAUAUGUUCCACCGUUAUUGCAAAAUACCCCCGCAGUUAUCUCCUGUUAAGUUAACCUGAGUUAAACGUGAGUUAAAUAUCUAUCACAGUUAAAAAAAAUUAAAAUGCCAAUUUUGCCCUUAUCUUAAGGGCAAAUAAGAAAGGUUGGUUACGGUAGAGGGGUAUAUUGGAAAAGACAAAAAGUUGAAAUACUUUUUGUGCCCCUGACUUUAAGGGCAAAUAAGAAAGACAAUGAUGGUGGAAGGGUAUAUUUGAAAAGGGUAAAAGAGUAAUUUUACAGAGAUAACAGUGUUAUUUAACAGAUUAUAACUCUAAGGGUAUAUUAGAAAUAGGUUGGAACGUAGGAGGGGUAUUUUCAAUAUUAGCCUUCUAAGAGGGGUAAAUCGAAAAAUCGGAAACUUUUCAGGGGUAUAUA